rnacentral:lncRNA from 1 species
UAAUCAUGCAGCUCUUAUGUACCUACUUGCAAAGAAGGAUUCGAAGCCUAGACUCAUGCGAUGGAUUUUGCUCUUACAAGAAUUUGACAUUGAGAUCAAGGACAAGUGCGGAAAAUAAAAUCUUGUGGCUGAUUAUCUUAGUAGGAUUGUCACUCCCGAUGACCCAACUCCCAUCCAUGACAUAUUUCUGGAUGAAAAUCUCUUUUCAGCAAAAGUUGCCCCAUGGUAUGCCGAUAUUAUGAACAAAAUCACCACAAAUCAAUUUCCAUUAGAUUUGAAUCGAUGACAAAAAUACAAAAUCAACAACGAAGCGAAGAGGUAUGUAUGGGAUGAUCCAUAUUUAUGGAAAUAUUGUGUUGACCAAAUGAUCAGACGAUGAGUUGAACAACAUGAGGUAUCUUCUAUCUUAACAUUUUGUCACUCUUAUGCAUGUGGAGGGAAUUUUGGUCCUUAAUGAACUGCAAGAAAAGUGUUAGAGAGUGGUUUUUAUUGGCCAAGUAUCUUCCAUGAUUCUUAUGUUUUUUGUGCAAGUUGUGAUAAAUGUCAAAAGAUGGGUUCUUUAAGCUCAAAGAAUCAAAUGCCCAUUUACCCCAUUUUAGUUUGUGAAAUUUUCGAUGUUUGGGGCAUUGAUUUCAUGGGUCCUUUCCUAUCAUCUUUGGGUUUUACUUACAUUUUUUGGAUGUGAAUUAUGUUUCUAAGUGGGAAGCCAUCCAUACUAAUGAUUCAAAACUUGUGAUAGAUUUCAUGAAGGCUAACAUUUUUUUCCAUAUUUAGAGUUCCUAAAGCCUUAAUCAGUGAUUGUGGCUCACAUUUUUGCAAUCAGAUGCUUGGAAGUGUUUUAAAAAAGUAUAGAGUUACUCAUAAUGUUUCAACAGCAUACCAUCCACAAACGAAUGGUCAAGCUGAAGUGAGCAAUCGACAAAUAAAUGGUAUUUUGGAGAGAUCUGACAAUACAACAAGGAAAUAUUGGAGUAUCCGUCUUGAUGAUGCUUUGUGGGCAUACCGUACAACAUUCAAAACUCCAAUUGGGAUACAUCCGUACCGCAUUGUUUUUGGAAAGCCAUGUCAAUUACCCGUUGAGUUGGAGCAUAUAGCCUAUUAGUCGGUCAAUCAAUUCAACAUGGAUUUAACUGAAUUGGGAAAGAAAAGAAAGCUUUAUAUACAAGAGCUUGAGGAAAUUCACAAUGAGGCUUAUAAGAAUGAAGUUCUUUACAAAGAGAAGACAAAAGCAUACCAUGAUAAGAUGAUUUCUCGCAAGGGAUUUGAAAAAGGUCAAACAUUAUUACUUUACAAAUCUCGUUUCAAAUUAAUUCCUGGUAAAUUAAGGUCUCGUUGGGUGGGACCAUUUGUUGUCAUUUAUGUUUUUGAGCAUGGUGUAAUAGAAAUAAGAAGUAAGAAAACUGGGAAGAUUUUUAAGGUAAACGGACACUGAAGUAAGCCUUAUUAUGAAGAAUUUAAAGUCAAGAACAAGGAAGUGGAGGAAGUUACAGAUCUGAAGUACCAAAACUGACAGAUCAUUGGGGUCCAUGUUGAGCCACCGACUUAAAACAAGGGCAGCUACCCGAGAGACAACUCGUCGGUAUUUUGGUCAUUUGUAAAAGUUUUAUACCUACAUUUUUCUUUCAAGUUUCUAUGUUAAAAGGUUCUUAGAAUAAUUAGGGGAGUCUAAAAAUAGUUUUUUUUGAGGCUCAGGAUUGAGCGAGCAUUAAAUUGAAAACAAAAUGGGUCGUUUCUCAGGUUUUUACACGGACCGUGUAAUGCUUGCUUUUGCAAUACACGCCCGUGUAAUGGGCUAAUCGCAUCAUGAAUUUAUAGAAGAUGGGCCAUGUAAUGCCCCCAUUUUCAAAACACGGGCCGUGUAGUAUGUUCAGGCAAAAAAACUUUGAUUUUUCCUUAAAUGAUUGCAACCUCUGUUUGUUCCUCAUUUUUUUCGAGUCCCGUUCUGUUCUUUCUUGCUGAACGCAUGCAAGUUGUAACAUUCGUAAAAUUCUUGAAAUUUAGAAUUUCAAAAAUUAAACCACAACCAUCAUUGUUUACAAAUUGUUUUCAAAAUAAGUUUCACAUUAGAGAAAUCCGAAAAUAAUAAGAACAAAAUAUGAGGAGGUUCACGAUGGCGCCUUUUCCUUCCCACGAUCCUCUGAGGCACCUGAAACAUAUUCCAAAACUGUAAGUCUUAAGCUUAGUGAGUUCCCCCAAGAUACGAAUACAUAACAAAUAGCACAAAAUAUAAUAACAUCAUGCAACGGGUCCACAACUUAACAUAUUGGAUUACCCCUAAGCCCACAACAUAAGUCUGACUUGCCAUCGGCCCACGGCUUAUGUCUGGCUUGCUCCCCGACCUAAUCAGUCCUUGGAUUGAAUACCUCUAAGCCCUCAGUACGAGUUUAGCAUGCCCUUCCCUUCCCUUAGCUCGUAUCUAGAAUGCUCAUGAGUCCUUAGUAUGAGUCUGGCAUGCCCUCCCUGGCCCUCAACUCAUAUCUGGAAUACUCUAGGGUUAGUUGUCUACAACACAGAGCAGUACAACCUCAACCUAACCCACACAAUAUGUCGACAUAUAACAGAUAAUUCCCUAUACAGAUAAACAGACAAUAUCACAGGUAGUUCUACAGACCUACCAGACUAGCUUAUCAAUUCUAGCAUGCAAUCUACAUCAUACUCAGCAUGUCAACAAUAUCAGGUUAUCAAACCCAUGGGCCAACUUUGGUGCCUUUGACCCGAAAGUAUAGUGAGGAAGACUCACCUCUAAAGUAGCUGAACUGAUAAGAUCUAACUCUGAAUCUCGGCUACCGACUCAAAUGCCUACAACCACCAUGUUACCAUUCCAUCAAAAUCUCAAAAUAACCAAAUGCCCUCAAAAGUACAACUUGGUCAACCAUGGUGAAAUUCAAAAUCAACGGUCAAGGUCAACAGUCCAUGUUGAUCCAACUCAUCGAGUGCACCUCUUGGACUCGUCGAGUUCUAUAGAACUCAGAAAGCCGAGGAAAACCCUAGCCAACUUGCCGAGUAGGCUGAACUACUCGCCAAGUUUUCCUAGUCUUAACACAUAUAGGUAAUUCUUCGAUUCCAGAGACUCUAAGGCUCAGAUGUAAACUCUAAGUGUGUCUAAAAGGAUAAAGUUUCCAACUUUAUCCUUUGGGACUACUCCAAAUGCUCAGAAACCCAUCCAUAAGGCUUGAAAACUCAAAAACUUAACCAUUAAGCACAAAUCCUUGAGAUCUAGAAUCCAACUUUAUCCAAGAGAGAUUCUAGGCUUAAAAACGUCCCAAAGGUGGGUGCUUUAUAGACAUGCAUGUCCAAUGCAUGUCUUGAACCAAAAAUGAGCCAAAAAGGGGAAAUAUGACCUAAAGUCCAUGCAUGGCAUCAAUACUUGGCAAAGGACGAGAUCUAACCCACUCCAAGGUCUCCAUGACCUCGAGAUUCAUAAAGUUGCAAACUUUAUGAAGCACAUCCAUUGCAACACCCAAUAAUAAGGAGAAAAGGUACCAAACUCAAGAUCUAGCUACAUAGAUAGAUAAAUAUUUGGAUCUUGAAUACUUACAAUGGUCCAAAGAGUGCCAAACUGCAGAUGUGAGCUUAGUUUGCUAGAUCCUUGCCUCCUUCCUUCAAUCUUCUCUCUUUAGUCCAAAAAGCCACACACUAACUCACACAAUGAGGUGGAAUGAAGAUUAGGAUUUACAAGGUUGAUAUUAGGGUUUAGAGGCUGCUAAAAGAUCAGCCUCAAGGACUUAAGGAGGUUAUAUAGGGCGCAAACCCUAAAAUUUAUGGUUUCUCAUUCAGCUACCAACUCGUCGAGUUUUCCUCACCAACUCGUCGAGUUGGUCCAAAAAGAUGUACGGUCGAAAAGCCUUCAACACAUCGAGUUGAGGUCAUCAACUCGACGAGUUCCAAGGGAAACUUGUCUUUUGAUUAAUAAAUCUCAUACCUGGGAAUCAGGAUGUUACAACUCUCCCCCACUUGGACUAGGCUUCAUCCUCGAAGCUUGCUGCGGUGAACAAAUCUGGAUAAUGCUCCCGUAUCUCAGCCUCUGGCUCCCACGUCCACUUGGAUCCCCUUCGAUGUUGCCACUGUACCUUUAUCAGAGGCACCUCCUUGCUACAUAGAACCUUACCUUCCUUUCUAGAAUAACUACUAACCUCUCGACAUAGUUCAGGUGCUUAUCAACCUGAAUAUCACCCACAUAUACCACUAUAUCCUCGUCUAAAAUGCUCUUCUGUAACUACGAAACAUGGAAAGUGCUAUGAACCUGACUGAGAUCAUCUGGAAGAUCCAAUCUAUAAGCAACCUUGCCAAACUUGGAAAUAAUCCUGAAUGGUCCAAUAUAUUGGGGGCCCAACUCCCCCCUCUUCCUGAAGCGAAUCACACCUUUCCAAGGUGAGACCUUCAGCAACACAAUGUCACCGACCUGAAACUCCAAAUCACAUCGACGUCAGUCGGGAUAACUCUUCUACCAACUCUAUGUAGUCUGCAAUCUCUGUAUGAUCUACUGGAUCAUCUCGAUAGUCUGCAGAACCACCUCGGUCCAACCCAUGACUCUGUGACCAACCUCGCCCUAACAGACCGGGGUGCGACAUCUCCGCUCAUACAUGAGCUCAAAAGGCGGAGCAUUAAUGGUAGAAUAGAAGCUGUUGUUGUAGGAGAACUCUACAAGAGGUAGGUAGGAGUCCUAGCUCCCACCAAAAUCAAUAACGCAUGCCUGCAACAUAUCCUCUAGAGUCUGAAUGGUACACUCACUCUGUCUGUCGGUCUGCAAAUGGUAAGUUGUGCUGAAAUGUAGCCUCGUGCCCAGUUCCUCAUGAAACUUCUGCUAGAAUCGAGAGGUGAACCGAACAUCAUGGUCCGAGACAAUAGAGACCGGAACCCCAUGGUGAGCAACGAUCUCACUAAUAUACACAUCGGCCAACUUCUCAGCCGAUGAGCUCUCCCGAGUUGCUAGAAAGUGGGAACUCUUGGUCAAUCGGUCCACGUUGACUCAAAUAGCAUCAAAACACUUUGCCGUCUUCAUCGACUUGGUGAUAAAGUCCAUCGAUAUCUGCUCCGAUUUCCACAUGGGAACCUACAGAGGAUGUAGCUUUCCAUGCAGACUCUAAUGCUCGGCUUGAACCAUCCUAUAGGUCAACCAUCCCUCAAUGUACCAAGCUAUCUCUCUCUCAUUCUCUCUCUCUCUCUCUCUCUCUCUCUCUCUCUUCAUACACGACCACCAAUAACUCAAUCUCAGAUCCUGACACAUCUUGGUGCCCCCCCAAGUGAAUAGAAAAGCGAGACUUAUGAGCCUCCUCCAGCAUGAUCCGCCUGACCUCACCAGACGUAAGAACCCAUACCCGACGACAACGGGUCAACAAACCACGACUAUCCGAAACAAAUAUGGUAAUCUCACCCCUGAUCCUCUCAAUCUUCCAAUUCUCCUCUCAAACACCCUCGGUCUGAACCUCGCUAAUCAAAUCCACAAGUGGAGAAUCCACAGAUAUCCUCAUACAUGUCACUGGAACAGAAGAUCUAGCUGACUUACAGCUUAGGGUAUCCGCCACCACAUUCGCUUUACCCAGAUGGUAAAGGAUUUCAUAGUCAUAAUCCUUGACUACGUCCAACCACCUGUGCCGCUUCAUGUUUAGGUUAGGCUAAUCCAUAAUGUGCCUCAAACUCUUGUGAUCCGUGUAGAUAGUACAACAGACCCCAUAAAGGUAAUGUCUCUAAAUAUUGAGGGUGUAAACCACCACCCCGAACUCAAGAUCAUGCAUGGGAUAUCUCGUCUCAUGCGGCUUCAGCUACCGUGAAGCAUAAGCUAUCACCCUUCCUCUAUGCAUGAGAACUGAUCCCAAACUGGUGAUGGAUGCAUCACAGAAAACCACAAAAUCCUCAAUUCCCUCCUGGAGGGUCAAAACUCGGGCCUCGCAAAGUCUCUGCCGAAGGGUCUCAGAUGUGGACUGCUGCUCAGGGCCUUACCGGAAAUCCACCUCCUUGCUCGUCAGAUGAGUGAGGGGUACUGCAAUCUUGGAGAAAUCCUGAAUAAAUCUCCGGUAGUACCCUGCCAAACCCAGAAAACUCCUGAUAUCUGAGGGAGAUUUCGGAACCUCCCACUGCAUCACUGCCUCGAUUUUGGCCGGAUCGACCAAAAUCCCAUCUUGGUUUACGAGGUAUCCAAGGAACUGAACCUCUUGCAACCAAAACUCGCACUUCGAGAACUUAUCAUCAAGUCGUUCUCACCUCAAAACUCCUAAAAGAUCGCAAAUAUGCUCCUCAUGCUGCUCUAUGGUCUUGUAAUACACCAAGAUAUCAUCAAUAAACACAAUAAUCGAACGAUCAAGCAUCGGCCCACAUACCUGAUUCAUCAAAUUCAUAAAUAUCGCAGGCGCGUUGGUGAGCCCGAAUGGCAUCACCACAAACUCGUAAUGCCCAUAACGAGUCCGAAAUGUGGUCUUUUCCAUGCCCUCCACCCUUACCCUGACCUGAUGGUACCCAUACCUUAUAUCAAUCAUGGUGAAUCAAGAUGCUCCCCGCAACUGAUCAAAGAGAUCAUCAAUCUGUGGAAGGGGAUAACGGUUCUCCACUAUUAGCUUGUUCAGCUCCCUAUAAUCUGUGCACAUCCGAUGCGAACCAUCCUUCUACCUGACAAAUAGAAUCGGCGCUCCUCACAGAGAUCUGUUCGGAUGGAUGAACUGAUUGCCUAACAGCUCCUGCAGCUGAGAUGAUAGCUCCUACAUAUCAGGCGGUGCCAAUCGGUACGACGCCAUGGAAAUAGGGGCCGCACCUGGCACAUAGUUGAUCCUGAACUAGACCUGUCUCUCAGGAGGUACACCGGGUAGCUCCUCUAGGAAUACAUUAGCGAACUCCCUGACAACUAGCAGAUCAACAACCAACACAUGAUCCCCAACCCGCAUGUCCACCACAUAAGCUAAGUAACCUACGUACCCGUGAUGAAUAUAAUGCGGAGCCCUGGCUGCCGAACAAAAACUUGAACCCAACAUCGUGCCCUCUUCAUAAAUAACUAUUUCUCCCCCACUUGGGGUUCGAACUACGACACAAUGACCCUUGCAGUCGAUCAUGACACUGAAAUGGCUCAGCCAAUCCAUACCCACAAUCACGCAGACAUCCCCAUGGGAAUAGGAAUCAAAUCGAUCAGAAAGGAUACCCCGAAGAUCUCUAGAACGCAACCCUAAUAAAGUGAAGAAGCAAAAACCCUGUGUUCGUUGGAGAUAGAAAAUCGCAAUGGACACUCUAACUCCCCUAUAGGAAAAGCAAACACCCAACUAAAACUCCGAGAAAAAAAAGGACCGACUCGCAUCUGAGUCAAACAACACUAAAGCAGGCAAUGAGUUCACUAGAAAUGUACCUACCAAAGGUACAAACAAAUGAGUAUAAAGCAAACAUAAUAAAUAAGAUAAGGGAUAGAAACAUACCAGUCACAAUAUAUGGUGCUAUCCUAGCCUCCUCGACAGUGAGCUAGAAAGCGCGACCUCAAGACCUCGAGGGUUCCGCCCUAUCCUGACUCUCGUUAGUGAUCCUCAAUGUAGUUGGUGCUGGAGCCUACGCCGGCCUAGCAGUAAGCGAUGGACAUUUGGCCUUCACAUGGCCAACCUGGUCGCAAUGAUAACUGUUAGGCUGUCAAACCAACAAAUAAUGGGAUAAAAUAAUAUUAAUAAAGCUCAAAUCACUGCUAUUUCUUAUACUAAAGAUAGUAUAGAGUAAGCAGGGUCGGUCCAUAGGAAUACAGGACUUCUUAUCUUGCCAUAUUUUCACACAUAAUACAAAUAAUAUUAAAAUGGGGGAUUGUGUUUGCACUAGAUUUAAACUUCAUAAAUAAACAAGAUUGUUAACAGAAUUUAAUAAAAGAAAUACAUUUCCGAUUCUGAUUCUUAUACAUGUAUUAUGUGGAAAGAUGCAAAAUGAAUAUGAUUGUGUUCUAUCUAGGAUGGUAAUUUAGAUACUAAUAAACUCUAAUAUCCAAGUUGACAAAAAAUAUUUUAUUCAAAACAUGUUCUUCAAAUAAAACUUCAUUUAAUUGAUUUGAUUCUGUAGAUGUAUGUUGUAAAAGUCGAAUAGUCUGUAUUGUAAUGAUUCACAUUUGUAUGUUAUUUUACUAAGUCAAUUUUGUAUGCGAAGUGUAGUAUGCGAAGCGUAAAUAUUUAGACUUAGUAUAUUUUUUGUAAGUUCCCUAUAAAUAGGGACUUAGGCUUGAAGUAGAGUGAUGAGAUCGAAACACAAUAUUUCUCUUCAACUUACUUUGUAAUCAGUCUUAAUAAAAAUGAGAUCUGAUUAAUAUUUACUUCGUGUGUUCAUCAUCUUUCAUCAUUCAAAUCUAUUGUUUCGUUUCUUAAUUCUCGAUAACAAUUCUCUACAAUUGGUAUCAGAGCAGGAUUCAAACUGCUUAGAUUUGAUUUUCGUAUAAGAAUCAUUUGCUUUUUGAGUUACAAAAUUUUCUCAAAAUUUUCCGCGCAAUUUUGGUUUUGAAAAUCACUUUUGAUCUUCAGAUUUGAAUCGAUUCUGUAUUUGAAUUGUUAAGUCAAGUAAUCGAUUAGUCAUUUUUGAUCAAUUCAUUUGAUCGAAUUCUGAAAUUCAUCAAGUUUUCAAGUUUUCAGAUAUUUUCUGUGUUCAUCAAUGGCGAACUUCAACAUGAAUACAAUGACUUCUUUCUCUCACUUGCUUGGUUCCUCAACCAAAAUUCCGAUGUUGAUUCCAGAAUACUAUGAUCAGUGGGCUGAUAGAAUGGAAGAUUACUUAAAUGGAAUUGAUGAAGAACUUUGGAAUUGUAUCGAUGGAACAGUACAAGCUCCUGCUAAUGUUCAACAAAUUGGAUCAUCCACUGCAUCUCCUGAUGUUGAAGAACAACGAAAACGACUGAAGAAUAAUGAAAAGAGGUGCAUGAGGGAACUAAGAGGUGCUCUACCUCCUGUGGUUUACAAUUACAUUCGUAGUUGUAAAACAACAAAAGACAUCUGGAAUACUCUAAAAGAGAAGUAUCAAGGUAGCGAAAAGACGAAGAUCAAUUCUGUGAAGCAAUGCCUGGUUGAACUGAAGGAAUUCAGACAAAAGGAUGCAGAAACUCUCGAAAGUUAUUAUGAUCGUCUGAAUGAGCUUAUGUUUCGAUGCAAUAGGUAUGGUAUCACUAGAUCUCUCAUGGAAUUCAAUUUAACUUUCAUUAUGGGUCUUCGCAAGGAAUGGCGAAGUGUGAGCAUGAUGAUUAAGAAUCAACAAAGUUUUGAUACAACUAAAUUGAAUGAUCUCUACAAUCAACUGAAAACACAUGAAUGUGAGGUCUCAGAAAUGUAUGAAGAAUCAAAACUAGCUAUUGGUGGUCCUUUGGCUCUUGUUUCAAAGGUAUCAGAAACUGAUGAAAAAGAUGGUUCAGAUGAAGAAGGAUUUUUGAUGAACUCCGAUGAUGAAGCUGUAGCAUUCUAUUCAAACAACAGAGUUAAAAAGUUUUUCAAAAAGCCUUUUAAUCCAAAAGGAAAGAUGAAUGAUGCGAAAAAUGUUAUCACAAGGACUGGAGGGGAAGAAAGGAAGAAAAUGGAGAAAAUUGAUGAAAAACAGAAAAAUGCGAAUGAAGAGAAAAAGUUGAAAGGUGAUUCAGGAAUUUAUUGUCAUUAUUGCAAUGGUGCGAAUCAUUUCGCAGCUGACUGCAUGUUGCGAAAGAAAGAAGAGAAGAAAGAAAAAGUCAAAGAUGAAGCAUACUACUCCGAGAAGAUUGAAGAAUUACGUGCUAAGACCAAAGGAGUGUCAUUAGUUGCUAAGGGAGAAGCUGCUGAAGAAGAAAGUGGAACUUAUCAGAUCUGGUCUUCAGGAUCUGAUGAUGAGGAAAUGAGGCAUCCCACACAUGGAGCAAUGUUCGCAAGUUUUGAGGAUUGCGAAGAGAACAUUUCAGGGAGAUGUUUUGUGUCUAAAUCCACUGACAAGUCACCCAUGACAACCAAGGUACGUGCAAUUCUUGAAUCUUUUAAUAUUCCUUUAUCUGCUUAUGAUGCUGAAAUUGUUUCAUUUGAUGAUACUGUGGCUUAUUUUGAUUCUGUUAUUGUGUCUGCUAGUAAUGAAGCUAAGAAAUUAAAUGUGCAACUUAGUGAGACACGAAGAGAUUUAGAAAUAAAGAAGAGCAGAGUUGAAAAAUUGGAAAUGCAAGUCAAAAAUAUAGAUUGUGAUAGGAAUAAUCUUACUAACGAUGUUAGGUUAUUACUAGCACAAAGAAACAUAUAUUGUAAUUCUGCAAAACGACUGUAUGCAAAAUUAACAGCUUUACAUCAUUCUUCUGAUAUUAGCAAAGAACAACAUAGGAAACUUUUACCUUUUCUUGAGUAUGAACGUGAAAAAGUUGAUGUUGUUUCUUAUGAUUGCGAAAGCACAAUUGCUCAAUUUGACAAAAUACCUGAUGAUAGAUAUGCUUAUGGUAUUGUCAAAAUUGAUGAAUUUCUGAAUGCUGAUGAGUUGGUUAACAUUGUCAAUGAAAGUUUGACAAAGAGUGAACAAGUGAAAAUCAUAAAGAAAACUGAAAAUUCAACUCUUGCCUCACAGUUGAAUUAUGCUGAUAUUGAUGAAAAUUCUGAUAAUGUGAGUGAAAUCAGUGAGAUAGAAGAGGAAGAAGAGGUUGAUUGUUCUCAAUUGUCAAUCAUUAAUAUCACAUCUAAGAUCAAAGGUAAAGAAAUAAUAGUUGAUUCAAUAGUAGAGGAUGAAAUUGAUAAACCUUCAACUUCGCAACAUUGUAUGUUUGAUAAUGUGGAAGUUGAAAGCUGGAAAUCUGAUGACACAGAUGUAAAUAAAGAAGAAAAGAAAGUUUCAACUGAAACACCUCAAAGGAUUGUUGUUGAUCAAGUGUUUGAAAAUACAAAAGAAUUUGAUAAAAUUUUAAAUGAUAAAGGCGCACAUUAUUUGGAAACCAACACUGUGGUAUAUCCAAAUUUUGUAUGUACUGAUAAAACAAUUUUUCCAAAUCAAGUUUUUGUCACUACUGGAAAUGCUGAGAAAGUUCAUCCUGAGUUUAAUAAAAUGAUUGAAAAAGAUAAUCAAAAGUCCACAACCGAAGGCUUUUUCGCAAAUCAAAUNUUUUCGCAAAUCAAAACACAGAAGAAAACAAUUUAACGAAAAAUACUUAUGUGUUUCAAAAACAAAAAUCAACACAAAAAUGGGUGGUUAAAGGUGAAAAAUCAAACAAAGUUUUUGAAAAAGAUGAAAAACCAAAGGUUGAAGUGAAACUAAAUUCUCAUGAAUUCAAAUUGAUGGUUGGAAACUAUUCAACAGAAAAUAAUGUUUAAAAAAGAAAAGCAAUAUUCUGGCAAGUUGUGUCUAAUGAAAAAUCAAGAGAUGAAAAAGAACAAAUUUCAAAAACAUCAUCAAGUUUUCAUAAACAAAUAAACUCUGUUAACAAGGUUCCAUAUAUUCGCAAAUAUAACAACAAUCGAAAAUUUGAGAAUUCGCGAAAAUUUGCAAAUAAUCAAAAGUUUCAAAAUGUUGGCAAAUUCACGAAUACUUCAUCAAGUUUGAAGAACUCAACUCAAGUCAAAAAGAAAUUUUCACCAAAACAACCAAAUUUUCCAAAUCCUUCAAUAUCAAAACCAAACAAAGUUUCAUAUACAAAAGGAAAAUCUGAUGUUAGAACGUUCAAUCAUUGGUUUGAAGGAAAAGGAAAGAAAUAUCAAAAUGGAAAAUUUUCAGAAGAACAAAUCAAAAGUGCAUUUGAUAAGUACACAAAUAAUUCUUCAACUGAGAGUACAUCAUCUAAUAAUUCGCAAGUUCCAGUUCAAAAAUGGAAACCAGUUAUCAAAAAUGCGAAUGUUGUGAAGGAUAAGAUUACAAUUAAUGGAAAUCCAAAAUUAUUGAAUGAUUAUAUUUCAAAAUCUAGAACUGAUGAUGUUGAUAUAAUUGAUUCAGUUACAAACAAAGUGAAAACAUGGUUCUUAAAUUCCAAAAAUUUGUUUCAUUCUACUAAUGAUGGACCCAAAAAGUCUUGGGUUCCUAAAUUUUUUCAAUAAAUGCAGGUGAUAUGUGACGAGCAAUAUGACAUGAAAUGGUACAUUGAUAGUGGUUGCUCUCGUCACAUGACUGGAAGGAAAGAAAAUUUGCGAGAUUACAGAAGCUUGGAAAAUGCUGGAGUUGUCAAAUUUGGAAAUAAUCACAAGUGUCAAGUGAAAGGAUAUGGGAAAGUCACAAAUGGAAACUUCACAGUCAACAGAGUGGCAUAUGUUGAAGGACUUCAACAUAAUUUGAUAAGUGUAUCACAACUUGUUGUGGGUACUGGAAAUCAAGUUGUAUUCAAUGAAGAAGGUAGUAUCAUUUCAAAUGUCAAGACGAAUGAAAUACUCCUCAAAUCCAAAAGAUAUGGUGAUAUGUUUACACUGGACAUCAAACCGAUUGUGGGAAAACCAGCUGUGUGUUUACUAUCAAAAGCAUCAAAUGAUCUUAGUUGGCUUUGGCAUAGAAGAUUGUCACACUUGAACUUUCGAAAUAUAAAUAAACUAGUAACUGAAGAUUUAGUUCGAGGAUUACCAGUACUGAAAUUUGAUAAUGAUACUUUGUGUGCAGCUUGCGAACAAGGAAAACAACAUCGAAAGGGUCAUCCGAUUGUGAUAGAUUCAAAAAUAGUAGAGCCAUUGGAACUUCUUCACAUUGAUCUAUGUGGACCAUCAACUGUUGCAACAAUAAACAAAAAGCGGUAUAUUUUAGUUGUUGUAGAUGAUUUCUCUAGAUUUACGUGGGUGUUUUUUCUCAGGUUGAAAUCUGAAGUUGCUCAGACGAUGAUUGAUUUUAUCAAAAAGAUUGAAGUUAGUCUGAAGAAGAAUGUGCGAAAAAUUAAAAGUGAUAAUGGUUCUGAGUUUAAAAAUCAAACUCUUGAAAGUUUUCUCACAAGCAAAGGCAUUUCGCAUAAUUUUUCAUCACCGUAUACACCACAACAGAAUGGUGUAGUUGAAAGAAGAAAUCGAUCUCUAUGCGAAGCUGCCAGAACAAUGUUGACAUAUGCGAAUCUACCUCAAUAUCUUUGGGCAGAAGCUGUGUCCACAGCAUGUUUUACUCAAAAUCGAUCAUUCAUUCAUCGAAGAUUUAAUGUUACUCCAUAUGAAAUAAUCAAUAAUCGGAAACCUAAUGUAAAAUUCUUUCAUGUUUUUGGUUGCAGGUGCUUUAUCAUGAAUCUAAAAGAUAAUUUGUCCAAGUUUCAAGCUAAAGCUGAUGAAGGCAUCUUUUUAGGAUAUUCACAGAAUUCAGUUGCAUACAGAGUGCUAAACAAACGAACAAGAAAAAUUGAAGAAACGUUCAAUUUAACAUUUGAUGAUUACUAUCUUAAACAGAUUGAUAGUAAAUUUGAGAAUAAACCAAUACUUGUAGAUUCACAUAAUCCAAUUGAUAAUUCUGAAAUCAAUGAUUUUGAUUAUGACUUGAUUUUUGGAAUUCCUGACAGGGCCAUUGAUGCAGAAAGUAAUGCUCCUGAUAAUCAAACAUCAGAAUCUUCAAAACAUACUGAUGAAUCAACGAUAACUUGUGAAAGCACAUCAGAUAUUCACAAGGAACAAGAACAUCCAGUUGAGGGGGAGCCUUCGCAAAAUCAACUAGAACAUCAAGUUGAGGGGGAGCCUUCGCAAAAUCAACAAGAACAUCAAGUUGAGGGGGAGCAUUCGCAAAAUCGACAAGAAUAUCAAGAUACAGAUCAUGUUGAGGGGGAGCAUGAUGAAACAGAGACAAUUAAUCUUGAUAAUAAUGACGAAUUUCAUGAAGUUAAUGAUAAUUUUUCUGUUGCAGGAUCUGAAAAUGAAGAUAUGUUUGAAGAUGCACCAUUAGAAUUUGAUCCAAAUUUUCCACCACUCGAGAAAUGGACAAGAAAUCAUCCAAAAGAACAGGUAAUUGGAAAUCUACAAGAAGGUGUGUUGACUAGAGCUCAAAUUCGUGCGAAAAAUGAGGUACUGAAUGCAAACCAAGAACUUUGCAUGUUUAAUGUUUUUAUUUCGAAAAUAGAGCCAAAAACUGUCAAGAAUGCUAUGGAACACUCAGAUUGGGUUGUUGCUAUGCAAUCUGAAUUGGCAGAAUUUGAACGAAACAAGGUUUGGAGAUUAGUUUCUAAACCCUCUGAUGUUUCAAUUGUUGGAUUAAAAUGGAUUUUUAAAAACAAAACCGACAAAGAUGGCAAUAUUAUUCGAAAUAAAGCAAGACUAGUGGUUAAAGGUUAUUCGCAACAAGAAGGCAUUGACUAUGAAGAAACAUUUGCACCUGUUGCAAGACUUGAAGCAGUUCGCAUAUUUUUAGCCUAUGCAGCUCACAAAGACUUUGAUGUUUAUCAAAUGGAUGUUAAAUGUGCAUUCUUAAAUGGAAAACUCGAAGAAACAGUGUAUGUUGAACAACCACCAGGGUUUGUAAACAGUGAGUAUCCUGAUCAUGUGUAUGUCCUUGACAAAGCUGUAUAUGGGUUAAAACAAGCACCAAGGGCCUGGUACGCAACACUUACAAAUUUCUUGAAACAAUCUAAAUUUAAACAAGGAUCAGUUGACCCCACAUUAUUUCGCAAGAAAGUUGGGUGUCAUCUAAUGCUUGUUCAAAUUUAUGUUGAUGAUAUUAUCUUUGGUUCAACUGAUCCAGCAUUGUCAAUUGAAUUUGAAAAUUUAAUGAAAAGUCAGUUUGAAAUGAGCAUGAUGGGAAAAAUUAAUAAUUUUCUUGGUUUAAAUAUAAGGCAGAACAGAGAAGGAAUCUUAAUCAAUCAAGAAAAAUAUACGAAGAACUUGCUUGAAAAGUUUGGAAUGCUAAAUAGCACAAAGCUCAGAGUACCUAUGGCAGUAGGAACAAGACUAACUCCUUCGUUAGAUGCUCCUGCUGUUGAUCUAACACUGUAUCGUAGCAUGAUAGGGUCUUUAUUGUACUUAACUGCAAGUAGACCUGAUAUUAUGUUUUCGGUUUGUUGUUGUGCUAGAUAUCAAGCUAAUCCAAGAGAGCUUCAUUUGACUGCAGUGAAAAAUAUUUUUCGCUAUCUAAAGGGAACUGUUUCUUUAGGACUUUGGUAUCCUGUGAAAGCAGGAUUCUUCAUUCAAGCUUUUUCAGAUUCCGAUCUAGGAGGAUGUACUUUGGAUAGAAAAAGUACGACUGCUGGAUGUCAACUAUUGGAUGGAAAGUUAGUGAGCUGGCAAUCAAAGAAACAGACUUGUGUGGCUAUAUCAACCGCUGAGGCAGAAUACAUAUCUGCGGCUGCUUGUACUUCGCAAAUUAUUUGGAUUCAGAGUCAACUUCGUGAUUAUGCAAUAAACAUGAAAAAGAUUCCUUUGUAUUGUGAUUCACAAAGUGCAAUUCGCAUUUGUCACAAUCCAGUGCAACAUUCAAAGACAAAACACAUUGCUCUUCGAUAUCAUUUUAUUAAAGAUCAUGUGGAAGAUGGGAAUAUUGAAAUUCAUUUUGUCAAAACAACUGAACAACUUGCUGAUAUUUUUACAAAACCUCUUGAUAAAAAAUCAUUUGUUCGAAUUUUAGCAGGUUUGGGGAUGAUUAAUGCGAAUUCCAUUUCUUCAACACAAGAAUAACAUUUUUUUCAGCAGCUAAGUGUCAAAAUCAUUUAGAGGUUACUGUUCAUCUAGAGGCUUCGCAUGGCUUCACAACCAUAUCUUUUCGCAUAAUCACUACGGUAAGGUUUACGCAUAUGGUUUUAUUUUUGAAAAAUCAAAAAUCCAAAAAGAUUUUAUUUUUGUUCUUUAUUUUUGAAAAAUAAAAAAAAAAUUAUUUUUGUUCUUUAAUUUUGAAAAAUCAAAAAUACAAAAAGAUGUUAUUUGUUUUGUUUUGAAAAAUUCAAAAAUCACAAAAAUAUUUUUGUUUUCUUUGUUCUUUAAACUGUGUGUUGAGAAAUUAAUACAGGGCAACGAUGCGAAGAGGUCAUACAUUUGUGUUUCUGUGGGAAGGUAUUAAAUUUCUUUUACAAACUAGUUAGGAUGUCCCUAGAAGCAUGCUGCUGUAUGUAGACCAAAAGCCUCAACAUGACUCUAUGUGUGACAAGAAAGCCUUAAUGAAAUUAUCCCAAGAAAAUUUCUUCCCAAAACAAGGCUUAUAUUCGCAUAAGUCAAAACGAGCUACCUUACUCUUUUCAAAUGAGUUAAGAGUUUUCUGUUUUGUCCAAAUAUAACAGAGGUACACAUCGAGUCUUAACCAAUAUUUUUAAACCAAACUGUUCUUCAAAUCCAAAAAAAUUUUUAACGAAGAUUUGUCCUUGAGGUUUUUGGUCAAACCAAUCAAAACCUAGACAAAUCACAACUCUGUGUUUAAGAUCUAACAUCAUGAGUCCGUGAUGAAAGUGAAACCCAAAAAUCAUACACCUUUAAGGAAUUGACGGGGAACUUUGUUCCAGAUUUUUACGAAACCUUUGUUUCAGUAUCAAAAAUUUCGAAACUUCAAAUCAUAUUCAAUUCGCAUGCGUGGUCUUGAUCAAAUAUUUACAACCAAGAAUAUUUGUUACCCAACAAGAUCCAAAACAAAUUUUCUCUUGAAUAUGAUUUCAGUGUAAGUUUCAUUCGCAAAUUCUUGUCAUGAUAAAUAUUUUCACAAGCCAACUUGUCACUGACUACACUGGUCAAACAAGUAAUUUCAUUUACAAUUUCUCACCUUAUGUUAAGGCUGAUAUGUAAUGAAAUUUCAAACCAACCCAAAAUGACUUUUAAAAGAAGCCCUUUGAUACUUCUUUACAAGUAUUCGAUUGUAAUUCACGGGAAAAUACACAAGCUGUUGAUUAUCUUUCUUGAUGAUUAACGAAGCAACCUUUGCCUGGGGUUUUACUGCAUUCAUGUCAAAUUAACUUUUUGACAUCACAACAUUCCAAAGUUUCUUGAUUGUUAUCUUAUUCAUUGACACAUUGCACACACGAAAUCCUUGAGGUUAUGAGUAAAACCAACUUAGACUGAUGAUUUCGCAAGUCUGGCAUAUGACUUCACUUUAAAUCCCAAAAGUGAAAGAGCCUUGCUUCCAUGCGAAGGGUUUUACCGAUUCGGAUUCUAUAACGGAUACUUGAAAGGCUGUAUACUAAAUGUAUCCCGCUUUAAUUUCAAAUCAAGUUUGAGUAACCUAUAAAAGGGGGAUCAAGAACACUGUGAACAGUUACGCAAACAAGAAUUCUCACAAAACUUCAAAGCUUUCAUCUUGAUUCAAACUUCCAAUUUCUUUCAAACCCUAACAAUGGCAGCCACAAAUUCCAACACUGAUGAGGUCCUUUCUCAAUCACUAAUGAAGUUUCAAAGCACAAAUUACCAAGUUGAUCCUACCGUUUCUAUGUAUCCAGAAGACUUAAAGAUGCUUAUUGUGGCUUUGAAACGAUCACCGUUAUCAACUGCCAUGUUCCGAUCAUUCCCAGUUCCGAUUGUGUGGUUAUCUCGUGCUGCAUCCACGGCUUCAUACAAUCACACGGCAGAUGUGAUUACCUUCAAUCUCAUCAACAACAAGAAGGUUAAACUGUCAAAGAACUUGUUUGUGGAGUUCUUGCAGAUUCCAAACAACCCACCGUUUGUUAAACCUGUAAACUCCCAGAUAAUCCAUAUGUUCAAUGAGAUGGGACAUCAACCGGAGUUGGAGAAGAUCAGUGACUUCUGGAAGUCGGGAUUACCAUGCAUCUGGAAUUUUCUUUUUGGCAUUUUUCUACGAUGCCUUACCGGAAGAUCAUUCGGCUUGGAUAGAGGAAGAGUCGAAUGCCAUGGUAAUGGGUAUCUACUAUGACAUCAAUGUCGACUACGCAACACAGCUGUGGAAAGAAUUUGUGAAAAGCUUGGAAAACACAAAUUCGAAGAAGGGGAUAUCUUGUGCCAGAUACUGGAGUUUGAUCUUGGAGAAAGUUUACGAGAAAGAAGUUAUUCCAAUAAUGCAAGAUGUCGAAGUUGCGGAAUUUUCUUUCUACCAGUUUCCCAAAGUGGUUGAAGAUGAUGAAGCCAUUUUUACCCGUGUAGCUCGUAUUCCGGAUGCGAUGCUUCGCAAAGUUUCUCCCACUCACAAAGUGUUGGUGAGAUAUUUGCGAAACAUUGAUACAGCUAAUCAGACCGGCGUGCUACCAGAUGUUGCUACACCGUCAAAGAAGAAGAAGGUUAGCAAGAAAACUGCGAAGGGUUCAUCCUCACCAACUGUGCAAGAUGAAGUAUCGAAGAAGGAAGUUUUACCUUCCAAGUCUGGGGUUUUAAAACAAAUUCGCAAAGCGGAAGUGAGUAGUAAAGGAGUUACUAUUCGCAGUAUUCCCGCCCCAGUGUCUCCAGGAAAGAAACGCCAACGGGCAGAAGAUGUUGCGAAAAACAUGCAACGAACACUGGUCAAGAAGAUGAAGAUGGUGAUUCGCAAUGAAUCAUUAGAUGAAGAAGUUGUCCCAGAAACUCCACCUGUCACAACUAUGGUAAAUGUCUCUUUACCAAUCAUUUCAACUUCGCAAAUUUCCACUACUAUUUCACAAACCCAACCACUCGAAAUAGUUCUUACCAAGUCAGUUACUGAGGAGGUACCUAUUUCGGAUAUGGUUGUCAACGUAUCUGAUACGGGGGCACCUAUCCCGAGUGUUGCACCCAUAAUCCAAACAUCCUUACCUAUUACCACUUUAUCCACCACUUCAUCUAUUUUUGAUCAUGCCCUUCAAAACCCAUUCACCACACUUUUUCCAUCACAAUCACCUGAAAAUCCUCCACCUUCGCAACAAAUGUCUGAUCCUGAAGUCGAAGGAGGUGCUUUUGGAGGAAUUCUCGAUGACAUUCCUUUUGAUUCAGACGAAGAAGAUAUUCCUGAUCAUAUGCUGAUGACAGGAAAGCAGUUUAAAAUACUGAAUCAAAAGUUGAAGGCCAUUAUCCAAUCGCAAGCCGAUUCCGGGAGAAUGUCUUCAAUCUCAGCAAUGGAGGUGGAUGUCAUGCUUAAAGGUGCUGAGAAGCGAAUCAUGGAGAAAGUAGAUCAGUCCGAUAAAAACAAUGAGCUGAGAAUGAAAGCACAAGGGAAUAAUUUUACGUCUGCAGUUCAAAAUCUUAAAGCUGCUACAAAAGAACGCCACAUUCUUUUUGUGCAAGACGUCAAGAAAGCUCAUGAGGAUGUCAACUUCAAAAUUCAGGAAUUGAAGUCUGAACUUGCGAAGGAUCUUCAAGAUGUGCAUACGAGACAAGCAGAUCUUCAAAAGCAAAUUGUGGAAAUUUCUUCUCAACUCAACAAACUCAAUAAUAUUCCUGUUAUUGAAGAUCAGAAAGCUGCUACAAUGGAGAAGUUUGAUCACUUGAUCAAAUUGGUCACUGAGCUUAAAUCAGCCGUUUCGCAUUCAUCAUCUUCGCAAAUCAUUACUCCAUAAUUCUUGUCUCUAAAGAUUAACACUUUAGAACAAGCUAUUCAAAAAGCUCUUGCUCCGCUCACAAACUUCACUUCUUUACUUCCGAAGGGUGCUCCACCUGUUUUCAAAGGGGUGCAAGGGGGAGAGAAAAGUCGAAGUAAAGAAGAUGAGGCUAAGAUAGUGGGAAAAGUGAUUUCGACUCAACUGGUUGCAACUCUUCCAAUUCCUACAAAACCGAUUUCUUCAACAACAAUCACCACAAAAACAAUUUCCAAGGGAAUUGUUAUUGGAGAAAACGAAGGAGGUUCAAACUCAAAACCUCAGAAAGAUGUUUCAGGAAAAGGAAAAGGCAUCUUGUAUGAAAAGUCGAAGGAGGAAAUAAAAGCUGAUGCUGAGGCUGAAUUGGAGAGGAUGAGACAAGUUCAGAGCAUCAUGAGACAAAGGGCAAGUGAUCCUCCCUCCAUGAACAAAGGAGAUCCUGCGAAACUUUACUCUUACGAAACUAUAGAGUCGAAAGUUGUAGGAAGGGAGAUGUAUGAGUUCGAGAAGAAGCCUAAACGAAGUUACGAUAUUGCGAACUUAGAUCACUGUCAGCUGGACUUCCCAAUUAACGAAAUGUUAUUCAUCACAGCUCAAUACAAGACCAGUGAGAAAUUCGAUAAUCCGGAUGACUACACUCAUAUGAAAAUCAGAUUUCAUGCUGUUCUUGGGAAGAAUCCUGAUGAAGUUUGGACCCUGAUGAAGAUCAAGAAGGUGCUUACAAUAAAGAAGGAUGUUCUAUUUGAAGACAUGCUGCAAAAUUUUCGAUAUUUUGUCAUCAGGGCUGACAACAAACAAUACGACUUCACAGUUGCUGAUUUUCCGUUGAUGAAUUGCAACGAUCUUAUUCAAGUAGCUCUUAUUCUGAAGCAUAUGGAAGAAAACAAACUCAAAGGCUCGGAAGCAGAUGUGUUUAAAGUUGGAUUCGCACAUGUGAAGACGUUUAUAGACAACUAUUUCGACUGUUUGGCACUUACUGAUGAAGAUUUAGCUAAUGUGCUAGGAAGAGAAGUUAAAGUUCCAUGGGAAGACACUUUGACACAAUCUGCUCUGUCGAAGUAUGUUGUGGGUGAGAUAUGCCUUAAACCUUUUGGCAUGGUGUUUUCGGGAAGAGACACUAAAGGAAAACCGAAGAAAUUUUUGUUCAAAGCUUCAGAGAUUGAAAGAUACAAUUCUUCGCAAUAUACGCACUUCAUUAUACGUAUUAACAAUUGCAAGAAAAACAACGAAGGUGACAAGAGAGAUUUGAAGAAGGUGAUCUCCUAGUAUGGAGAAGUGCGAAGAACAAUUCACUCUGCAAUUCAAAAGCUUUUGAGUUGAAUUGCAUCGACUGUUUACAAAGGGGGAGAAUGUAGAUGUAUGUUGUAAAAGUCGAAUAGUCUGUAUUGUAAUGAUUCGCAUUUGUAUGUUAUUUUACUAAGUCAAUUUUGUAUGCGAAGUGUAGUAUGCGAAGCGUAAAUGUUUAGACUUAGUAUAUUUUUUGUAAGUUCCCUAUAAAUAGGGACUUAGGCUUGAAGUAGAGUGAUGAGAUCGAAACACAAUAUUUCUCUUUAGCUUACUUUGUAAUUAGUCUUAAUAAAAAUGAGAUCUGAUUAAUAUUUACUUCGUGUGUUCAUCAUCUUUCAUCAUUCAAAUCUAUUGUUUCGUUCCUUAAUUCUCGAUAACAAUUCUCUACAGAUUCAAAUAAGCUCUUUCAUCAAAUCGUUAAAUGGCUUUAAGUUCUUACAACAAUUACCAACAAUAUUCAAUAUACCUCAUAAGCUUGGGAUUAUGAACAUUUAAUAUUUGAUUACACUCAUUUUGAUUUAAUUACAAUCAAUUAAGUGUAUGUUACUAACAUCAAAUCAUAAAACAUAUACGAAUUUUACAAUUUGAUUAACUAGAUUGAUAAAAUCCCUAAUUCAUUGAUCAAGUGAAAAAGAGAAUAAACCAAACACAUGAUUAAGAUCAAAUCAAAGAUUACUAGAUGUUAAACACAAAUCAAGUUCAAGUUACAACCUAACAACACAUACUUAAGAAUUCAGAUUCGGAAAUGAUAAUGAAAUCAACCACACAUGUCUAGGUUAAACUACAAAUCAAAAGGGUUUAAACAUCAAAUUGACUUACAAAAAGGAAAUUAAAGUGUUUCCAAGUGUUAAUCUACUUCCAAAAGUUCUAAAAAUUGCAUUCUCUCUGCCCAAAAUCCGACCUAACUUCCCACUAAACUGAUUGUCUGAAUUAUAUGAGAGUUAAACUUCUUUAAAAACUGUCGAGACGUUUACACGGCCCGUGUAAAUUAAAGGGUGCCAUUUACACGGCCGUGUAAACAAGAAAAGUAGAAUGCUCAAUCCUUCCAGGCCUUCGGAGUAGAAUGCUCUUGUAUAUACGUUUACACGGACCAUGUAAAUUAUAAGCUAUCAUUUUCACGGUCGUGUAAACUCCUGUGAAGCCAAAUUCUUUAUUUCUUCAUUCUCUCUCUCUUCAAUGCUCCAAAACUUCUGAAACUUUGUCUCCAACUCUUUAUAACUUCCUCCAUCAAGAUCCAACCUUUAAAAAUCCCUGAAAUAUCAUAAAAGUGUGUGAAUGGAAUUGCAUCAUGAAAAAUCCCGAAAAAUAUGCAAAAUGCAUGAGUUUAAACCUAAAUGCAAUGCACUUUUAUGAACUAAAACUACAAAAUGAAUGCAUGAAAUGCACUUAACAAAUAUCCCCAAGCUUGAACCUUUCUUGUCCUCAACAAAGAACAAGAAGAUUUAAACUGGAGAAAAUAAAAUAGAAUAGAAGAAAAGAAAAUUAAAGUUAAAACUAUUUGAAACUUAAUGCAUGAAAUCAAAACAAACAUGAAAAGAUCCAACCCAAUUACCCUGUUUUGUACCAUAGUUGAGAAUGUACCUGUCAUGCCUUGAUUCAACUUGGCUUUAGUCUCAAAAUAUUAUAUGAUAAUAGAAACAAGACUUUGGCCACUCCCUAGUACAACUCAACAGAGUCGAAGAUCACAACACUUAUUCCUUUUCAAUAUCAUCAAGUCAAUUCUUGGAAAAAAUUAUGGUCUUACUCUUGUGAAAUUAUAUGUGACAAAACAUGCUCAACCAUCUUUGUUUCAUAAAAUAUAACAAUGUCCGAUUCCAGCUAUUUGUUGGUCAACAACAAUCUUUUUCUGAAAAAUAUUUUGUAAAAAUUCCCUAAUAUUUAUCCAGUUUGGUUGCAAACUUCAAACCACUUACACCUGUCGAAGUAAUUAACAUUCAGUCCAAUGUCAUAAAUUCAAAUCCAAGUCCAAGGGAAUCUUUUGACAGCCAAGUAUUUUUCCUAAACACAAUAUUCAAUUAAACUAUAAACACAAUUAUAUACAAACUUCUUAAUUAUAUAUUUUUUUUUACAAAUAAAGCUCAUGGCUUUCUUUGAAAUCUGUGUAACGGGCUUCCAACCAACACACCCAAAUCAAAUGACCUUAGUAUGCUAGAUUUAAAGAGAUCCCUCGGGUUUACUUGCCCGAACCUCAAAGGCCACAGAUUAGCUUUAUUUGCUAUUAUUAAGUUCAUCAUUUUCUAUGGAACCCAUGUAACGAAUUUUCAACUCAACCAGUCUCAAACUAUUCAGCUUUAGGCGAUUAGGUGUAAAACACCCCUCAGAGUUUACUUGUUCGAAUCCCAAAGGUUACAGAUUAACUUAAUAAUAGUUUUUUUUCAUUUUUAUUUUAUUUUAUGUAACACAUAUACAAAUAACUAAGUUAACACAUAACACUCUUAUUAAUUUAUUUAUUUGGCCAAUUUCUUUAUAUUUUCGUCCUUCACUUUUCUAUUAUGGGACAUCUCACGGUUUAUUACCGUGAGGGACUUCUAGACAUUUUUCGGGGGACUAAAUGUUAACAUGGGAAUGAGUAGAAAGUUAUGUUCUCAAGCAGGGUAUAUAAAAGGGAAUGAGUAGAAAGGACUUUUAAGAGUGCUGGAAGGCGGGACAUUGAGAUUUUGCAUUCUUUUUAUGAACUUUUGAAUUUGGCAUUUUAAGUUCAAUUGAGCAUUACUACUCAUAAGACCGGUCAUAUAUCCCAAAGAAUCGACUCAUACCUGCUGUUAUGCUCCAGUGUUGACAAUCUUCUCAUUUUUUGUUUUGCACAAGUAGCUUCGGGAGAUGUGCUCGUGUGUGAUUAACUUGCUUUUAGAUUUUUCAAUAAAAAGAGCAAGCCAAUUUCAAGGCACAUGACUCAUUUACCAGCUCAACUGUUUUGAAAAGAUUCGGUUGCUUGGGAUUGGAUCUAAUUAUUAUUAUUAUUAUAAUUUUUAUUUUAUUUAUUUAUUUAUUUAUUUUUGUUAUUAUUAUUUUUUUUUAUCAUGCAAUACAAAAAUUUAGAUGCAGAAUACAAAAGUAUAAUAAAUAUAGAGUAGAAAGAAAAAUUAUUGAAUUUUUUUUAAAUGACAAAGAAAAAUAAUAAAAAGAAAAAUAAUGCAAUGCAAAAUGUACAAAAUUACAUGCAACGGGAUAAUGCAUGGAUGGAUGCCCCUCCCCAAGCUUAAAAUAAGCAUCGUCCUCGAUGCUUGGAGAGAGGCAUAGCCGGCCUAUUGAGGACCGGGCGGUGGAUAUGGAGGGAACAGUGAAGGAUAAUCUGUAGGAUAAUAAGGAGGCCAUUGGGGUUGGGAUGAUGAUGGUGGUUGCGGCUGUGUGGGGAGCACAAGAACUCUAUGGAUAUCGCUCAGCAGGUGAUGAAUGUUGCGGUUGUGCUGCUCUUAAGCGGCCUAUCUCUGAUCCUGUUCAGCCCACCGCAGCUCUUGUUGGGCCCAAUGCUCUUCUUGCAAGUUACGGUAGUCCUGAAAAUCAGAAGUGAUUUCAGCGACACCCGUAUAAAUUUCUCUGACUUCCUAUUGUAGGCUGGUGUAAUGGUGGUUCAAGCGUGCAAACUCGCCCAUAUAAAGAUUGUGUUCAGAAGAAGGAAUGGGGCAAGAUGAGAUAGAGGCACCAGCAGUAGGAGCAGGAGGAGGAGAGGGUGGAGGACUAUGAUCUACUGUAACACCUAAGUUAGAUUUGAGUUUCCAAGUGGUUGAUGGAAUGUCAUUGGCUAAAUUGAGUAUCUUUUUGUUUCUGCUGUCUAUGCGUAGAUACUUUUUCCCAUCUACUGUCCAAUGAACAUCCCCAGUGGGAAGGCGGUGGAAAAGAUGCAUUGUUUCCAUAACAUCAAUUGAUAGACGAGUACGACCCAUGACUAUAUUUGUUGGGUUAUUGGGUAGAUGGAGGCCAAGAUGCUCAGAAAUAAUAGAAACCAUGCCUCCACAAUGUAGCUGGCCACCAUUGCUCGUAGCACUUCUGAGCAUUUUCUAAAUCACCCAACACCCAAAAUGAGGGACUUCUGCAGGCUUGUUAAUCAUACACCACAAGACUUCUAUCUCUUUCUUAUUAGCCUUGCUAAUCUCUUCUUGAGGGAAUAGGAGAGAAGCAAUGAUCUGGUGGGCGACUUUCAAGACCAGAUGGAUAAUGCUAGAACCUUUGGCUGUGCCUGACUGAUACUCAUACUCACAAGAGAUGCUUCUCCAAAACUUGCACGGUUAUGCUCAAACACAACAUUUUUUCACAAAGGAUGCUAUGUAUACAUCCCUUCUUGCUUUGGGAGCACCAAUCAUAUCACAAAGGAUGUCAGCAUGAAACUGAUGGGUUUGAUUGAGUAGACGGAAAGUCAGGAGAUGGGUUUGAUAGUCAAAGGUAAUGGAGGACAAAAGUUCCAACAUUGGUGUUUGAUAAUUAACUGCAUGUAGAUUCAAAAGAGCUUCCCAUCCUAUGUUUUUGAAGAGUUUGUGGACACCCUUAUAGAUAUGUAAAUCCUUGAGGGCUUGGAUGUCCACAAACUUUUGAGCAUCCAUUGUUCUGCUAACAAGAUUUGCAUACAAGAUUUCUUGUCGAUUGGUCUAAAAAAUAAGACCAAAUUCAUAAGGGUUGUCCAUGGCAUGUGGGUCUUGUUCAGCAUGUGAAUUUCCAAUUCUAGGUCUUUUACCCCGGGAAGCCAUUACCCAAAUGAAUCAACAAAGUAUUGCACACAAUUUAGGACAAUUGAAGCACAAGAACUAGCAAGUUUCACCAAAAAUCACCCAAAAAGGAAUAUGGUUCUAUCUAAAUGCACAAAGUAAGAGUUUGGAACAAUUAUACCGAUUUGUGCUUGAAAAUGGUGGUAAGAGGAUAUCCAAUGCUUCACCAAGCUAUCCCCAAGCUUAUCCUACAAGAAAUUUCAAGCAUUAGGUCGAGAUUUUGAAGUUCACAAAUUCUAGGGUUUUGCUCAAAAACCCCAAAAUCGACCAUGAAAAGGGUAGAAUAGAGGUGGAAGAUAAAGAAGAUGAAGAAAAGAGAAAAAAUCCAUACCUUGGAGCUUGAUUUUUGAUGCAAAAUUGAGAAAGAUUGAAUAUUUUGAAGGGUUUUUUCGAAGGGGGGCAGUAGGGAGGAGAGGAAUCGCAGGUUAUGUGAAAAGAAUGAGUUAAAAAAAUCGAGUUUUAGCCUUAAAAUCGUCCAGCUCUGUAUUUACGUUUACACGGUCUGUGUAAACUAAAGGGGAGCAUUUACACGGCCGUGUAAACUCCUGAAUCUGAUAUACCGUGUUUGGUCGUUUACACGGCCCGUGGAAACUAUAGGCAUAAGUUUACACGGCCGUGUAAACCUCUGAGAAGGCCAAGAAAAUUUAAUUUUUUCACUUUUUCAAAUUGCAACCCGCUAAACCACUACUGCCCGGAAAAUGAUUUUUAACCCUCUUUUAGCAUGAAAAACAACUUGGAAGCUUGAAAACAAAGAAAAUACAAUGAAAAUAUACGAAAUGACAAAAAUACCCCCGGGUUGCCUCCCGGUUAGCCGGCCCUUUUUAAUGUCGUUGGCUCGACUUGGACCCCAACUAUUUGUCAAUCUUGAUACUUUGGAUCCAUUACUUCCUCCACCUCUUCAUUCUUGACUUGAAAUCAUUCAUAAUUAGGCUUCAAACGGUGACCAUUUACCUUAAAAAUCUUCCCGGUUUUCUCACUUGUGAUUUCUAUUGCACCAUGCUCAAAAACAUUAGUGACAACAAACGGUCCCACCCAACGGGACCUUAAUUUACCAGGAAUUAAUUUAAAAUGCGUGUAAUCGUUUUGUCAUGGAAUGCUUUGGUCUUUUCCUUAUAAAGAACCUCUUUCUCAUACGCUUCAUUGCGGAUUUCCUCAAGUUCUUGUAUGUCCAACUUCCUCUUCUUUCCCGGUUCACUUAAAUCCAUGUUGAACUGCUUGAUCGCCCAAUAGGCCCUAUGUUCCAACUCAAUGGGUAAUCGACACGGCUUUCCAAAAACAAUACGGUAUGGAGACAUUCCAAUUGGAGUUUUGUAUGCAGUGCGGUAUGCCCACAAAGCAUCAUCAAGGCGUGUACUCCAAUCUUUCCUUGUUGUAUUCACGGUUUUCUCCAAAAUGCCCUUGAUUUGUCGAUUGCUCACCUCAGCUUGUCCAUUUGUUUGUGGGUGGUAUGUUGUGGAAACUUUAUGAGUGACACCAUAUUUUUCAAAACACUCCCGAGCAUACGAUUGCAAAAAUGUGUACCACAAUCACUGAUCAAGGCCUUUGGAACACCAAAUCUGGAAAAAAUGUUAGCCUUCAAGAAAUCUAUCACAAAUUUUGAAUCAUUAGUACGGGUAGCCUUUGCUUCCAUCCACUUGGAAACAUAGUCCACAGCCAAAAGAAUAUAAAUAAAACCCGAAGAUGAUGGAAAAGGUCCCAUAAAAUCAAUGCCCCAAACAUCAAAAAUUUCACAAACUAAUAUGGGAUUUAGGGGCAUUUGAUUCUUUAAGCUUAAGGAGCCCAUCCGUUGACAUUUAUCACAGCUUGAACAAAAGUCAUAAGAGUCAUGGAAAAUACUUGGCCACUAAAAUCCACUCUCUAACACUUUUCUUGCAGUCCUUUGAGGACCAAAAUGUCCUCCACAAGCAUUAGAGUGACAAAAUGUUAAAAUAGAAGGGACCUCAUAUUGAUCCACACAUCGUCUAAUCAUUUGGUCAGCACAAUAUUUCCACAAAUAUGGAUCAUCCCAAACAUACCUCUUGGCUUCUUUCUUGAUCUUGUCUUUUUGCCAUCGAGUCAAAUCUGGUGGAAACUGAUUUGUGACGAUGUAAUUCACAAUGUCGGCAUACCAAGGGGCAACUUUUGCUGAAAAUAGGUUCUCAUCGGGAAAUGCAUCAUGAACGAGAGUAGAUUCAUGGGGAGAAACAAUCCUGCUAAGAUGAUCAGCUACAAGAUUUGACUUUCCGCUCUUGUCUUUGAUUUCAAUGUCAAACUCUUGCAAGAGUAAUACCCAUCGAAUGAGUCUAGGCUUCGAAUCCGUCUUUGCAAGUAGAUACCUCAUAGCUGCAUGAUCAGAAUAAACAAUGACUUUAGAACCUAGCAGGUAUUGAUGAAAUUUGUCUAAAGCAAAGACAAUAGAUAGCAAUUCUUUUUCAGUUGUUGAAUAGUUGGCUUGUGCACUAUCAAGUGUUUUUGAGGCAUAGUAAAUAACAUUAGGAACACGGUCUUUUCUUUGCCCUAACAAUGCACCAACUGCAUGAUUGCUGGCAUCACACAUGAUUUCAAAAGGCAAACUCCAAUCCGGUGAUUGAAGUAUUGGUGCUGUUAUCAUCAACUCUUUCAACUGAUCAAAAGCUUGGUUGCACUCUUUGGAAAAUUCGAAUUCUGACUCUUUUUUUAGGAGCUCACACAUGGGACGAGAUAUCUUGGAAAAAUCUUUGAUAAACCUUCUAUAAAAUCCUGCAUGACCAAGAAAUGAGCGUACCUCACGAACACAAGUGGGAUAAGGUAAAGAUUUUAUGACAUCUAUUUUUGCUUUGUCUACUUUUAGACCCUUAGAUGACACAAUAUGACCUAAUAUGAGACCUUUGUCAACCGUAAAGUGACACUUUUCAUAAUUCAAAACAAGAUUGGUCUCAAUACAUCUUUGCAAAAUCUUUUUCAAAUUACCCAAACACUCAUGAAAAGAAUUACCAUAAAUUGUGAAGUCGUCCAUAAAAACUUCAAUGAUUUCCUCAACAAUUUCCGAAAAAAUACUUACCAUGCACCUUUGAAAAGUGGCUGGAGCAUUGCAAAGUCCAAAAGGCAUUCGCCUAUAUGCAAAUGUUCCGAAGGGACAUGUGAAAGUAGUUUUUUCUUGGUCCUCGGGUGCAACGGGUAUUUGAUGGAAACCGGAAUACCCAUCCAAGCAACAAUAAUGUGUUUUUCCCGCUAACCUUUCCAAUAUUUGAUCAAUGAAGGGAAGUGGGAAAUGGUCUUUCCGGGUUGAGGAAUUGAGUCUUCUAUAGUCAAUGCAAACUCUCCACCCGUUUUGCACACGGGUGGGGACUAACUCACCUUGGUCAUUCUUUGUAACGGUAAUACCUGUCUUCUUGGGCACAACUUGGACCGGACUUACCCACUUGCUAUCUGAUAUAGGGUAAAUCAUCCCUGCAUUCAACAACUUCAAAAUCUCCUUUUUCACAACCUCCAUCAUUGGAGGAUUCAAACGCCUUUUAGCUUCUCGGGAAGGCUUGUAAUCUUCUUCCAUAAGGAUUUUGUGCAUGCAAAGCGAAUGACUUAGCCCUUUGGUGUCGGCUAUAGUCCACCCAAUAACUUCCUUAUACUCUUUCAAAGUGGUGACAAGAUCUUCCUCUUCUUUUGUUGACAACUUGGUGGAUAUGAUCACUAGCAAAGUUUCUUUGUCUCCAAGAUAUGCAUACUUGAGAUGCUCGGGUAAAGUUUUGAGCUCCAAUUCCGAUGCCUGCACAAUAGAAUGAACAAGUUUCUCAUUAGACAUUCAUAUUUUCAGCUUUGGAACAUCAAACCUCAUUUUCUUCUUCUCAUCCAUGCAAGACACAACCUCCAUAAUCUCUUUAUCAAUUGUGAAUUGAUUGGCAAGUUUUUCCACUUUUUCCUUUUGAAGAUUCAUGUCUAAAAUGAGAGCUAACACAUCAAGACUAGACAAAUCAAAACACUCCUCUGUCAAUGGUUCAAUGACAUUCACAAAAUUCAAAGAUGAAAUAUCACUUGGAUAUCUCAUAGCAUCAUAAAUAUUGAAAUUUAUCACCUCCCCAUCAAAUUCCAUGGACAAUGUACCAUCAUAAACAUCAAUUUUCGUCCUGGCUGUUUUCAAAAAGGGUCUUCCUAGGAGAAUUGAACUCAAAUUUGGUGAGUCAUCAUCAUCCAUGUCAAGGACAUAAAAAUCUGCUAGAACCACUAGUUCAUUCACUUGGACUAACACAUCUUCUAGCACACCUUUGGGAUGUACUAAAGAUCUAUCAGCCAAUUGAAUGAUUACCUCGGUCUUCUUCAAUGUGCCAAUAUUUAAAGUUUUAAAGAUGGAAUAUGGCAAAACAUUGAUAGAAGCUCCAAGGUCUAGCAUAGCUCGUGGAACAUGAAGAUUACCUAAUUUUCAAGGAACCAUGAAAACACCCGGAUCGUUACAUUUUUGAGGUAGUCUUUUUUGUAACACUACGGACACAUUUUCCCCUACUUUAACAGUUUCAUUCCCUUUCAAAUUUUUCUUGGAUGUACAUAAUUCCUUAAGGAAUUUAGCAUACCUAGGGACUUGUUUGAUGGCAUCAAUAAGAGGAAUAUUUACCUCAACCUUCCUGAACAUCUCCAUGAUUUCAUUGUCUUCCCUUUCACGCUUUGACUUGUUUAAUCUUGAAGGAAAUGGAGGAGGAGUGACUUUUGCUUCAAUAGGAACUUGCUUUGAAGGUGUUUUUGACUUUUCUUCUUCUUUCUCUAGCUCCAUCUCUUCUUCUUCUUCAAUCAUUUUAGGACCUUCAUAUUCUUUGCCAUUCCUCAAACUGAUGGCAUAUGCACUAUGUUUUGGAUUUUUCUCGGUUUGCGCGGGUAGUUUGCCUUGUGACUCCAAUUUACUCACAGAAGUGGUGAGUUGAGUCAUUUGUUGCUCCAAAGUCUUGAUGCUCGCCUUGGUCUCAUUUUGAAAUGUUUGAGUACUUGUGGCUAAAUCUUAACAAUGUCUUCUAAAGACAUUCCUGAUCCGCUUGAACUGCUUCCUUGACGCAUGUUUUGAGGUUGGAAUUAAGAUUGAUGAGGGGGUUGAGUUGGUUGGAAAUGUGGUUGAUAACUUUGUUAGUGAUGCAUUUGAUUUUGAAAUGGUGGUCUUAGUUGAUAAGGUGGUGGUCUUGGCUGAAAAUUGGCAUUAGGUUGAUGCCAAUUUGGAUUGCUUCUUGGCUGGAAGUUCCCUUGUUGUUGACUUGAAAGUCCCAUAGCUUGAACUGGCUCUACAUCUUCUUGUCACAUUGGGCACAUAUCAGUGGGAUGUCCAACUUGUGUACAAAUACCACAAGGUCUAACUGUUGGUGGUUGCACGCCCUUGUCCUUUGCAAGCAUCAUUACUACCUUAGUCAACUCAGAAAGUUGACUUUCAAUUUUUCGGGUAGAAAUUUCUUUCACUCCUCUUGGUGCAUCACUGUACCAUUCUUCUUCUUGGACUGUAUGCUUGGACUCUUCUGCCAUGUUCUUGAUAAGAACUCUGAUUUCUGUUGGAGUCUUAUCAGCUAUAGAUCCACCACUUGAUGCACUGAGUAAUCUCCUAUCCCAAGAUGACAUUCCUUCACAAAAAUACUACAACAACUGAUAUUCUGUAAUCCCAUGUUGUGGACAUCUUGAGCACAAUUUCUUGAACCGUUUCCAAUAAGUAUGCAAGGGUUCUCUCUUUUGUUGCUUGAUACCAAUUAUCUCUCUGCGUAAAGCUGAAGCUCUCAUUUCUGGAAAAUAUUUAUCCAGAAACAUCCUUGCAAGUUCAUUCCAUGUUGUGACUGACCCCGGUGGUAAGUCAUAUAACCACUCCUUGGCUGAAUCUUGUAAAGCAAAAAGGAAUGCCCUUAACUUGAUUUGAUCUUCUGUAACUUCAUGCGGCUUCAUACCCACACAAACAACAUGAAAUUCCUUAAGAAAUUUAUGUGGGUCUUCAUUCUCAAGACCAUAGAAUGAGGGUAACAAAUGGAUGAGUCCAGACUUGAGUUCAAAGUUGAUUGCUGCAGGGUAAUUUGUGCACAAAGGUUGUUGGGUGACAUCUUGAGUGGCCCAUUGUCUAAAGGUUUGUUCAUGUGGUGGAUGCGGACGAUUUUGAUUUCCUCCAUGGUUGUCUACCAUGGUAGGAGUAGGUGAAGAUGGUGGGGUGAUACUUUUGGAUGUUGGAGAGGAUGUGGUUGAUGGAUUUGAUGAAGAAGCUCCAGAUUGUUGUUGUUUCUUUAAAAGUCUGGCUUGCUUCCUUCUUUGUUUAGCAGAUUUCUCUAUCUCCAAAUCAACCGGUAUAGUUUUACCUGUGCGGAAAGAUCUUGGCAUAAACAAUUAGUACUACUGUAUCCCCGGUAACGGUGCCAAUUUGUUUUGCUAUCAAACUAACAAAUAAUGGGAUAAAAUAAUAUUAAUAAAGCUCAAAUCACUGCUAUUUCUUAUACUAAAGAUAGUAUAGAGUAAGCACGGUCGGUCCACAGGAAUACAUGACUUCUUAUCUUGCCAUAUUUUCACACAUAAUACAAAUAAUAUUAAAAUGGGGGAUUGUGUUUGCACUAGAUUUAAACUUCAUAAAUAAACAAGAUUGUUAACAGAAUUUAAUAAAAGAAAUACAUUUUCGAUUCUGAUUCUUAUACAUGUAUUAUGUUGAAAGAUGCAAAAUGAAUAUGAUUGUGUUCUAUCUAGGUUGGUAAUUUAGAUACUAAUAAACUCUAAUAUCAAAGUUGACAAAAAAUAUUUUAUUCAAAACAUGUUCUUCAAAUAAAACUUCAUUUAAUUGAUUUGAUUCAAAUAAGAUCUUUCAUCAAAUCAUUAAAUGGCUUUAAGCUCUUGCAACAAUUACCAACAAUAUUCAAUAUACCUCAUAAGCUUGGGAUUAUGAACAUUUAAUCUUUGAUUACACUCAUUUUGAUUUAAUUACAAUCAAUUAAUUGUACGUUACUAACAUCAAAUCAUAAAACAUAUACGAAUUUUACAAUUUGAUUAACUAGAUUGAUAAAAACCCUAAUUCAUUGAUCAAGUGAAAAAGAGAAUAAACCAAACACAUGAUUAAGAUCAAAUCAAAGAUUACUAGAUGUUAAACACAAAUCAAGUUCAAGUUACAACCUAACAACACAUACUUAAGAAUUCAGAUUCGGAAAUGAUAAUGAAAUCAACCACACAUGUCUAGGUUAAAGUACAAAUAAAACAAGUUUAAACUUCAAAUUGAUUUACAAAAAGGAAAUUAAAGUGUUUCCAAGUGUUAAUCUACUUCCAAAAGUUCUGAAAAUCGCAUUCUCUCUGCCCAAAAUCCGACCUAACUUCCCACUAAACUGAUUGUCUAAAUUAUAUGAGAGUAAAACUUCUUUAAAAACUGUCGAGACGUUUACACGGCCCGUGAAAAUUAAAGGGUGCCAUUUAUACGGCCGUGUAAACAAGAAAAGUAGAAUGCUCAAUCCUUCCAGGCCUUCGAAGUAGAAAGCUCUUGUAUAUACGUUUACACGGCCCGUGUAAAUUAUAAGCUAUCAUUUACACGGUUGUGUAAACUCCUGUGAAGCCAAAUUCUUUAUUUCUUCAUUCUCUCUCUCUUCAAUGCUCCAGAACUUCUGAAACUUUGUCUCCANUAAACUUCCUCCAACAAUAUCCAACCUUCAAAAAGUCCCUGAAAUAUCAGAAAAGUGUGUGAAUGGAAUUGCAUCAUGAAAAAUCCCGAAAAAUAUGCAAAAUGCAUGAGUUUAAACCUAAAUGCAAUGCACUUUUAUGAACUAAAACUACAAAAUGAAUGCAUGAAAUGUACUUAACAAUAACUAAUCCUGGAACUAUGUGUGUUGGAGCCUGCUGGCGGCAAUCCCUCGCCAUGUGACCCUACCAACCACAAUUGUGGCACCCCGAUGAUGAUUAACAAGCACCCUCGUGUGCCUUGUUGCACUUCCGCAAGUGCGACCUUUCGACCCCCAGAUCUGACAUCAGCAGCGUUAAUCGCUUUAAUGCAGGCUGCGACUAUGUUGGGGCUGACCUCUGCUCUCUCGUCUGCAUAUCAAUCUCAAUCUCAUGCCGCCCGGUGGCCUCCUGCAUCUCCAACAAUGAACUAUAGUGCCGAGUAGAAACAAACUGCCUGAUCUCCGUGUUGAGAAUGCUCAAGUAAGGGGUCAUAUGAGCCUGCUCAGAUGCAGCAAACUUAGGGCAGACAUAGCCCUCUCCGCAAACAUCUUUGUAAUCUCCAUCACCGUCUCAGAACCCCGUCUUAAAUCUAGAUACUCUUGCACUAACCUCUCCCGCUCCACCAACGUAACAUAUCAGGAACGGAACAUCUCAGAAAACUGCUCCCAAGUCACAGUAGCCCUCUUCUCAACAAAAUAAGAACUAGUAGUGAGCCUCCACCAAUCCUUUGCUCCGGACCUCAGAAGGUUCAGAGCGUACCUGGCCUUCUAAUGAGCAGGGCAUGAACAAGUGAAGAAAUAUCCCUCCACAUCAGAUAACCACCUCAUGGCUAUAAUUGGGUCCUGGAAUUCAUUGAAAUUCGAGGGCUUCGUAUCAUUGAAGUCCUGAUACUGAAAGACCCACCCUAUCCCAACACCUGCAGCCGCCACGACUGUGCAGGCUGUAAUAUCAACCAUCUUCGAAAUGGUUGCAUAGUGAUCAUCAAAAAACUCCAUCAUCACGGUAUUGAUAGACCUGAACAUCUCUAGGAUCUGACCCCAAACAAUAGCAACCACCUCCUCGCGGAUGAUAUCCUUGACGCGGUCCUCAGACAAUGCUGGCCCACCAUGACUGCCAGCUCCUGAUCCCGACCCGGAUCCGAUCUCAACAUGUCUCCUGGUCACCAUAUUGAAAAUACACCAGGAAGAUAGCAGAUAAUCCAUAUAGCAUAACGAGGAACCAACUCCCACGAAUCCCGAGGGGUUGUGACUUCCUUGGUAUGUGUACGAGUCCUGUGCUUUCAGUAGUAUGAGCCCAUACUACCUUCUCCACCUACCCGUAUUUGUCUCAAGGAUCAUCACAACGCCCUAACAAUACUCAUAAGAAUAGACGAACACUCAAUCCUCACUCCUUAGAGGAAAAGCUGAACAUCUCACAACUAGCCGACUGAACCCACACAACUCGUGAUGAAACUUCCACCAACCCUGCAGCACUCGUGUAUGAUAGCCAUACGUAACACUAGAGCUUAUAAAUAUUCAAAUACAUGAUCCUACCCUAAGCCCUUCUUCAAACAAGAACAAGAAAUAAGGUCAAACCAGACAUUCUCAGGCUAUAAGAUCAUAGUUAUAUAUAACCAUUAUGCAUACUCUAAGCAACUACAGGAAUGAUGUCAAUUCCAUAAAAGAAAGGUCCUAGGCUAUCAAGCAUCAUAUAAUCAGGCAACUCAAUCAUGCAAUUCCUGAAGAUCCCUAUCCUAUCACUACCAUGUUAUUCUAACAUAGCACGAUAUCAAAUAAUAGUAUGAUACUUUGGGGUUAACUUACUGGCUCCAGCUGAUCGUACACAUCGCAUCCUCCUUGAGUAUUUUUAAAACCAUUUGAAAAUCAUUUUGGAAAAUCUUUUCCUUAGUUUGAGACUGGAUUCACACGAGCAUUCCUCCAAUUCACUAAAACCAAGGCUUUGAUACCAACUUGUAACAUUCGUGAAAUUCUUGAAAAAAUUUAAACUUUUAAAAUAAACCACAACCAUCAAUAUUUACAAAUUGUUUUCAAAAUAAGUUUCACACCAUAGAAAUCCUAAAAUUGUAAGAAUAAAAUAUGAGGAGAUACACGAUCACGCCUUCGCCUUCCCACGAUCCUUUGAGGUACCUGAAACAUAAUCCAAAACUACAAGCCCAAAUCUUAGUGAGUUCCUCCAAGAUACCAGUACAUUACAAAUAGCACAAAAUAUAAUAACAAUAUGCAAUGGGUCCACAACUUAACAUAUUGGAUUACCCCUGAGCCCACAACAUAAGUCUGGCUUGCAUUCGGCCCACAACUUAUGUAUGGCUUGCUCCCUGGCCUAAUCAGUCCUUGGACUGAAUAUCGCUAGGCCUUCAGUACAAGUCUAGCAUGCCCUUCCCGACCCUCAGCUCGUAUCUAGAAUGCUCAUGAGUCCUCAGUAUAAGUCUGGCAUGCCCUCCCUAGCCCUCAGCUCAUAUCUGGCAUACUCUAGGGUUUGUUGUCUACAACACGGAGUAGUACAACCUCAACCCAACCCACACAAUAUGUCGACAUAUAACAAAUAAUUCCAUAUAAAGAUAAUUAGACAAUAUCACAGGUAGUUCUACAGACAUACCAGACUGACAUAUCAAUUCUAGCAUGCAAUCUACACUAUACUCAACAUGUCAACAAUAUCAGGUUAUCAAACCAAUGGGUCGGCUUUGGUGCCUUCGACCCGAAAGUAUAGUGAGUAAGAAUCACCUCUCAAGUAGCUGAACUGAUAAGAUCUAACACCGAAUCUCGACUCCCAACUCAAAUGCCUACAACCACUUUGUAAACAAUUCCAUUAAAAUCUAGAAAUAUCCAAAAUACCCUUAAAAGUCCAACUUGGUUAACCAUGGUCAAAGUCAAAUUCAAAGGUCAAUGUUGACCCAACUCGUCGAGUGCACCUCUUAGACUCGUCGAGUUCUAUAGAACUCAGAAAGUCGGGGAAAACCCUAGCCAACUUGCUGAGUUGGCUGGAAAACUCGCCGAGUUUUCCCAGUCUUAACACAUACAGCUGAAUCUUCAAUUCCAGAGUCCCUAAGGCUCAGAUCUGUAAGUCCCCAAUUUGCUUGUGUAUCAAUCAGAUCCGUUUGAUGGUGCGGAACCAAUCAAACGGAUGAUGCCAGAUCAAAAUAGAAGAGAAGGAGAAGAAGAAUAACUUGAAUCUAUGAUGAAUUAAAGAUAUGAAUGAAGCUCCUUACAAUAGAUUCACACAUUAUCUUCUUCUCUCUUGUUUCUCUCUCUAAAACACACCUUAGAAUACACACACUUAAGCUCCUUUUCCUUACACCCACAUGCACUCCUCACCCUAUAUAUAAGACAUGGGCCGUGAACAAGUUCACGGCCGUAAACCUGUUCACGGCCGUAAACACAGUCGUAAACUCAUAAAACAAUACAAAAAAAUACAAUUGCCUAGAAAAGCAAAGUAUAAACCAAAAUUUUGACCCAACAAUCCUCCCCCCCCCCUUUUUGAAGUCGCAAAAUCCCCGAAAAAACAUUUAUUUCACAUCUCCAAAAUUACAAAGUACAAUGCUAAAACAACAAUGGAUCAAAACCCACACGUUUAUGUUAGUAAAAUCCAUACCUCAAAGUAACAACGGGUCACAAGAAGCAAGUCAUCAAAAUUACUGAUAACUGACACCAUCACCGCUUAUAACUUCACCAAUAUGAUACACCAUCCCACCUUCUUCCUUAAGUACCCUUUAAGCAGCCUCUUUACUAACAACCAAAACCAUCCCGAAUCCCAUAUUAAAAGUCCUUUUCAUUUCACCAUCUUCAAUCCCCCCAGCCUUUUGGAUCCAUUUAAAAAAUGGGGAAUCGGCCAAGAGUCAUUAUAAAGAAGAGUGCCAAGCCCUUUUGGGAAAACACGAGGGAUGUUAUCUGUGAAGCUGCCACUUGUUAUGUGUGCAAUUCCUUUUAUACCCUUAUUGCCCUCCUUACUUAUGAUAUCAAGCACUUGUUUUACAUAUAUUACAGUUGGUGCCAUUAAGGCUUCUGCUAAUGUGACUGAUUCUUCACCUGGGAGUUUGUCUUUCAAUGAAAGCCCACUUCUCACUAGCACCCUUCGAACAAGUGAGAACCCAUUUGAGUGGACCCCACUAGAUGGGAGGCCAAUAAGCACAUCUCCAACUUCUAUAUUCUUCCCAUUUAUAAACGAAUGCUUUUUCAUAGUUCCAACUAAAAAACCACUAAGAUCGUAUUCUCCUUCUGCAUAAAAAUCUGGCAUUUCUACAGUCUCUCCACCCAAAAGAGCACAGUCAGAUUGUUGGCAACCAUCAACAAUUCCUUUUAUAACCUUUUCAGCAAGAUCAACAUCAAGGCGACUUGGUUCAGAGUAAUCAAGGAAGAAUAAAGUCUUUGCUCCAGAUGUGAUGAUGUCAUUCACACUCAUCCCCACCAAAUCAAUUCCAAUGGAAUCAUGGAUUCCAGUCUUGAAUGCCAACUUAAGUUUGGUUCCUACACUAUCUGUACCAGCUACAAGAUACGAAUCCCCAAGUGGAAAAAGACCACCAAAGCCUCCAAUUCCAUGUGCCAUUUUGGCAGUCCUGCAUACAAGCUCUGAACCAGCAUCUAUGUCAACACCAACUUCUUUAUAUGUAAGGCCCUCUUCACAAUUGCUUUUAUCAUGUUGACAAAUUGUUACAAUGCUCUUUCAUUACUCAUCUCCUCUCCAGGUCAAGCAUUUGUUGCUCAACAACCUCAGAAUCAAACUUUUGUUACUCCAUCAGCAACAUUUUUUACUGCUGCAUCAACCAUGCCUCACUCACAAAGUCAGUCGUCUGUUGCUCCACAAGCUGUUUCCUCCCUCAAUGUACCAUUUAUGGCUUCUUCUUCAAACUCCUAGGAAAGUGAUGAAAAUCUUGCUCUUGCCACUGGACUUGUCAACUGUUAUAAUGCCUUUGUAGCUGGAGAGCUCCCACCUCAACUCUCAUUUGCUGACCUGGAUCAAAUUCAUCCAGAAGAUGUGGAAGAGAUGAAUAUUACAUGGCAGAUAGCUAUGGCAGUGUUCAGGACGAAGCAAUUUGCAAAGAAGACGGGAAAGAACAACUGGGGAAUGAAUGCAAACCAGAUAGAAGGAUGAACAAUGAUAGAAAGAUGGUUACCGUGGGAAAUAAUCGUGGAGGGGCUGCUGUCAACAGUGAGACUGCAAUGGUUGCUCAGUCUUUUGACUGGGAGGACCAAAUUCAGGCUCUAAAUAUUUCAAGACCUGAAAAUGCUCACUUGGCCCAGAUCGAUGAUGAUGUUCCUGUGAAGAAUGUUGAGGCUGAUCCAGAAGAAAAUAUGAUGGAAUUGUAGUUUGCUCUAAUAGUAUCUUCUACCUUAGAAUCCAAGGAGAAUGAGGUAAGUUUAUCUUCUUGUUCUCAAGCAUGCAUUGAUUAUGUUAAAAUUCUUCGUGAGGAAAUAAAAUCAUUACGUAGGGAAGUUGAGGACCUAAAAUACAAAGGUUAUUAACUCAGGAAAGGACAAAAACCCCUAAAGGCUCAAUUAGAAGCAAAAAUCAAAGACUUUAGGAGUCUUUAGGAAGACUAUAGCAACAAAUGUGAAAAUUAUGACUAUGUUAAGAGACAACUUGCUGAAUUGACUACUGAGCUUGACACAUUAAAAGGGUUUAGGAUACGAUAAAUUGCUUGCAAUUUAAACAUAAUCAGCAAAAGGGUUUAGGAUACGAUAAAUUGCAUCCCCCUUUCAAUCAUAAUUAUCAGUAUCACCCUCUGACUGAAGAGGAGAUUGCCAACGAACCAUUCAUGUUUUAUGGCAAACCAACUGGUUUUGUUUCAAGAGGAAUUAUUAAUAUUGAAAGUACUAAUGUUUCUACUUCCCCUGCAGAUCAAUCCUUAACUCAGUCAAAGAAAGAAGCUGAAGGAUAUGUUUUUGAUAAUAAAACUAUGUCUGGACCUGAUAAUAAAACUGUGUUUGAACCUGCUGUUUCUGUUUCGAAUGAAAACUUUAGUGUUUCUAAUGUUAAAAUUGAUGAUACAUCUUGUGAUUCUUCUGCAUUGGAUCAUGUUGAGUUGAAUUUUUUUGACAUAUUUGAUGACUUGUUUGAUAAUCCUUAUGCUCCUGAUGUUUCUGUUACAAGCACACCCACUCCACAAGUCACACAAUCUGAUGCACCCUCACUUAUCGCACAAUCUGUUUCUUACACAUGUUCUUGUGGGAAAAGUAAGGAUGUCAUUAAAGAAAAUAAAUCAAAAAAGGGAAAUACCAAUUUUAAUAACAAUAAACAGAUUUGUUUUAAUUGUGGUACUGGCGGUCAUAUUGCUAGGAAUUGUCACAAUCAAGAUUUUGUGCAUUUUCUGUCACCAAGAGGAGAGAACGAGUCUCGAGGAAGGUCUUUAACCAGAAAUUCCUCAAGAACUUGUUCUCGAGAUGAUGAUUUGAAGGAUGAUCAAAACAAGAAAAGGGCAGUUUUUCAAAGGAACAAACAGGUUUUUAAUAACAAAGUCAGAAACGGUUUGCCAAAAUCGAACAAGGCUCUGCAGAGAUCGGUUUCGUCAAAGAGCGGAUUUGGGUCUUCAACCACUUAUGGUAGAAAAUCCAGAUGCUUAAUGUAAACUGAAAGGAAAAAUGAUUCAAAACCACCAUGUUAGGGCUUCAACGGUUUAACCCUGUGUUGAAUCCCUCCUUCUCCUCCAGACACUUCGGUCACUCUGUUUCGCGCUCGCAGUUUCGUCUUCUAUAACACCACAAUAAAAAGGCAUCAUGAACGCCACAACAUUUGGAUAAAAUAUAGAGACAUCCAAGUACACAAUCAAGCCUUCUUGUCAUCAAUCAUCAUAUACCUCUCCCUUUUCUGCAACAACACACAAGCUUUCUUACUUGUCUAAGAAACCUACAAACUUAUCAUUCAGAAGAUAUUUUUGAGCCGGCUGCUCAAGAGUAUACUUCUAUGGUUGCUGAUAUCAUAAAAAAAAGGAUGUGGAAACGGGGCUAUGGGAAAAUCAGAUGUUCUUCUUGUCGACAAAGAUGGAGUCAAGCUAGUCCUAAACCAAGGGGAAGAUUGAAGGGUCCAGUUUAUGGUUUGGUCUAGGAUUUCCAUUGUAAAAGGUCUUUUGAGUCAUUUUAUGUAUUUUCAGGUUAUUUGGGUGUUUACAGCCAGGUCAUGUGUUUACGAUCGUAAACCCUGUUUACGGCCAGUGUCUUCUAUAUAUAGGGUUGGUCAAGGUCUUUUGUCGGUUGUUGAUGGUUUAGUAUUUGCGGCCUGAGUAUUCACAAGUUGUACCAGAUGUUUUUAUGAUAUAAACAUGUGCAAGCUUCUUUCUUCUUCUUCUUCUACUUCAAUUCUUACUCUUGUUGAUUGAUUGAUUGAUCACUAAUUAAGAUCAGUUUCUAGAACCUUAAAAUAUCUAAACUACAAAUAUGUCUAAAAGGAUAAAGUUUCCAAAUUUAUCCUGUGGGACUACUCCAAAUGCUCAAAAACCCAUCCACAAGGCUUGCAAACUCAAAAGCUUAACCAUUAAGCACAAAUCCUUGAGAUCUAGAACCCAACUUUAUCCAAGAGAGAUUCUAGACUCAAAAACGUCCCAAAGGUGGGUGCUUUAUAAACAUGCAUGUCCAAUGCAUGUCUUGAACCAAAAAGGGGAAAUAUGACCUAAACUCCAUGCAUGGCAUCAAAACGUGGAAAGGACCAUAUAUAACCCACUCCAAGGUUAUCUUGACCUGGAGAUUCAUAAAGUUGAAAACUUUAUGAAGCCCAUCCAUUGCAAUACCCAAGAAUAAGGAGAAAAAGGGACCAAAGUCAAGAUCUAGCUAAAUAGAUAGAUAAAAAUUCAGAUCUUGAAUAGUUACAAUGGUCCAAAGAGUGCCAAACUGCAGAUGUGAGCUUAGUUUGCUAGAUCCUUGCCUCUUUACUUCAAUCUUCUCCUUCUUUACUCCAAAAAAUGACACACUAAAUCACACGAUGAGGUGGAAUGAAGAUUAGGGUUUACAAGGUCGAUAUUAGGGUUUGGAGGAUGAUAAAAGAUCUGUCUCAAGGACUUAAAGAGGUUAAAUAGGUUGCAAACCCUAAAAUUUAGAUUUUCUCAUUCAACCGCCAACUCGUCAAUUUUUCCUCACCAACUCGUCAAGUUGGUCCAAAAAGAUGCACGUUCCAAAAGCCUUCGACACGUCGAGUUGAGGCCAUCAACUCGAUGAGUUCCAAGGGAAACUUGUCUUUAAAAUAAUAAAUCUCAUACCUAGGAAUUGAGAUGUUACAUAAGUACACACAAUACACACUCUAAUCUUUGAUUUUCCAUGGAUUUAAGCAACGAAGGUAUGGAUUUUUACCUUUUUUCUUCUUCCUUACAUUCAAGAAGCUUCAAAACACCAUUACAAUGGUGAUUUUCGGAUUUUUGGAUGAACCCUAGAAAUAUAGGUUUGGAAAUUUUGGUUAAAUUUAUUCAAUAUCUUUGUAGGAUAAGCUUGGUGAAGCAUUGCGGAGGAGAUUGCAAGUGUUUACAAGCAUCAACUUCGAGUUUCAAGCUCCAAAUAGAAUAUUCUCUUUCCAAUUACUUGACUUUGCAUUGUUAGUCAUAUAAGCUUGAAUCUUUGUGCUUAAGCUUUCAAAUUGAGUGUUAACUGUGUGUUGGUCCCUUGAAUUGGUUUUUGCAUUGUGCUUAAGAGUUAAAAUUUUCAUCUCUCUAAUGGCCUCAACAUCUUGUGAGGGUGGUAAGAAGGAUAAAUCAAAGCGUUCUAGAGUUGUUCACUCUAGUGAUAGUCAACGUGACCCAAAUCCCCCAUGCCAAUAUUUCGGUGACUUGGAAUUUUCAAAUCUGAAAUAAGAAGCUAAAUUUUAUAAUCUCUUCACUCGUAAACGUGUAACAUAGAGAUUCACGGAUAUUCCCGCUCUUGAUUACCUUCGUAUUCACGAUCAAGUUCACACCUUGUUUCAUCUUACUGGGUGGAAAGGUUGUUUUCACUUCAAGAUAUUGGUUAUGUACAACCCAUUCUUGAAUUUUUGUCAUCUGUUGCUUAUGAUCAACGAAUAGGAUAUCUUUCUUUCCAAGAAUUUAGUUGUAUCUAUCAGUUGCACAAAAAUCAAAUUUACGAGCUUAUUGGUGCCCAAAAUGCCAAUACUUACAUGCCUUUCCAAUACACAAAUGCUCUCUUCUCUGAAGAUAUCAAGUCUUUUUGGGAAAGAAUUGCAAGAUUGAGAUAUGUCGCAAGCUCUACGAAGGCAUUGGGUAUCAUUCAUCUUGUCCUUAAGGUCACUCAUCUAAUCCUUGCUUCCACUAUCCUUCGUCAACAAGAGAUUAGAAAGGCUGGACAAAAGGAAUUAGAACUCUUGUUGUGCACAAUUCACAAUCAGAAACACCUUCCAAAUUUUGGAUUGUGGGUAAUUUUCAAAUUGUUAAAAUUGUCUCGCAGCACAAGUGGACAAUUACAUUGUGCAUGUAUGAUCACUCUCAUCCUCAUGCACACAUCUCUAGGCAAUAUCUAUCUAUCCGGUCUUGAUGCCAUUCCUGUAGAAAUUCGCCUCACUAUGGAUGCUCUCCAUAAUAUGUGCCUAUUCGCAUGACAAUACAAGGUCGUAUUUAGACUGUUGAUACUUGUGAUUAUCUUAGCGUUGAUGAUCCUAAUAAUUAUCUUCUUACUUUGUCCGAUCCUAUCCAAAACACAACUUGGACUCUUAGGUCAAAUUUAGGUGUUUCAUUACCUUAACCUGAACUUGAGUCUAAGUCUAGUGAGGAUGAACCAAUUCCUAAUGUUGUUGCGCUAGUGCAACAAGAGCCUAUCAUGCACCCUUACCAUGACAUGUACAUGCAAGAAUUUCAAAGGUUGCAUGCUGACAAUAGGCGAUUACAUUGUGACAAUUUCGACCUUUAUAAUAGUAUUUGUGAGAUGAAUACCGAGAUUGUUGAUAUGAAAGAGGAUUUUUAUUCAUAUAGAGAGAGCCAACAAACCCACAACUCGCACGUGGAUACUCUUAUGUUUGACAUACAUCGAGUGCUUUGUAUGGGUGGUCAACCCACACAACCACCCUAUUAUCCCCAAUAUCUGCCCCUACACCCACCUCAAGAUCCUCAUCAAUGGUUGGUCCUGCUCUCUUUCCAAGCAUCAAGGACGAUGCAACAUUUAAAGCUUAGGGAUGGGUGAAUUUCAUUGCAUUUUUAUAUAAUUUUUAAAAAAAAAUCACAAAAAUAUUUUCAUUUUCAUCAUUUUGCAUUCAUCUCAUUAAAAAAACAUUAGAAAGUAGACCCGUCAAUCGUAAAGCAUGUGAGUGGUUAACCAUUUUGAAGCCAAACACAUACAAUANNNNNNNNNNNNNUUUCUCACUUCAAGGACUCUCACAUAAACAGAGAAUAAACAUUCUGAAGGUGUCCUCCAUGGUGACCCGUGGUGGUUUGGUUACUCAAAGUUAGAGGGUAGAUGAUUUUCUGUGUAAAGUUAGGGAGUGAAGGAAGGUAAAAAAUGUUUUAAAAACAUCGAUUCCCUUAAAUCCUGAUAAUAAAUACCGACUUCUUUUUAGAAAAGUCAUUUACCCAUUAUUAGAAAUUACUUUUAGGUAGACCUCUUUAAAGGGGAUUUCGUUUGUAUCCACAUGUCCGCAUGUUGAAUAAAGUAUUACAGAUCUAUUGGGCUACAAAAUCAAGCCAAAAUUUAAUUUCCCUCAUCAAAGGUCUCAAAGAGUUCAAUAUCUGAAAAGAUCGAUGAGAGAACCAUAAGCCAAGUCUUCCAACAAAGAGAUUUAGAAGCAAGCCAAUCAAAUAAAAGAAAAGUCUGAAUAACAACUUGAAGAAAUGAAAUAUAGAAGUUCAUCAAUAAAGUCAAAGAAAUCAAUUUGAAGAGUAAAAAAGACUAGAAACACAAAGAAAAUGGGUAGAUGCGGUGAUUGGUACUUUUAAGAGCAAGCCUAAGAUGGACAAUAAGUCUGGAUUGGGGAACAUGGUUGAGUCAACCUUGAGUUCACUAACUGAGUUUUGAGAAACGGUCCCUUUUUAAAAUAUGAUACCUUCCAAACUAAAGUAGCUUGACAUCGAGGUAGUCUAGAUUUUCUAAACCAUUGAAUCAAUGAAUUUCAUGUAAAGUCUCAUAACCCUCUAACUUGAACUCUAACCCACAUGACCGUCACUUUUAAGGACAACGUCCAAGGUGUGACUUUGUUGAGAUUUUCUUGAGAGUGAGACUAAUAAUUGAACAAUUUUUUUGUGUGUUUGGAUGAUUGGUAUUUGACUUUUAUACCCUUGGCGAUUGUUGAAAUUGCAAGUAAGAUUUUUGGACAAAAAACAAGGAUUUAAUUUCUUUUAGUUUAACCCUUACUAUUUUUUUCGUUUCAAUUAUGUUUUCAUGUAAAAUCAUUUUCAUUGCAUACAUUCAUUCUUAUUCUCAUAGGAUCUAUCUUUUACUUUCUUAUCUUUUUCGUUGUCUCUUUUGCCACCUAUAAACUGUCCCUUUCUUCCGGUUCUCGUUCUUUCUUAAGGAUAAGAAAAAUUCAAGCAUGGAGAGAUUUGUUAGGUGCAUAAAGUGCACUUUUUUACAUGCUUAUUUCAUGUUUAAUUAUAGUAUUGUAUAGCAUUUGGUGUAACUUUGUAUGCAUUUUUCAUUUUCGGUGCAUUAUCAAGGAUAUAUCUACUUUUCACCAUUUUGUGGAUGUUUCAGGGUGAUUUAAGGAUUGGAUCAUGCUUACGAUGUUUGUGGGAAGCUCUUGGCCAAGUUUGGGAUUUUUUGGAGCUAAAUUGAAGAAAUUGGAAAAUCAGAAAAAAUGCAUUUUUUAGGUAUUUACACGGCUCGUGCUUUCACAAAGGCAUAAAUUAUGUGGCCCGCGCUUAGCAAACCAUUCAUCAGGAAAAUACAUUACAAGGCUUAUGUAAUUUUAAGCGUGCCAUUAAAUGGAUCGUGUAACGUUGUCUGGCAGUUUUCCACAUUUUCAACUUUUGAUUUAUCUUGUCUUUUGGGGCACAUUUGAGGGGAAUUAGACCAUGUACUUAAGUAAUUUUGGGAGAUCAUACCACUACUUAGCACUUUGGAAACACUUUGAUUUGAAUUUUGUAAGUUUGUUUGAAGAUCAAAACUUGUUUAAUUUGUAUUUUGAUUUAACCAUGUGUGGCUAACUUUUUCUAUCAUUUCCGGUUCUAGAUUCUUAUGUGCUUGUUCUUUAGAUUGUAAUUUACACUUGAUUUCAUGUUUAUCAUCUAGUAAUCUUUGAUUUGAUCUUCAUUAAAAUGUGUGAUUUGUACUUAAUUUCUCUUGAUCAAUGGAAUUAGGGUUCUUAUUAUUCUAAUUAAUCAAAUUGUAAAAUUCGUAUAUGUUUGUAAGUCCCACAAACGCGAACAAACCAGUGAUCAAAUACAAUCAAGAUGCAAAAAUAGUAAGAAUUAGAAGGAGUAGAAGCAAAGAAGUUCCAACAAUGCACACGUUGUAUUCAGCUGUAAACGUCUAGUACACUUGGAACAGACACAGACACGUCUGACUCAUCUGACACAUCUGACAUGUUAUUUAUAUGACCACCAGUCACAAACACGUUCAUGGCCGUGAACAGGUUCACGGCCAUGAACCCUAUUCAGCCAUAAACACAACUACAAACACCUAUUACAUGACUUAAAACCCUAUCAAGACAUAUAUACAGAUUGAUGCCUAGCACAAUCCAACAAAAUGUGACCUAACAGUCCCCCCCUUGGUUUGAGCUAGCAUAGAUUUAGUCUUUUUCGAUUACCAACACAUAUGAUCUCCCCAUAGCACCUAGCCACAUCUUUUUAUCGAUGAUCUCCGCUAUCAUGCUAGUGAGCUCUUUGGCAGCAACCUCCAUGAUCUCCUGAUCGCAUAAAAUCUGAUGUGCAACCAAGGUAUGGAUGUCCCUUUCUCCAAACUGAAGCAGACCCUUCUUAUCAACAAGAUGGAAGCAACCAUCUUUGAACCUGAUUAUUUCAGUAGUUGUGGCUUCAUCGUAAACCCAAUAUAACAUGUCGCGUAGCAAACCAUCACAAAAGUUCUUGGUGAUGGGAAUCUUUGUUAUCUGCUUCGUUAAAGGCCACAUUACAUUCUUGAAGGGCUUGUUGGUGAUCGGGUCAAACACAUCUUUGGUUGUCUUCAAGAAAGACUUUGCGGUCAUCAUUCCAUCAAAUCCUCUCCUUACUUUUCUCUCUAAGAAGAGUUUAAAAUCAUUUGCAUGAGGAUCAUUGGAAGGGUUGGCGAAUGGAGCUUCAGAUAGCUCAGCGAGAUCCACCUUGGUGAAGGAAGAAAAAUCGUUCUUGUCUUUGUAAUAUUCUGAUAUGAGCAUAUUUAGUCAUAAAAAUCAUGCAUGAUCUUAAUACUUUAUGUUAAUUUUAUCUCAAAUAAUGAACCAAAGGUGCUUAAUUAGCUUAAAUAUUUCAUUUUCAGCAACAAAGACAUGCUCGAAAGGAAAAUGAAGCGGAACUAGCGAUUGGAAGCUUGGAUCUUCGAUUUUGAAGAAAGAAGGAUGUUGCUGGACAUUCCAUGCUAUUACUUUUUCGUUUCACCAGGCAGCAAUUGAGUUUAUCAUGAAAACCCCACAUAAGAAUUCUUGACCGAUCGCAGUAUUUGUGUUUGAACUUCUUCUUGUCGAGCUCAGUCAUUGUUAGUCUAGGUUAGUCCCCACAAAGAUUUUGAUCAAAAUUCUUCAUGAAAAGCAACCUUCCCCUCCUCUGUAAAGUGACCUGAUUCACAGGUCUUUUGAUUGUAAUUCUUAGAUGGGCUUGCUACGGUUCCUUUUCAAAAUAGUCAAUGAUUCGUGUGGUUCUGACUGUAGUAGAAUCGAUAACGGGAUCUUGUUGAGGUGUCUGGGCAGGGGUCUCAGCUCUGCCUGGUUCUAGGGGUGAGCAUAAUAACCGAACCAAAACCAAGUUAACCGAUAUAACCGAACCAUAAUAACCGAACCAUUUAAAGAACCGUUGGUUUGGUUUCUAUUUUUUGUUAACCGAUAACUAACGGUUCGGUUAUGGUUUUAUAGUUUAACCGAACCAUUAUUAACCGAACCGCUAACUUUAUAUUUUAAUAUAUAAAAAUUAUGGAUUAUAUAUAAAAUAAUAUAGUCAGACUUAUUUAAGACCCAUUAAAAUUUCAAAAUAUAAUCCAGUAAUCCUCACUUAUCAAGAGACGAACGAGCAAUAAGACCAUCAAAGGUUGAUCGCACAGACACACACAAUCUUCCAAUCAUGCAUUGAUCGAGUUGGAUUGUUGAUUAAUGUUGUAAUUCGUAAUCGGCUAAUUCUACAAUUUGCAAACAUUAUUUACAAUUAGUUUAAUCUUUACACUCAUAAUCUUAAUCGAAGGGUUCUUACACCGUUAAUCAUAAUCAAAGAUUGUUUUGAUUUUAUAGUCUUAUUCGAAGGAUUUUUUGACUUAAUAAUCAAGACUUUUAUGUAAGUUAAGUUUUUGGUUCUUCUUGACUCUUUGAUAUUAAGAAUGUACUUUUUUAGCUUUAUUUAUUUAUUGUGUUAACUUAAUCACAUUGAAUGUAUAAGUGAUUGGCUUUUUCUUAUCCAGAUAACACAUAAUAUGAAUGUUUGGCUCUUUUACUUGAUAGUUUUUGAUUUAAUCGCAUUAAACGUGUAUGAUUGUUUGACUUUAUUUUAAUAUUAACAUCAAUUAUCAAUAUAUGAAAUUAUUAAUGUCAAUCUUUUUUAUUGUUUUAUAUUUUUAUUGAAUGUUUUUGAUUUUGAAUGUGACUAUAUGUUAUCUCACUCUAAGUAUUAAAGGUACACAUUCUAUUACUAUAAGUUAGGUUACAAACAUUGGCGUCGAUGACUUUUUGGUAUUCUAUUUUCAUUUUUUAUGCCAAUAUAUUUUCGUCAUUUAUAUUAUUUUGAACAUUAUGGUUAACCAAUAUUAACCAUUAAUCAAAACCGUUAACCGAUAGAAACCAUUAACCAUAACCAAUAUUAACCAUACCUAAUGGUUACCAAAAUGAAUUAACCAAUCAUAAUGGUUAUGGUUCAGUUUUAACCAAUAACCGAACCAAACCGCCCCAUACACACCCCUACCUGGUUCUCCGACAGAUGAUUUGAAUUUGUUGCCAAAUUCUUCAGCUAGUUUGUGUUUAAGGUCGAAGUAACAGGCAGUCAAAGCUCCAAGAUGAUUCUGCAAGUCAGAAAUUUGUUUUGACUUUAGAGUAUUGUCUACUUCAAGCCCAGUAACUUGGGUGUCGACUUUCUCAAUAAAAACAUCUUUUUCAAUGAGUCUCUGAUUCAUAACACCAAUUUCUUCCUUGAGCUCUGACACAGAUGGGUCUUCUCUCCCUGAACUUCCUUCCCCUAUUGAUAUACCUUUGCCUUGUGGAGAAGGGUCUGAGUCAUGUUGAGCAAGAAACUUGGCAAGUCUUUCAGAUACGACAUCAUGCGCAGGUCGGAGAGGAGAACCCCCAGGAGCAGAAGAACUCCCAACUUCGAAUGAAGAUCUAACACCACUUGGUCCUUCUUGGGUUGGUCGUUCUUAGGUUGUUUGAUUGGUAUAGCAGCAUAAGUAGGUUGUUGAACUGGUGGAACUUGUUCUCUUACUAGCACUCCCGGCUUGGGAUCAGCUCUUCUUCUUUUCAGUGGAGGCUGGGAGGCUUGUGUCAUUAAAGGAUCACUUUCAAACAACACAGAGGAUGGAGUAACAACUGGGAGGAUGGGAUCCUUGAAUUUGUAUCCACAUUCAUUGAAGGAUCAGCCAACCAUUUGUUUAGAGGUAGGAGGUGUCACAUUGAGAACAUCACGAACUCCCUUUAUCUCCCUUGUCGGUUGUGCAACAUCAUGGACAUUUGCGAAGAAAUCAUUGAGGUCCUCAGUACUUAUUCUUAUAUCUUGAUCUUGGUCAGUACCAAAGAAUAGAUCUUCAUUAUCAUAACUAGUAAGAUCUUCACCAUGAUCCAUAUCAUCUUCACCAUCAUCUUCAUUUACAACAUUCUCCAUUAAUUUCAUCUCGAAAUCACUCUCAUCAUCAUCAUUAGCAUCCUCAUCAUCAUUUUCUUCUUCAACUGUUACGGGCACAUGCUCUUCGGCGACAAUCACCACUGGAGCAACAGGUUCCUCUUUGUGUUCAGAAGCAGUAAUCACUUCAUCUUCAGUUUCUUCAUAAGUUGAUGAACUUUUAGUCACAAACGCAUUACUGACUUCUACAAAUUGGCCAAAUUUCACCAAAGGAUAUUUGCCUUGGAACAUGAAGUUUCCUUUUCUAUUUUGCUUCAUAAUCCCAAAACUGUUAGAACCAAGGGAUUUCAAAUCAAGUAUUUCUCCUCUUUUCUCAAGUUCCGGGCAUUUGAUGUUGAAGAUCAUUUGUGGGAACCUCGGAAACAUGAGAAAAUUUUCUUUCUUCUUUCCUUCCAAGUUGUUUAUCAUCUCGUUCAGGAUGUAUCUUGAAAAGUUGAAGUCGAGACCCAUAGCGAGAGCAGCAAUGGCACCCGUGUUUAGUAACGAGAUCUCGUCGGCACCAGCUCUCCGUCCAGAGAUGUAGCUCACGAGCACAUGGACCAGGAACCUCCAAUAGGGUGGCAAUAGUUUCUUGAUCGUAGGAGGAAACACAUCCUCAUAGCCCAUUCGAUUGAUAAUCUCCUCAGUCUGGUCCAUGGGGAUCUCUGUUGGAAAUUCAGACUGGUCAGUGAUCUGUAAUACUUCACGUAUGACUUGCUCUGUUAUAGUGAUCUUCCUUCCAUUGACAGUUGCUUCUACGGAGAUUGGAUCAUCAUCUUCUUUGUGCACCGUAACUAUGUUCCAGAACUGCUUCACAAGAUUUUGAUAAAUCAUUGGACUGGAUGUGAGAGCAUAUGCCAAACAACAUUUCUUCAGUCCAUGAAUCAUGGACUUGAAGUCACCGUGUGCAGCUGGUGGAUCAACCAAAAAGAUGCAAAGGUUAUGGAUGUCUGCAAACUUCAAAUCUGCCAUAGUUGACCUGCACCAAUUGAGCCAAGUAAGAAAAACAAAUAUUUAAGCAAUUAAAAUUAGUUUUUCUCCUUAAUCAAUUAAUUAGGCUUUAAUAUUAAUUUUAAUUGAGCAAAAAUUGUGUUUAUGUCCAAAAGAGGGUUCACGGCCGUAAAAAGUUAAUGGCUGUGAACGGUUUAACAGUCAUGAAUGCCUCAACAGUGCCGAAAAUCAAAUUUCAUUCAAUAAACCCUGUAAACACAAUCGAUUCCUGUUAAAUUUAGUAUGAAUGAUGUCGCCAUGAGAGUACCUACACAAAUCAGCAAGCAAUUUCGAUAGAAAACACGAAAUGAAGAUGAAUUGAGAAAAGCUAUAAAGAGGGAGAGAGAGAGAGAGAGAGAGAGAGAGAGAGAGAAAGGAUGAAGGGUUCACGACCGUUAUCGAAUAAUGAAGCUGAUGAAGGUUAACGACCGAGAACUCAAACCUUUUAUAUUUGGACCCAUACCCGGUCCAAUACCCAUGGGCUGCAAACCCAAGAAGCUUCAAAUCUAAGCCCAAUAUUCCAAUUUUUUUUUUUUUUAAAUAAAAACAUUUUGAAGACAUAAAAAUUAUAAUAAAAUAAAAUAAAAUCUAAAUUUUUUAGCUAAACUAAUUUUGACUAAAUUUUUAACUUUUCAAUUUUUUAGAAAAAAAUAAAAUUAAAAUAAAAUAACAUAACACAAAUUUCUUUUUCACCAUUGCAGAUAUUCUUUUUGUGAUUUUGGGAUCAAAGUUUUAGGACAAUCUUAGUCCGUUUUUCAGUACCUCCACCUUUGUGACUAGAUCUGGUCAAUUGUCGGUAUUGUUGUCCACUUAAACACGAAAAAUUAUGACAAAAGAGGACAUAAUACAAGUGACAAGGUAUUUGACCCUAUGAUCCUAAAUAAUAUUCCUAGAAGACCAUUUAGCUGCUGACGACCACGGAUAUUAUUGUCCACCUAAAUUUAGCAGCGAGAUCUACAGACAACCUAUUAAAUGUUCAAAUUUAGGUGUACUAAAAUGUGUUUCCCGCUUCCUGACAUACUCCGAUAAUCAAGAACUUCCAGAAUACUCCUUACUUUAGGUGAGUAGACAAUUAUUAGGAGGGAAGUUAGAUGUAGAAUGCAUACGUUGUACACCCUGGUCGGAUUUUCCAAUCACAUAGAGGGAAAAACGUAUGACUAACUAGAUAGAGGGAUUGAGACAUAGAAUGAUGCAUAUGUAGUGUUCCAGGUCGGAUAAGGACUUAUCAUGCAAAAGAGACAACAUAUGACUAACAAACAGAAAGAAUUUGCAUAGAUAAGAAGAUGCAUAGAAGUAUAAUUGCAUAUGUUGUAGUGCAGGUCGGAUCUUCCAAUCAUGUAGAGGAGGCAACAUAUGACUAAUAGAAAGAAAGCAAGAAAAUAACCUUCUACAGACCUACUUUUUCGGAAUUCCCCAGUCGCCCUAUCAGUACCAGAAUUAAGGACAUGUGUCCAUACAUCGAGGAAAAAUUAUGCCACAGUUAUAGAUAUAGAUUACUUAAGUGAAGCCCGCAGAUUCCCAUGUAUAUCUCACUGCUCAAUCUACCCGAGUGUCGUAUUGUUAGACCAAACGGGAGUAUCUAAUUCAUAUUUUUUAAGUCCUUUCAUAGUCCAACUAUACCGAGUCUGGUCCAUUUAAAUCUUUCGUGCCUACCAGCGCAUCGAACACAGAUCCUAGACAGUUCAGUGUUUGUACCUUACACAAACCAAAAUUGUCUAUUAUCGGUUGAUAUCACUUACCCACACAUCACCUGCAUACAAACUCCAUUAAAAACAUAUUUUUGGAUUUUUUGAUUUUUAAAAUUUUGUUUUGUUUUUGUUUAUUUCUCCCCUUAAAUUUGUGCGUAGGAGAGAAGGAAAAUGAAAUGCGCAAAUUUAAACUAUUUAAAACAAAAGUUAGCCCUCAAAACGUAACAUUUUUAGAAAACCAACCAGCACAUCGAACUGAGCUUUCUUAAACGAUUUUGUGAGCAGAUUCGCUACACUAUUAUUGACCAAAUGUUGGAAAGGUUGGCGGGAAAAAUACACAAUUAUUGCUUGAUGGGUAUUCCCGUUUCCAUUAAAUACCAGUUGCACCCGAGGAUGAAGAAAAUACCACUUUGACAUGUCCAUGCAGAACGUUUACAUAUGGACAGAUGCCUUUUGGGCAUUGAAAUGCUCCCUCAACUUUUCAAAGGUGCAUGGUAACUAUUUUUUUCGAGUAUGUUGAGGAAAUCAUUGAGGUGUUUAUGGACAAUUUCACUGUUUAUGGUAAUUCCUUUCAUAAAUGUGUGGGUAAUUCAAAGAACAUUUGGCGAAGAUGUAUUGAGACCAACCUUGUUUUGAAUUAUGAAAAUUAUCAUUUAAUGGUUGAUAAAGGUUUCAUACUUGGACAUAUUGUGUUUUCUAAGGGUCUAGAGGUAGAUAAAUCAAAAACUGAUAACAUUAAGUUUUUACUUUAUCCCACUUGUGCUCGUAAGGUACGCUCGUUUUUGGAAAUGCCGCUUUUUAUUGAAGAUUCAUCAAGGAUUUUUCCAAGAUAUCUUGUCCCAUGUGUGAGCUACUACAAAGAGAUGUAGAUUGCAAAAUUUUCAAGGAGUGCAAGCAAGGUUUUGAUCGGUUGAAGGAGUUGUUAAUUUUAGCACCAAUACUUCAAUCACCGGAUUGUAGUUUUCCAUUUGAAAUCAUGUGUGAUGCUACUAAUCAUGCGGUCGGUGCAGUGUUAGGGAAAAGAAAAGAUCCAGUUCCUCUUGUCGUAUACUAUGCCUAAAAAAAAACUGAUGGUGCACAAGCCAAUUAUUAGACAAUCGAGAAAGAAUUGCUAUCUACUGUCUUUGCUUUAGAUAAAUUCCAUCAUUAUUUGUUAGGUUCUAAAGUGAUUGUUUAUUAUGAUCAUGCAACUCUUUGGUACCUACUUGCAAAGAAGGAUUCGAAGCCUGGACUCAUCCGACAGAUUUUGUUCUUACAAGAAUUUGACAUUGAAAUCAAGGACAAGUUGGGAAAAGAAAAUCUAGUGGUUGAUCAUCUUAGUAGGAUUGUCUCUCCCGAUGAACCAAAUCCCAUCCAUGACAUAUUUCCGGAUGAAAAUAUGUUUUCAGUAAAAGUUGCCCCGUGGUAUGCCGAUAUUGUGAACAAAAUCUCCACAAAUCAAUUUCCACUAGAUUUUACUCGUUGACAAAAAGACAAAAUCAAGAAAGAUUCCAAGAGGUAUGUACGGGAUGAUCCGUAUUUAUGGAAAUAUUGUGGUGACCAAAUGAUCAAACGAUGUAUUGAACACCAUGAGGUAUCUUCUAUCUUAGCAUUUUGUGACUCUUAUGCAAGUGGAGGACAUUUUGGUCCUUAAAGAACUUCAAGAAUAGUUUUACAGAAUGGGUUUUACUAGCCAAGUAGCUUCCAUGAUUCUUAUGUUUUUUGUGUAAGUUGUGAUAAAUAUCAAAAGAUGGGUUCUUUAAGCUGAAAGAAUCAAAUGCCCCUUUACCCCAUUUUAGUUUGUGAAGUUUUCGAUGUUUGGGGCAUUGAUUUCAUGGGUCCUUUCCUAUCAUGUUUGGGUUUUACUUACAUUCUUUUGGAUGUGUAUUAUGUUUCUAAGUGGGUGGAAUCUAAAGCCACCCAUACUAACUGAGAGAACAGGAUUGAUACGUAGGGACAAGGUUUGAGAACUCAAACCUUGAGUGAAUGCUUAAGAUCAAUGUCUGCUUGCUAAUGAUAGUUCGUCCUCACAUUUCCUCCUUACCUUCUACUUUUCUCUCUUCGACUUCUUGUUUCUAAGAAAACCCUUUCAACCUUUUCUUCAUAUUUUUCUAUGCUCGCCACUCGUUAUUUGGGAAGGGAUCUUACCAUUAAAGAAUGGUAAUCUUUCGAGUUUUGGUUCGGGUUCGUUCCCGAACACGGAGUGCAAAUCCCUUUACCUGAUGCAUCACUUUACAGUCCUCUCGAGGGAAAAGUCGACAUCCCAAUCGCCUUGUUCGAGGCGGGUCUGCGCAUGCCUACCACAGAUUUCUUCAACCUGAUUAUCCGGGAAUAUGGGUUUUCCGUGAGAGAGUUGACCCCUAUCGCUAUAAACAAGAUAGUGGGUUUUGAACUCUACUGUCGUGCCCUAGGCCACCUGCUGACUGUUCUGACUUUCAAGCACUUCUUCAGUGCCUUUACUCAGUAGGGGACUCUAACGCUUUCUCGUCGACAGGGAGUCCCCACUCUUAUCCACAUUAAGAAGUCCAAGAAGAACUGGCAGGAAAAGUUCUUAUGGGUGAACAACGAUCUCAUGGUGCUCAAUUACCCGAGGGCUAAGUUGUACGUCAACCAUGCUUCGACACUUUUUAGUGCUGAAAAUGAACUAGAUGACGUCCUAGAGAAGAUUAGUAUCAACUGUGAGGAUUGACUUGACUGCUUCUUGGCCUCCGUCAGAAUGAGCGCCGCUUAGAGGGCUCGCUGGAAAAUGCCCGGGUUUUUCUUUGAGAAAGAGGGUAUUUCUCUUGCUCCUCUUCCCCCCCCCCACUUUUUUUAAAUAAUCGGAAAAGCAUGUUUAAAUCAGCAUUCUGUUUAACCGUCGUUUGUCUUCUGUUUUGUUGCCAGGUGUGGAGGAGGUUGUUUCUAUAGAGAAAGCUCUUCAGCGUUUGUUCGACAGUGAGCUUCAUUGUCGCGACAUCGAUCUUGUGGAGGUUCUUCCACCCCUAUUUUUGGCCAAGGAAUUAGGUAAAUGUCGGUUGUGCUACUGUUACCGGCACCGGCGAGGAUCCAGAUCUGCAGGACAUUGUUGUCACUGGUGUUUCGCAGAAGGAUCCUACACCUUCCAGGUCCCCGAGGAGUCUCCUUCGUGUCAAGAGGCAUUUUUCUUUCUUUGAAGCCUCUUUCGCUGGUCGACCUGAGAUGGCCUACACCGGCCCCACUCUUCGUAAGAAAGAUAAUCUGAGUUUCUUACUAAGGGUACCAAGGAUUCCAACCGUUCCCCCGAUGAAAGUCCUCCGGAACUGCUGGAGGGGGCACAAAUCAGGGCGACUGAAACACCCUGUCAUACCAGAGAAGAAAACAUUGACAAGAACAGCCCUGUUCCCAUGACUGGGGGAGCUGAGGUGAAGACUGGAUCUUCGCCUUCCCAAGGUGUCGCAUCAACAUCUUCUAGUAAAACCGUAACCAUCCCCCUUCUUGUGGGUUCUGAUCUAGAUGCCUAUAAACCAGCUUGGAGACUAAUUGACCAAGACCUUUUCUCUGAUCACGACACUGCUCUUGAUUGGUAUAGCACGCUUUUCCUCCUACUACAACUGAGGCCUUGACUGUCAUGUCAGAUGAGCACAUGGCCAACGGCUUGCGUUACGCCGCCUCCCAAGUGUCAUCUUACUUGGCUGCAACUACUGAACGUAUCUCUGAUAUGGAGACCAUCCAAUCUGAUUCUAAUAGGAAAAGCAUUGAAUGUGAAGAGCUGAAAGACCAGGUGACCAAGAUAAAAGCCGACAAGUGUAGCUGGGAGGCCGAGCAGGAGGUGACACUAUUCGAGAAGGCAAGCUUAACAGAGCAAGUGGCAAAGCUGGAGGAGGAGGUGAGGUGCUUAAAUGAUUUUGUGGGAGCCCUGAGUCUAGAGAAUGUCGGUCUGAGCGAGCGAACAACAGAACUUGACGUUGAUCUGGUUGCUAGGAACGCUACAAAAGGAGCGCUGGAGAAGGAUGCUUCGUGGAUCCUUAGCGACGGGCUCAUCCGGGUGGUGGACAGGCUGAUCAAGAGCCCUCAAUUUCUCCAAGGCUUGGUUCAGGUGUGGGUAGCUUGUGUGGCAGAAAGGGUGAAGCAGGGAAAGAGAACUGCGAAAGAGCUGAUGACUGCCGGGGAGUUUAAUCCGGAGGUUGAGGUAGACGUGACCACUAAGACCCAAGAGAUGGAAGAUGGCAUGGCAAGUUUUACUAAAAUAGAUUUCGCUGGCUAUCUCCGCAUGGGCAGUCUGGACAUGGCCGAUGGGUUUGCCCUGGCUAAAGUUCUUCACCCGGUGAUGGUAACACCCAUGCCCACAAGUAGCGUUGUUUAUUUGAUUUGUUGUGAUGUAAUCUCAGUGAACAAUUUUUUUUUGUUUCUCUUUUUUUGUCUUUGCUUCCCUAGAGGCAGACUGAAAGUUCGGGUGUCCGGCAAUCUGACAAUUUCUACUUUUGGUUAUUGGGCAUGAAUGUUUUUCACUACCACAUAUAUUUUUGUUGUUUGGUUGCUUUGUGUAUGGUUUAUGUUGGCGAUCACAUGGUAUUUACGCAGGGUUUGCUUAUACCCUUGGUUUGAGUUCCUUCAUUGAUGAACUCUUUAUGCCUUUCUAAAGCUAGUCUUUGAGAAAUUUGUUCUAAUUUGCUGCUUAAGGACACUAGAUGUAGCCAAGAUCGUCAUCUUGAGGCUCACCCGAUUAUGAUUUUCUCAUUAGUGGAAGGUUAUGACUCUUCUACACUCAUGUCACAUGUUGUUUUGUAUGUUUGCUAUGAUGUGAUUGAUGAGCAUGUUUUGGGAGAAAGGUUAUGAGCCCUUUUUAAUACAAACUCGUUGGUUGCCUCCUUGUAACCAUUUCGGUCGAUAAAUGUACACAACCUCUUUGUUUUAAUUUUCAAGCUUGAAAAUAAGGAACAUAUGAAUUUCCUUUCUGUUUACUCUAGUUUUGUUUAGAGUGUAAUAAGACUGAAAGUAGUAAAGUAAUUCUUGCUGAUUACAUUUACAUGUUAAAACUAAUACACAAUGCUCUUGCUUUCAUUGAAUCUACCUUUAACACUCGUUUUAAGAGUAAAAGUGAUGCAUGCUCUGCGCAUUCCAUGUUCUUGGAAUGGUACGCCCGUCCUGAGCUUCUAGGACAUAAGCACCUUUCUUAUGGGCUUCCACGAUUUUGUAUAGUCCAUCCCGCGUGACACUGAGUUUCCCCAAUGUUUCAGCAUGGCUAGACUCGUUCUUUCUUAGCACCCAUUCUCCAAUUUUCAAGUUCUUGACUCGGACUUGGCGGUUGUAAUAGUUCUCAGUUCAUGAUUUGUAUAGUGCAUGGCACACUUGUGCCACCUCACGCUUUUCAUCGAGCAUGUCCAGGUCCUGGCAUCGCCCUUCUUCUUUGGCUGCUUCAUUGAAACUAUCUGUUCGCAAGGAGCCUACCACUAUUUCUAGGAGGAGGACUGCUUAUGUCCCAUAAGUUAAACUAAAUGGGGUUUCUCCUGUACUUGACCUUGCUAUGGUACGAUAUGACCACAACACGGUCGGGAGUUCAUCCACCCAGGCAGACUUUUAUCUGAGUAACCUUUUAUUCGAACCAUUGAAUAUGGUUUUUUUUAUAUCUCAGUUUGUCCCGUGGCCUGAGGAUGUGCUACUGAUGUGAACCGGUGAUGGAUUUUCUUGUCUUCACGCCACUCCUUGAAGGGACUUCCUUUAAAUUGCAUGCCCUUGUCACUUAUGAGGAUCCUAGGAGUUCCAAAAUGGGCCAUGCUGUUCUUGGUCAUAAAUUUCAUCAUCUGCUUGCCAGUGACAGUGGCCAGUGGUUCCACCUCUAUCCAUUUGGUAAAAUAAUCCACGGCUACCAGCAAAAACUUCACGCCCCCCGGUGCCGGUGGCAAAGAUCCCACUAUAUCCCCCCAUUGAUGGAAGGGCCAGGGGGUGGUGAUGCUAGUUAAUGGCAUUGUCGGUUGGUUUUGGAAAGGAGCGAAUUCUUGGCAUUCUUUUCAUUUCUUGGUUAGGGUUGCGACGUCAUUGUCCAUGUCUGGCCAAUAUACCCCUAGGCGGAGUAUUUUGAAUGUGAGUGCGCGAGCACCUUCGUGUGUUGCUGCGUCCCCGGAAUGGCUUUCUUCGAGGAAAUUUUUCCCCUUGGUUUUAGAGAUGAACUAUAACAUACUGACUCCCAGGUAUAAAAUUUAAUUAAUUUACAUUCAUGUUGUCAGAGAAAAUCGACGAGUUGGAGGCCCCAACUCGCCGGGUAGAGGGAUAAAUGGCCUUGUGAUUUUUAGAGUCUACUCUACGAGUUGGUGGACCCCAACUCGACGAGUAGGAGCUGAGUGUGAAAACCCUAAUUUUCAAGGUUUGUGUCAUAUUUAAAGGACCUGAAGCCUUCAUUUCCGCCUCCCUGAUCAUUUUGACACCUUAAGAGAAACCCUAAACGAGCUGGUAUCAUCCGUGUGUGUGUGUGCGAGAGAGAUAGAUAGAAAGAUAGAGAGAGAGAGAGAGAGAAAGAGACUAAAAGUGUGUGAUUUGGUUCAUUCUUGGAAAAAGAUAGAAGAGCAUAAGUCUUGGAACGAGAAGAAGCCUCUGAUCCAGUGUUUUUUCAAUGCUAGCUAAUUUUUGGAGGUAAAAAGCUAUCACCUUGAUCAUUGUUUGGUUAGAUCUCUUCUUUAGGGAGUUUGUGGCCAUUUCCAUCUUCCUUUUGAGCCUUUGAGUCAUUUGAGCAUACCAUGAAGUUGAAACUUUAGAUCUGGAUAGUAUGAGGUCCCUUGGGCCUAAAGGUGCAAGCUUUAUCAAGCUAUUGGCCAAGUUUUAUGCAUUAAGCCCUCCAUAGAGCUUUGUUUUAGCACUUUGAGUCCUAGGUGCCAUGCAUGGACGUAAAGCUUGCAUCUUUACGUGGUAUAUCAUCCUUGGGAAGCUAGAUCUAGAGUAUGGAACUUUAUUUUUGCUUAAAUUAUCUGAAUGAGAAAUGGACUUAAGGGACUCGAUGAGUGGAUGAGCCUACUCGACGAGUCGGUUAGGGUUUUCCCCGAUAGUCUGGACGCGCUACAACUCGGCGAGUUGAUGAGACAACUCGACGAGUUUGGUUGGAUUUUCCCGAUAGUCCAAAGAGAAUAAAGGAACUCGACGAGUCGCAUAGGUGCACUUGACGAGUUGGGUAAACAUGGACUGUUGACUCGAGCGUUGACUUCUAGGGUUUGGUCAAGACAUGAGUUAUGGAAAUCAUGGAGGGGUAAAAUAGUCUUUCACCCUUCCAAGAGUUAGAGAAGGGUUUAGACUAACUUUUUAGAGUUGCGGUUAUAAAGUGUUAAUUAGAGAUGAUUAUAUUAUGUAGGCGGAGUCUAGACUGUUCGUGGGGUACUAGAUCUACUUGCUUACUUACGAGGCGAGUCUUCUCACUAUACUUACCUGAGUGGUAAUAUUGUGUGACUGAAGGGUCUUAUUUGAGUUAUCAACUAGAGGGUCCUAUGUGCUUAUAUUAAGUUAUGUGAUAUUAUACAUUUUGUCUUACUGAUAUAUGCUAUUUUAUUCUAUGCCUCACUAAGUUAGGACCAGAGGGUCCAAACCGAGUUGUGAGACUAGAAGGUCUUCACUGAGAUACAGGACUGGAGGGUCCAACCCGAGCUGUGAGACUGAAGCAUCUUCACUGAGACACAUGACUGGAGGGCCCACACUGAGUCGUGAGACCGGAGGGUCCUCACCGAGACGCAUGACCGGAGGGUCCAUACCAAGCUAUAACCAUGAGAGGCUUAUUAUUUGUGUAUGUGGUAUUAUGGGGAACUCACUAAGCUUCAUGCUUACCGUGUUGUGUGAUAUGUAUUUCAGGUACUUCUCAGGAUCACGGGAAGGCGUCGAAUUGAUUGUACACACCAGAUAGAGAUCAUGAAUUUGAGGAUUCUGGGAUUUUAUCAAACAUUUGUUGACUUGUGUUUUGAAAACUUAUACAUUUUUGUGGUUUUUAGGAAAUGUGAUAUUAACUUUAUGUGAUUUUAAAAUGAAAAUUCUAUUUGAAAAUUUAUAGUGUUACAAGUUGGUAUCAGAGCCUUGGUUUGAGGGAUUCUGAUGUACUCUCGGGUAUGUCUGGACUCAAACUAAGGAUAUGAGAAAAUUUUCUAAAAAGAAAUGAUUUUUCUAAAACGAGUAACAGUUUAAAGAGAAAACGAGAUGGAGCAGUGUGUACAAUCAGCCAGAGCCUGAACUGUGAUUUCCCAAAAUACCAUUACUUGUUUAUAUUAUGAAAUAUUUAUGAGAUAUUUGAGCUACAUGCUAGAGGAUAGGCUAGGUAUUUCAGAAUUUAGUGCUAGAGUUGCCUGAUUCAUGAUGCCUUAGCUUAGGGUAUGCUAAUGAUUGAUCUUAUCUGCUAUUUGCUCUGUGUGUGUACUGAGUAGAGAAACAUAGUAGGAAUCUUUUACAGAGAGUUUUGAGUAAUCUAGGAGAGAUAGGUAGAUGAUUAUUAAGGAAUCUACCGAGAGAGUAGUUUAAUAUCCGUGAAGGAUAGAGUAUUUAUGAAUUAGGAUCCUAGGAGGAGGACUUGUGACAACUAUUGGUUGGUGUGGAAGGUAGUAUUGGGCUCGUACAAUUGAAAGCACCGGAUCUGUAUACGACCCAAGUAAGAAUCUUAGGAUGCUAAGGAGCGUAUAGGGGCUGGUAAAUGAGUAUGUGUGUGUUUGAGCUAGUCUCUGAUGAUUUUGUGUUUGCAUUUCAGAGAAACUAUGGUGAUUACCCACAACAAUCCCUAGAGCAGUGGUACCAGAGACGAGGAGAUUUGUAUGAUCAUUCAUGAGGAGGUGGCCGCAGCUAUUAGAGAGGCGAUACCAGAAAUUUCCGACUCUAUUAAGACCAUGUUGAUUGAGACAUUCGAUGAGCGAUAUGCUACUGUCAUGGAGGUUGCUGCUGCUGCAGCCACCGUGACCAUAACUGCUGCUAGGCCAUAGGGAGGUGACUUGUUUUUGUUCCGUGAGUUCAGCAACACAAAGCCACCAGAGCAUGAUGGGACGUAGGAUUCGAUUGUUUCCAUGAGAUUAAUCUCCGACAUUGAGGGGUGUUUCUAUACGUGUUCAUUCCCGGAGCAUCUGAGAGUUCGGUUUGCGCUGAACUAGCUUCGCUUGGGAGCGAAGGACUGGUGGAAGUUUGUGAUGACUGAUUUUACCCCUACAGAUCAUGCUGCACUGACUUGGGAGAGGUUCACCAAGUUAUUUAGAGAUGAGUAUGUUCCCCAAGUGGAGAGGGAACGUUUGGCAUAGGAGUUUCUAUCUUUCAAGAGGAAGAAAAAAUCGGUGACAGAGAUUACAAGGAUGUUUCAUGAGAUGGUGUUGUUCUGCCCUGAGUGCAUGUCUACUAAGCAGGCACGUGUGAGCCGAUAUUUGAGCAUCUUGAGGAGGGAUAUUCGGGAGUUCAUGGCGAACUCAUCUUAUCGGACAUUGGCUGAGUUGUAGACCAAUGCCAGGAGGAGAGAGAUUGAUAUGGAGAUUCAGACCAGGGAAGAGGGAGAGCAACAGGGGAGAGAUAGGAGACCAGUACAGUCACAGCCGGCAACAAAGCGGGCUAAGCCAGCUAAUUUGAGAGUUGGAGGGCAGAAGGUCCACACUUGUGGAAAGAGAGAGAAGAGUCAUGAGGGGUCUUUCCGAGCGAGAAUUUGCUACAAAUAUGGCAAGGAGGGGCAUAUGGAGAGGGACUGCCCCAAGGGGUUUUCGGUUUGCUUUCACUGCAACCAGACGGGCCACCGGAAGGUCGAGUGUCCCCAGCUCACUUAGGGAUCAACCCAUGCUUCUGCUCCUGGUGGUUUAUGUGUUAUUGAUGGUCGGGCUGGGAAGGUCGAGCCUCCGAGUGCUCGUGGGAGAGCAUUUUCGUUGACUGCGGAGGAGGUUCGCUCAGCGCCUGAUGUUGUUGCUGGUAUGUAUCUCCUUACUUAUGCUAUUUUGAGAUUUGUUUAUGUUUAUAUUGUGUUGUAUAUAGGUACUUUUCUUGUGAGUUAUGUUCCUUCUUUGGUGUUAUUUGACUCAGGUGCGAGUCGAUCUUUCGUGUCGUUAUCCUUUAGUCAUCACAUUAGUGCCAGACGCGAGGCAUUGAGUCGACCACUAAGGGUUUCUAUAGCUAAUGACCAUGCGGUUUUUGCCACUGAUGUAUUUUGGGGAUGGGUAUUAGAGAAUUUCAGUGUUGAGUUCCUGAUAGAUUUAGUGCCGAUAGUGAUGGGUGAUGUCUGUGUCAUAGUGGGCAUGGAUUGGUUGAGACGGUUCGGAGCUAUGAUUGACUGGGAGCAUUAGAUGGUGACCAUACGAGACCCUAGUGGGGGAGUACUUACUAUGUAUGGCAAGGGGACCAUAUCAGGAUUAGGUUUCUGCUCUGCUGCCAGGGUGAGGCAGAGUCUACAGCAGGGAUGCAUGGUCUUUUUAGCAUAUGUGAUGGAUACGAGAGUUGCCACUGAGAGGCCGAGUUCUAUCUCUGAUGUUCCGGUUCUGUUUGAGUUAACGGAUUGAUGAGAAUUGAUAUCGAGAUUUAGAAAGCAAUCAUGAUUGUUUGAAUGAAAAGUAAGAACACAGAAAGUAAUAUUAAUCAGAUCUUAUAUUGAUGAAGAACUGAUUACAAAAUUAAGCAGAGAAAACUUGUGAAUGAUGAAUCACUCGUUCAUCUGAUUACUCUACUUCUAACCUAAGUCCCUAUUUAUAGGAAACCUAAGUGUACAAAAAAUAUACUAAGUCCUGAACUAUACGCUUCGCAUAAAAGAAGACUUAGUAAAAUAACUAACAUGUGAAACUAAAGAAACAAACACUUCGACUUUUACAACAUUUAGUCUCUACAUUCUCCCCCUUUGUAAACAGUCGAAACUAUUCAGUUUGUAAGAUGCUGAAUAGUUGAGUGCAUUGUUCUUCGGAUUUCUGAAUACCAAGUGAUUAUCUUUGUAAGCUCCUUCUUGUCUCCUUCAUUGUUCUUCGCACAAUUAUUCAUACGAACAAUAAAAUUCGUAUAUUGAGAAGUAGUGUAUCUUUCUAUCUCUGAGACUUUGAACAAAAACUUCUUAGGCUUCCCCUUCGUAUAUUUUCCUACGAAAACCAUUCCAAACGGUUUAAGGCAAAUUUCUCCAUCUGCAUACUUCCUUAACUCCGUUUGAGGCAAGGUUGAUUCCCAAGAGACUGUAACUUUUCUUCCAAGACCCAAUGCAAGUUCUUCAUCAGUCAGUGCCAAGUAAUCAUAGUAGUUAUCUAUGAAUAUCUUGAUAUGUGCGAAACCAAAUCUGAACACAUUAGUAUCAUGUCCUUUCAGCUUGUUUUCUUUCAUUUCUUUGAGAAUAGAUGCCACUUGAAUGAGAUCAUUUAGAUUCAUCAAGGGAAAAUCAUCAAUGGUAAAGUCAAAUGCCUUGUUAUCUGCUCGAACCACAAAAUAUCGAAAGUUUUGAAGCAUGUUCUCGAACAUUACAUCCUUCUUGAUUGUUAAAACUUUCUUGAUUUUCAUUGAAGACCAAACCUCCUCUUGAUCCUUCGCAAGUACAACAUGAAAUCUUAUCUUCAAAUAAGUAUAUUCAUCAGCAUUAUCAAAAUUUUCACUUAUCUUGUACUGCACCGUAAUAAACAUCAUUUCGUUUAUUGGAAAAUCAAGUUGGCUUCUGUCUGAGUUCGAAACAUCAUAACUCCUUCUAGGCUUCUUUUCAAAUUCAUACAAGUCAUUACCCAACACUGUGGACUCAAUAGUUUCAUAAGAAUAUAACUUUGCAGGAUCACCCUUGUUCAUUAUUGGUGGGUCAUUUGCUCUUUGCCUCAUAAUACUUUGCACUUGUCUUAACCUUUUCAUUUCAGCUUCUGCCUCUGCUUUCUUUUCUUCUUUUGAUUUUUCAUGGACAAUCCCUUUUCCUAUCCUCAGUUUGAGGUUUCACACUUGAACUUCCUCCUUCUUUUGAACCAAUUGUGAUUCCUUUGGUAAUUGGUUUUGUUGUAGUUACUGUUGCAGAAAUUGGCUUUGUGAGCACUGGCAAAGAUGUUUUAAUUUGAGUUGAAUGAAUCUUCCCAACAGUUUUCGCAUCCUCUCCUUUACUUCCUUUUAUUUCUCCCCCUUGCACCCCUUUGAAAGCAGGUGGGGCAUUCUUCGGCAAAAGCGAAGUAAAAUUGGUAAUCGGAGCCAAUGCCUUCUGAAUAGCUUGCUCUAAAGUGUUAACUUUGAGAGUUAAGAAUUCGGGAGUAAGAAUCGAUUGUUUAGAAGGUUGUGAAACACAACUUUUUAAUUCAGUAACCAACUGAAUUAAUUUGGAAAACUGCUCCUUAUUGUCUUGAUGUUUGGCUUCGAUAAGGUGAGCAGACGGUUUAUAAUCAGCAGCAAGCUUGGUCUGUGCUUCAGCAAGAAUAUCAACACGUUUUUGUACAUCUAGAUUUUGCGAAUUAAUGUAUUGAAGCUCCUUCACAAUUUCUUUCUUUAACUCCUCAAUUUUGAAGUUAACAUCUUCCCUGACCUUCUUGACAUCCUGUACAAAAAGAACAUGACGUUCUUUUGUAACAUUUUUCAAUUCACGAACAACAUCAUCAAAAGAUUUCCCUUGAGCUUGAAUGUGAAGCUUAUUGUUCUUGUUAGAAUGAUCAACUUUGUCAGUGAAUCGUUUCUCAGCAGCUUUAAUCAUUGACUCAACCUCUAAACCCGAAAUGGAAGACUGCGUGCCCGAAUCGGCUUGAGAUUGAAUAAUAGCAUUUAACUUUCGAUUUAGGAUUUUGAAUUGCUUUCCUGACAUAAGCAAAUGAUCAGGUAUCUCCUCCUCCUCUUAAUCGAAAUGUAAAGCCUCAAACGUCCCUCCAAAACCACCUCCUUCGGUUUCUUCAUCAGACAUAGCUUGCGAAGGUUGUGGUGUUUCAGGUGAUUGUAGUGGAAAUAAUGUGGUGAAUGGAUGUUGUAAAGGAUGAUCAAAAAUUGAGGAAGUGGUGAUAUUUGUGUUUGGAAGAAAAAAUGGUGGUAAUGAGACAGAUAAAUUCUCAGAUGAAAUGGGCAAAGAUGAAGAUAAAAUGAUUGGCAUGGUAGUGUCGACACUCGUGAUAGGUGCCCCCGUAUCAGAUACGUUGACAACCAUAUCCGAAGUAGGUACCUCCUCAGGAACUGAUUUGGUAGUGACUACUUCAAGUGAAAUGGUGGCGGAAGUGGAAAUUUGCGAAGUGAUAGGAAGAGAUGCGAUUACCAUUGGUGAAGUUGAGACAGGUGGAGUUUCAGGAACAACUUCUUCAUCUGAUGAUUCAUUGCGAAUAAUCAGCUUUCGUUUCUUGUAGAGCUUUUGUGUAAUAUGCUUCGCAACGUCUUGAGCUCUUUUUCUUUUUGAACCAGGAGAAACAGGAGUUGGAACGUCUCUAAACACAACCCCCUUACUACUCACCUCAGUUUUGCGAAUAGUAGGAGAGGUAGUCGUCGUCUGUUCUGAUUUGCGAAGCUUCUUUAAUACCCCUGACUUUGUCGGUAUUAUCUCCUUCUUAGUUUUAGGAGAAAGCUCAUCUUUCGCAACUCCUUCAUGUUUUUCUUCCUUUUUAGUUUUCUUCUUCUUCUUUGAGGACUCUCCACUAACUUCGAAAAGUAUUCCAAUUCGCACAUUUGGAUCAAAAGUCUUCAUGUAGCGAACUAAAACUUUGUGGGUAGAAGACACCUUGCGAAGCAUUGCACCAGGAAUUCUUGCAACACUUGUGAAGAUAUUUUCAUCAUCUUCAACCACUUUUGGAAACUGAUAUAAUGAGAAUUCCGCAACAUCUGCUCCUUCAGGAACUGGAAUUCCCUCCUUCGCAUAAACUUUUUCAAGAAUUAAGCUCCAGUACCAUGCACAAGAAAUGCCCUUAUCCACAUUAGUGUUUUCUAAACUUUUGAUGAACUCCUUCCAAAGUUGAGUUCCAUAAUCAACAGUAAGAUCAUAGUAGAGACCCAUAACCAUUGCAUAGACCUCCAUCCUAUCCUUGUCUAGACCAACAGUCCUUCAUGUUAAACACCGUAGAAAGAUUCCAAAUAGAAAGUUCCACAUGCAAGGUAAACCUGAUUUCCUAAAAUCACUAAUCUUUUCAAGAGUGGGUUGAUGUCCCAUCUCAUUGAACAUGAAGAUAAUAUGUGAAUUUAUGGGUUUAAAGAAUGGUGGGUUAUGAGGUAUGUUCAGAAAGUCAAUGAACAUGUUCUUGGUCAGACGAACCCUUUUGUUGUUCAUGAGAUUGAAAGUGAUGAUAUCAGUUGAAUAGUUGUAUGACGCAGUUGAUGCCGCCAUUGACAACCAGGUCAUCGUGAUGAGAAUUGUUAUCGAGAAUUAAGAUGCGAAACAAUAGAUUUGAAUCAUGAAUGAUAAAGAACACACGAAGUAAAUAAUAAUCAGAUCUCGUUUUAUUAAGACUGAUUACAGAGAAAGCUGAAGAGAGUUUUUGUGUUUCGAUAUUGUCCCCUCUACUUCAAGCCUAAGUCCCUAUUUAUAGGGAACUUACAAAAAAUAUACUAAGUCUUAUACUAUGAAAGUUCGCAUGCUACACUUCGCAUAUAAAAUUGACUUAGUAAAAUACAUACAAAAUGCGAAUCAUUACAAGACACACUAUUCGACUUUUACAACUAACAUCUACAUUCUCCCCCUUUGUAAACAGUCGAUACAAUUCAACUUAAAAGUUUUUGAAUUGCAGAGUGAAUCGUUCUUCGCACUUCUCCAUACCGGGAGAUCACCUUCUUCAAGUCCUUCUUGUCCUCUUCGUUAUUUUUCUUGCAAUUAUUCAUACGUACAAUGAAGUGCGUAUAUUGCGAAGAAUUGUAUCUUUCAAUCUCUGAAGCUUUGAACAAGAACUUCUUCGGUUUCCCCUUAGUGUCUCUUCCCGAAAACACCAUGCCAAAUGGUUUAAGGCAUAUCUCUCAUACAACAUACUUUGACAAAGCUGAUUGUGUCAAAGUAUCUUCCCAAGGAACUUUCACCUCUCUUCCAAGCACAUUCGCUAACUCCUCAUCAGUCAGUGCAAGACAAUCGAAGUAGNUAUAAGUCUUCACAUGUGCGAAUCUGACUUUAAAAACAUCUGUCUCUGAGCCUUUGAGUUUGUUCUCUUCCAUGUGCUUCAGAAUAAGAGCUACUUGAAUGAGAUCGUUGCAGUUCAUCAAUGGAAAGUCAGCAAUAGUGAAGUCGUAUUAUUUGUUGUCUGCCCUGAUGACAUAAUAUAGAAAAUUUUGAAGCAUGUCUUCAAACAAAACAUCCUUCUUUAUUGUGAGCACCUUCUUGAUCUUCAUCAGGGACCAGACUUCAUCAGGAUUCUUCCCAAGAACAGCAUGAAAUCUAAUUUUCAUGUGAGUGUAGUCAUCCGGAUUAUCGAAUUUCUCACUGAUCUUUUAUUGAGCUGUGAUGAACAGCAUUUCAUUGAUAGGGAAGUCCAGCUGACAGUGAUCUGAGUUCGCAAUGUCAUAACUUCUUUUGGGCUUCUUCUCGAACUCAUACAUCUCCCUUCCUACAACUUUAGACUCUAUUGUUUCGUAAGAGUAAAGUUUCGCAGGAUCACCUUUGUUCAUCGAGGGAGGAUCACUUGCUCGUUGUCGCAUUAUACUCUGGACUUGUCUCAUUCUUUCAAGUUCAGCUUCAGCAUCAGCUUUUAUCUCUUCUUUCGACUUUUCAUACAGGAUGCCCUUUCCUUUUCCUGUAACAUCCUUCUGAGGUUGAGAACUCGAACCUCCUUCGUUUCCUCCAAUAACAAUUCCCUUUGAAAUUGUUUUUGUAGUAAUUGUUGUUGAAGAAAUCGGUUUAGUAGGAAUUGGAAUAGUUGCAACCAGUUGAGUCGAGAUGACUUUUCCCACUGUUUUGGCAUCAGCUUCUUUGCUUCGGCUUUUCUCUCCCCCUUGCGCCCCUAUGAAAACAGGUGGAGCACUCUUCGGAAGUAAAGAACUGAAGUUUGAAAUCGGAGCAAGAGCCUUCUGAAUGGCUUGUUCUAAAGUGUUAAUCUUUAGAGACAAGAAUUUGGGAGUAAGGAUUUGCGAAGUGGAAGAUUGCGAAACUGCUGAUUUGAGCUCCGUAACCAAUUUGAUCAGGUGAUCAAACUUCUCCAUGGUAGUAGCUUUGUGAUCAUCAGCAACAGGAAUGUUGUUGAGUUUGUGGAUUUGAGACGAAAUUUCCACAACCUGCUUGUGAAGAUCUUGCUGUCUUGUAUUUACUGCUUGAAGAUCCUUCGCAAGGUCAGACUUCAACUCCUGAAUUUUAAAGUUGAUGUCCUCACGAACUUUCUUAACGUCUUGGAUAAAAAGAAUGUGUCUUUCUUUUGUAGCAGCUUUAAGGUCUUGUACUGCAGACGUAAAAUUGUGCCCUUGUGCUUGCACUCUGAGUUCGUUAUUUUUGUCGGACUGAUCGACUUUCUCCAUAAUGCGUUUCUCAGCCCCUUUGAUCAUCACAUUCACCUCCAUUGCUGAGAUUGAAGACAUUCUCCCAAAAUCGGCUUGCGAUUGGAUAAUGGCCUUCAAUUUUUGAUUGAGUAUUUUGAACUGCUUUCCUGUCAUCAGCAUAUGAUCAGGAAUGUCUUCUUCAUCAGAAUCAAACGAAAUGUCAUCAAGAACUCCUCCAAAAGCACCUCCUUCGAUUUCUGGAUCUGACAUUUGUUGCGAAGGUGGAGGAUUCUCAGGUGAUUGAGAUGGAAAUAGGGUAGUGAAUGGGUUUUGAAGGGCAUGGUCGAAUAUGGAUGAAGUGGUGGUUAUUGGUAGUGUGGAUGCAACACUCGGGAUAGGUGCCCCCGUAUCAGAUACGUUGACAACCAUAUCCGAAAUAGGUACCUCCUCAGUAACUGACUUGGUAAGAACUAUUUCGAGUGGUUGGGUUUGAGAAAUAGUGGUGGAAAUAUGCGAAGGUUGAGAAAUAGGUAAAGAAACUGUUACCAUGGUUGUGACGGGUGGUGUUUCUGGGACAAUUUCUUCGUCGGAUGAUUCAUUGCGAAUCACCAUCUUCCUUUUCUUGCCCAGUGUUCGUUGCAUGUUUUUCGCAACGUCUUCUGCCCUUUGUCGUUUCUUUCCAGGAGAUACUGGUGCAGGAAUGCUGCGAAUAGUAACUCCCUUACUACUCACCUCUGCCUUGCGAAUUUGUUUUAACACUCUAGACUUAGAGGGUAAAACAUCUUUCUUUACUUCUUCUUCUUGAACGAUUGGUGAAGAUAAACCCUUCGCAGGUUUCUUGCUCCCCUUCUUCUUCUUCGAUGGAGUAGCAACUUCAGGUAAUACACCCGACUGAUCAGCUGUGUCAAUGUUUCGCAAAUAUCUCACCAACACUUUGUGAGUGGGAGAUACUUUGCGAAGCAUCGCAUCCGGAAUGCGAGCUACCCGGGUGAAUAUGGCUUCAUCAUCUUCUACCACUUUGGGAAAUUGGUAAAGCGAAAACUCAGCCACUUCGACAUCUGAUACGAUCGGAAUUGCUUCUUUCUCGUAGACUUUCUCCAGGAUCAGACUCCAGUACCUGGCACAGGAUAUCCCCUUCUCCAAAUUCGUGUUUUCCAGACUUUUAACGAAUUCCUUCCAAAGUUGAGUCGCAUAGUCGACAUUGAUGUUAUAGUAGAUACCCAUUACCAUGGCAUACACUUCAACUCUUCUUCUGUCUAAGCCGACUGAUCUUCCUGUAAGACACCUUAAGAAAAUUCCAAACAGAAAAUUCCAGAUACAGGGCAAUCCCGACUUCCGAAAAUCACUAAUCUUUUCCAACUCCGGUUGAUGUCCCAUCUCGUUGAACAUGUGAAUGAUCUGGGAGUUGACAGGUUUAACAAAGGGUGGGUUGUUGGGAAUCUCCAAGAACUCCACGAACAAGUUGUUGGACAGUUUAACCCUCUUGUUGUUGACUAGGUUGAAGGUAAUCACAUCUGCCGUGUGAUUGUAGGAAGCCAUGGAUGCAGCACGAGAUAACCAGAUCAUCGGAACUGGGACUGAUCGGAACAUGGCUUUUGAUAACGGUGAUCGUUUCAAAGCCACGAUGAGCAUCUUCAAGUCUUCUGGAUAAGCGGAUAUAUUGGGAUCAACUUGAUAGUUUGUGCUUUGAAUCUUCAUGAGGGAUUGAGAAAGGACCUCAUCAUUGUUUGAGUUUGUGGCUGCCAUUGUUAGCUUUUGAAAGAAAUUUGAAAUUUUGAUCAAGAUGAAAGCUUUGAAGGUUGUGAGAAUUCUUGUUUGUGUAACCGUUCACAGUGUCUUUCAUCCCCCUUUUAUAGGUUACUCAAAAUUUGAUUUGAAAUUAAAGCGGGAUGCAUUUAAUGUUAUCCGAUGUGGCACCUUGAAUCUCAGAUCAUUGCUGUAAAAGAGUACUAGGCAACAAAAAGUAACUGUCACAUCUCCUCGAAAACCGGAUAGAAUACCAACCAUUUUUAGUAGACANACAGCCUGUCAAGUAUCCGUUAUAGAAUCCGAACCGGUAAAACCCUUCGCAUGGAAGCAAGGCUCUUUCACUUUUGGGAUUUAAAGCGAAGUCAUAUGCCAGACUUGCGAAAUCAUCAGUCUGAGUUGGUUUUACUCAGAACCUCAAGGAUUUCGUGUGUGCAUUGUGCCAAUGAAAUAAGAUAAGAAUCAAGAAAUUUUUGGAAUGUGGUGAUGUCAAAAAGUUAAUUUGACAUGAAUGCAGUAAAACCCCAGGCAAAGGUUGCUUCGUUAAUUAUCAAGAGAGAUAAUCAACAGCUUGUGUAGUUUCCCGUGAAUUACAAUCGAAUACUUGUAAAGAAGUAUCAAAGGGCUUCUUUUAAAAGUCAUUUUGGGUUGGUUCGAAAUUUCAUUACAUAUCAGCCUUAACAUAAGGUGAGAAAUUGUAAAUGAAAUUACUUGUUUGACCAGUGUAGUCAGUGACAAGUUGGCUUGUGAAAAUAUUUAUCAUGACAAGAAUUUGCGAAUGAAACUUGCACUGAUAUCAUAUUCAAGAGAAAAUUUGUUUUGGAUCUUGUUGGGUAACAAAUAUUCUUGGCUGUAAAUAUUUGAUCAAGACCACGCAGGCGAAUUGAAUAUGAUUUGAAGUUUCGAAAUUUUUGAUACUGAAACAAAGGUUUCGUAAAAAUCUGGAACAAAGUUCCCCGUCAAUUCCUUAAAGGGGUAUGAUUUUUGGGUUUCACUUUCAUCACGGACUCAUGAUGUUAGAUCUUAAACACAGAGUUGUGAUUUGUCUAGGUUUUGAUUGGUUUUACCAAAGACCUCAAGGACAAAUCUUUUAAAAAAAAAUUUGGAUUUGAAGAACAUUUUGGUUUAAAAAGAUUGGUUAAGAAGCAAAGUGUACCUCUGUUAUUAUGUGGACAAAACAGAAAACUCUUAACUCAUUUGAGAAGAGUAAGGUAGCUCUUGUUGAUUUAUGCGAAUACAAGCCUUGUUGGGUAGAAAUGUUCAUGAGAUGAUUUCAUCAAGGCUUUCAUUUUUCACACAUAGAAUCAUUCGAGGCUUGAGGUCUACAUACAGCAGCAUGCUUCUAGGGACAUCCUAACUAGUUUGAAAAAGAAAUUUAAUACCUUCCCAUAGAAACAUAAAUGUAUGACCUCUUCGCAUUGUAUCCUUGUAUUAAAUGCUCAACACACAGUUUUUUAAAAAAAACUAAGAAAAACAAAAUUAUUUUUGUGAUUUUGGAAUUUUUCAAAAACGAAAGAACAAAACAAAUAAAAUCUUUUUGUAUUUUUAAUUUUUUUUUUCAAAUUUAAAGAACAAAAAAAAUAAAAUCUUUUUGGAUUUUUAAUUUUUCAGAAAAAUAAAAUCUUUUUGGAUUUUCGAUUUUUCAUAACUAAAACAGUAUGUGUAAACCUUACCAUUGUGAUUAGGAGCCAGAUGCGAAAAACUGUGGUUGCGAAGCCAUGCGAAGCCUUCUGAAUGAACAGUAACCUCUGAAUGAUUUCGACUCUUAGCUGCUGAACAAAGCUUUUACUCUUGUGUUGACAAAAUUGAAUUCGCAUUAAUCAUCCCCAAACCUGCUAAAAUUCGAACAAAUGAUUUUUCAUCAAGAGGUUUUGUAAAAAUAUCAGCAAGUUGUUCAGUUGUUUUGACAAAAUGAAUUUCAAUAUUCCCAUCUUCCACAUGAUCUUUAAUAAAAUGAUAUCGAAGAGCAAUGUGUUUUGUCUUUGAAUGUUGUACUGGAUUGUGACAAAUGCGAAUUGCACUUUGCGAAUCACAAUACAAAGGAAUCUUUUUCAUGUUUAUUGCAUAAUCACGAAGUUGACUCUGAAUCCAGAUAAUUUGCGAAGUACAAGCAGCUGCAGAUAUGUAUUCUGCCUCAGCGGUUGAUAUAGCCACACAAGUUUGUUUCUUUGAUUGCCAACUCACUAACUUUCCAUCCAAAAGUUGACAUCCACCAGUUGUACUUUUUCUGUCCAAAGUACAUCCUCCUAGAUCUGAGUCUGAAAAAGCUUGAAUGAAAAAUCCUGUUUUCGCAGGAUACCAUAGUCCUAAAGAAACAGUUCCCUUGAGAUAUCGAAAAAUAUUUUUCACUGCAGUCAAAUGAGGCUCUCUUGGAUUAGCUUGAAAUCUAGCACAACAACAAACCGAAAACAUAAUAUCAGGUCUACUUGCAGUUAAGUACAAUAAAGACCCUAUCAUGCUACGAUACAGUGUUAGAUCAACAGCAGGAGCAUCUAACGAAGGAGUUAGUCUUGUUCCUACUGCCAUAGGUACUCUGAGCUUUGUGCUAUUUAGCAUUCCAAACUUUUCAAGCAAGUUCUUCGUAUAUUUUUCUUGAUUGAUUAAGAUUCCUUCUCUGUUCUGCCUUAUAUUUAAACCAAGAAAAUUAUUAAUUUUUCCCAUCAUGCUCAUUUCAAACUGACUUUUCAUUAAAUUUUCAAAUUCAAUUGACAAUGCUGGAUCAGUUGAACCAAAGAUAAUAUCAUCAACAUAAAUUUGAACAAGCAUUAGAUGACACCCAACUUUCUUGCGAAAUAAUGUGGGGUCAACUGAUCCUUGUUUAAAUUUAGAUUGUUUCAAGAAAUUUGUAAGUGUUGCGUACCAGGCCCUUGGUGCUUGUUUUAACCCAUAUACAGCUUUGUCAAGGACAUACACAUGAUCAGGAUACUCACUGUUUACAAACCCUGGUGGUUGUUCAACAUACACUGUUUCUUCGAGUUUUCCAUUUAAGAAUGCACAUUUAACAUCCAUUUGAUAAACAUCAAAGUCUUUGUGAGCUGCAUAGGCUAAAAAUAUGCGAACUGCUUCAAGUCUUGCAACAGGUGCAAAUGUUUCUUCAUAGUCAAUGCCUUCUUGUUGCGAAUAACCUUUUACCACUAGUCUUGCUUUAUUUCGAAUAAUAUUGCCAUCUUUGUCGGUUUUGUUUUUAAAAAUCCAUUUUAAUCCAACAAUUGAAACAUCAGAGGGUUUAGAAACUAAUCUCCAAACCUUGUUUCGUUCAAAUUCUGCCAAUUCAGAUUGCAUAGCAACAACCCAAUCUGAGUGUUCCAUAGCAUUCUUGACAGUUUUUGGCUCUAUUUUCGAAAUAAAAACAUUAAACAUGCAAAGUUCUUGGUUUGCAUUCAGUACCUCAUUUUUCGCACGAAUUUGAGCUCUAGUCAACACACCUUCUUGUAGAUUUCCAAUUACCUGUUCUUUUGGAUGAUUUCUUGUCCAUUUCUCGAGUGGUGGAAAAUUUGGAUCAAAUUCUAAUGGUGCAUCUUCAAACAUAUCUUCAUUUUCAGAUCCUGCAACAGAAAAAUUAUCAUUAACUUCAUGAAAUUCGUCAUUAUUAUCAAGAUUAAUUGUCUCUGUUUCAUCAUGCUCCCCCUCAACAUGAUCUGUAUCUUGAUAUUCUUGUCGAUUUUGCGAAUGCUCCCCCUCAACUUGAUGUUCUUGUUGAUUUUGCGAAGGCUCCCCCUCAACUUGAUGUUCUAGUUGAUUUUGCGAAGGCUCCCCCUCAACUGGAUGUUCUUGUUCCUUGUGAAUAUCUGAUGUGCUUUCACAAGUUAUCGUUGAUUCAUCAGUAUGUUUUGAAGAUUCUGAUGUUUGAUUAUCAGGAGCAUUACUUUCUGCAUCAAUGGCCCUGUCAGGAAUUCCAAAAAUCAAGUCAUAAUCAAAAUCAUUGAUUUCAGAAUUAUCAAUUGGAUUAUGUGAAUCUACAAGUAUUGAUUUAUUCUCAAAUUUACUAUCAAUCUGUUUAAGAUAGUAAUCAUCAAAUGUUAAAUUGAACGUUUCUUCAAUUUUUCUUGUUCGUUUGUUUAGCACUCUGUAUGCAACUGAAUUCUGUGAAUAUCCUAAAAAGAUGCCUUCAUCAGCUUUAGCUUGAAACUUGGACAAAUUAUCUUUUAGAUUCAUGAUAAAGCACCUGCAACCAAAAACAUGAAAGAAUUUUACAUUAGGUUUCCGAUUAUUGAUUAUUUCAUAUGGAGUAACAUUAAAUCUUCGAUGAAUGAAUGAUCGAUUUUGAGUAAAACAUGCUGUGGACACAGCUUCUGCCCAAAGAUAUUGAGGUAGAUUCGCAUAUGUCAACAUUGUUCUGGCAGCUUCGCAUAGAGAUCGAUUUCUUCUUUCAACUACACCAUUCUGUUGUGGUGUAUACGGUGAUGAAAAAUUAUGCGAAAUGCCUUUGCUUGUGAGAAAACUUUCAAGAGUUUGAUUUUUAAACUCAGAACCAUUAUCACUUUUAAUUUUUCGCACAUUCUUCUUCAGACUAACUUCAAUCUUUUUGAUAAAAUCAAUCAUCGUCUGAGCAACUUCAGAUUUCAACCUGAGAAAAAACACCCACGUAAAUCUAGAGAAAUCAUCUACAACAACUAAAAUAUACCGCUUUUUGUUUAUUGUUGCAACAGUUGAUGGUCCACAUAGAUCAAUGUGAAGAAGUUCCAAUGGCUCUACUAUUUUUGAAUCUAUCACAAUCGGAUGACCCUUUCGAUGUUGUUUUCCUUGUUCGCAAGCUGCACACAAAGUAUCAUUAUCAAAUUUCAGUACAGGUAAUCCUCGAACUAAAUCUUCAGUUACUAGUUUAUUUAUAUUUCGAAAGUUCAAGUGUGACAAUCUUCUAUGCCAAAGCCAACUAAGAUCAUUUGAUGCUUUUGAUAGUAAACACACAGCUGGUUUUCCCACAAUCGGUUUGAUGUCCAGUGUAAACAUAUCACCAUAUCUUUUGGAUUUGAGGAGUAUUUCAUUCGUCUUGACAUUUGAAAUGAUACUACCUUCUUCAUUGAAUACAACUUGAUUUCCAGUACCCACAACAAGUUGUGAUACACUUAUCAAAUUAUGUUGAAGUCCUUCAACAUAUGCCACUCUGUUGACUGUGAAGUUUCCAUUUGUGACUUUCCCAUAUCCUUUCACUUGACACUUGUGAUUAUUUCCAAAUUUGACAACUCCAGCAUUUUCCAAGCUUCUGUAAUCUCGCAAAUUUUCUUUCCUUCCAGUCAUGUGACGAGAGCAACCACUAUCAAUGUACCAUUUCAUGUCAUAUUGCUCGUCACAUAUCACCUGCAUUUAUUGAAAAAAUUUAGGAACCCAAGACUUUUUGGGUCCAUCAUUAGUAGAAUGAAACAAAUUUUUGGAAUUUAAGAACCAUGUUUUCACUUUGUUUGUAACUGAAUCAAUUAUAUCAACAUCAUCAGUUCUAGAUUUUGAAAUAUAAUCAUUCAAUAAUUUUGGAUUUCCAUUAAUUGUAAUCUUAUCCUUCACAACAUUCGCAUUUUUGAUAACUGGUUUCCAUUUUUGAACUGGAACUUGCGAAUUAUUAGAUGAUGUACUCUCAGUUGAAGAAUUAUUUGUGUACUUAUCAAAUGCACUUUUGAUUUGUUCUUCUGAAAAUUUUCCAUUUUGAUAUUUCUUUCCUUUUCCUUCAAACCAAUGAUUGAACGUUCUAACAUCAGAUUUUCCUUUUGUAUAUGAAACUUUGUUUGGUUUUGAUAUUGAAGGAUUUGGAAAAUUUGGUUGUUUUGGUGAAAAUUUCUUUUUGACUUGAGUUGAGUUCUUCAAACUUGAUGAAGUAUUCGUGAAUUUGCCAACAUUUUGAAACUUUUGAUUAUUUGCAAAUUUUUGCGAAUUCUCAAAUUUUCGAUUGUUGUCAUAUUUGCGAACAUAUGGAACCUUGUCAACAGAGUUGAUUUGUUUAUGAAAACUUGAUGAUGUUUUUGAAAUUUGCUCUUUUUCAUCUCUUGAUUUUUCAUUAGACACAACUUGCCAGAAUAUUGCUUUUCUUGCUUUUCUUUUUGAAACAUUAUUUUCUGUUGAAAAAUUUCCAACCAUCAAUUUGAAUUCAUGAGAAUUUAGUUUCACUUCAACCUUUGAUUUUUCAUCUUUUUCAAAAACUUUGUUUGAUUUUUCACCUUUAACCACCCAUUUUUGUGUUGAUUUUUGUUUUUGAAACACAUAAGGAUUUUUGGUUAAAUUGUUUUCUUCUGUGCUUUGAUUUGCGAAAAAACCUUCAGUUGUGGACUUUUGAUUAUCUUUUUCAAUCAUUUUAUUAAAAUCAGGAUGAACUUUCUCAGCAUUUCCAGUAGUGACAAAAAUUUGAUUUGGGAAAAUUUUGUUAUCAGUACAUACAAAAUUUGGAUAUACCACAGUGUUGGUUUCCAAAUAAUGUGCGCCUUUAUCAUUUAAAAUUUUAUCAAAUUCUUUUGUAUUUUCAAACACUUGAUCAACAACAAUCCUUUGAGGUGUUUCAGUUGAAACUUUCUUUUCUUCUUUAUUUACAUCUGUGUCAUCAGAUUUCCAACUUUCAACUUCCACAUUAUCAAACAUACAAUGUUGCGAAGUUGAAGGUUUAUCAAUUUCAUCCUCUACUAUUGAAUCAACUAUUAUUUCUUUACCUUUGAUCUUAGAUGUGAUAUUAAUGAUUGACAAUUGAGAACAAUCAACCUCUUCUUCCUCUUCUAUCUCACUGAUUUCACUCACAUUAUCAGAAUUUUCAUCAAUAUCAGCAUAAUUCAAUUGUGAGGCAAGCUUUGAAUUUUCAGUUUUCUUUAUGAUUUUCACUUGUUCACUCUUUGUCAAACUUUCAUUGACAAUGUUAACCAAUUCAUCAGCAUUCAGAAAUUCAUCAAUUUUGACAAUACCAUAUGCAUAUCUAUCAUCAGGUAUUUUGUCAAAUUGAGCAAUUGUGCUUUCGCAAUCAUAAGAAACAACAUCAACUUUUUCACGUUCAUACUCAAGAAAAGGUAAAAGUUUUCUAUGUUGUUCUUUGCUAAUAUCAGAAGAGUGAUGUAAAGCUGUUAAUUUUGCAUACAAGCGUUUUGCAGAAUUACAAUAGAUGUUUCUCUGUGCUAGUAAUAACCUAACAUCAUUAGUAAGAUUAUUCCUAUCACAGUCUAUAUUUUUGACUUGCAAUUCUAAUUUUUCAACUCUGCUCUUCUUUAUUUCUAACUCUCUUCGUGUCUCACUAAGUUGCACAUUUAAUUUCUUAGCUUCAUUACUAGCAGACACAAUAACAGAAUCAAAAUAAGCCACAGUAUCAUCAAAUGAAACAAUUUCAGCAUCAUAAGCAGAUAAAGGAAUAUUAAAAGAUUCAAGAAUUGUACGUACCUUGGUUGUCAUGGGUGAUUUGUCAGUGGAUUUUGACACAAAGCAUUUCCCUGAAAUGUUCCCUUCGCAUUCCUCAAAACUUGCGAACAUUGCUCCAUGUGUGGGAUGCCUCAUUUCUUCAUCAUCAGAUCCUGAAGACCAGAUCUGAUAAGUUCCACUCUCUUCUUCAGUAGUUUCUCCCUUCGCAACAAAUGACACUCCUUUGGUCUUUGCACGUAACUCUUCAAUCUUCUUAGAGUAGUAUGCUUCAUCUUUGACUUUUUCUUUCUUCUCUUCUCUCUUUCGCAACAUGCAGUCAGCUGCGAAGUGAUUCGCACCAUUGCAAUAAUGACAAUAGAUUCCUGAAUCACCUUUCAACUUUUUCUCUUCAUUCGCAUUUUUCGGUUUUUCCUCAAUUUUCUCCAUCUUCUUCCUCUCAUCCCCUCCAGUCCUUGUGGUAACAUUCUUCGCAUCAUUCAUCUUCCCUUUUGGAUUAAAAGGCUUUUUGAAAAACUUUUUAACUCUGUUGUUUGAAUAGAAUGCUACAGCUUCAUCAUCGGAAUUCAUCAAAAAUCCUUCAUCAUCUGAUCCAUCUUUUUCAUCAUUUUCUGAUACCUUUGAAACUAGAGCCAAAGGACCACCAAUAGCUAGUUUUGAUUCUUCAUACAUUUCUGAGACCUCAUAUUCAUGUGUUUUUAGUUGAUUGUAGAGAUCAUUCAAUUUAGUUGUAUCAAAACUUUGUUGAUUCUUAAUCAUCAUGCUCACACUUCGCCAUUCCUUACGAAGACCCAUAAUGAAAGUUAAAUUGAAUUCCAUGAGAGAUCUAGUGAUACCAUACCUAUUGCAUCGAAACAUAAGCUCAUUCAGACGAUCAUAAUAACUUUCGAGAGUCUCUGCAUCCUUUUGUCUGAAUUCCUUCAGUUCAAUCAGACAUGCUUCACAGAAUUGAUCUUCGUCUUUUCUCUACCUUGAUACUUCUCUUUUAGAGUAUUCCAGAUGUCUUUUGCUGUUUUACAACUACGAAUGUAAUUGUAAACCACAGGAGGAAGAGCACCUCUUAGUUCCCUCAUGCACCUCUUUUCAUUAUCCUUCAGUCGUUUUCGUUGAUCUUCAACAUCAGGAGAUCCAGUGGAUGAACCAAUUUGUUGAACAUUUGCAGGAGCUUGAACUGUUCCAUCGAUACAAUUCCAAAGUUCUUCAUCAAUUCCAUUUAAGUAAUCUUCCAUUCUAUCAGCCCACUGAUCAUAGUAUUCUGGAGUCAACAUAGGAAUUUUGGUUGAAGAACCAAGCAAAUGAGAGAAAGAAGUCAUUGUGUUCAUGUUGAAGUUCGCCAUUGAUGAACAAACAAAAAUUUCUGAAAACUUGAGAACUUGAUGAAUUUCAGAAAUCAAUCAAACGAAUUGAUCAAAAGUCACUAAUCGAAUACUCGACUUAACAAUUCAAAUGCAGAAUCAAUUCAAAUCUGAAGAUCAAAAGUGAUUUUCAAAACCAAAAUUGCGCGGAAAAUUUUGAGUAAAUUUCGUAACUCAAAAAGCAAAUGAUUCUUAUACGAAAAUCAGAUCUAAGCAGUUUGAAUCCUGCUCUGAUACCAAUUGAUGAGAAUUGUUAUCGAGAAUUAAGAUGCGAAACAAUAGAUUUGAAUCAUGAAUGAUAAAGAACACACGAAGUAAAUAAUAAUCAGAUCUCGUUUUAUUAAGACUGAUUACAGAGAAAGUUGAAGAGAGUUUUUGUGUUUCGAUAUUGUCCCCUCUACUUCAAGCCUAAGUCCCUAUUUAUAGGGAACUUACAAAAAAUAUACUAAGUCUUAUACUAUGAAAGUUCGCAUGCUACACUUCGCAUAUAAAAUUGACUUAGUAAAAUACAUACAAAAUGCGAAUCAUUACAAGACACACUAUUCGACUUUUACAACUAACAUCUACACAUCGGAACAGGAAAAGAACUGAACAUUGCAGUUGAUAAUGGUGACCUUUUCAGUGCAACAAUCAACAUCUUCAGUUCUUCUGGGUAAGAUGAGACAGUAGGAUCAACAAGGUAGUUUGUGCUUUGAAUCUUCAUUAGAGACUGUGAGAUAACUUCUUCGGUGUUGGAUUGAGUAGCAGCCAUUGUUAGGGUUUGAAGAAGAUGAAGAAUCAGAGAAUUUGGGAAUUUUUGAGUUUGAUCGCGUAACCGUAUAAGACACUCUUGAACCCCCUUUUAUAUGUAACCCUUAUUGAUUUGAAUUUGAAGCGGGAUGCAUUUAAUGAUAUCUGACGUGGCACCUUGAAAAUCAGACCAUUAUUGCGAAAAGGUAACCAUGCGUCAAAAAGUAGCUGUCACUUCUCCUAGAAAAUCGGGCAGAAUACCAGACGUCAUGGAUACACAGCCUGUCAUCAUCCCCCUUUAUUAAAUUGUAACCAUUAGAACCCUUCGCAUGGAGGCUAGGCUCUUUCACUUUUGGGAUGAAAAGCGAAGUAAUAUGCCAGACUUGUGAAAUCUUAAGCCUAAGUUGGUAUUACUUAGAACCAAAAGGAUUUCGUGAGUGCAUGUGAGUCAAAGAAAUAAGAUAAGAAGCAAGUUAUUUUUUUUUUUUGGAAUUCUGUGAUGUCAAAAAUGCAAUUUGGCACAAAGGCAGGUAAACCCCAGGCAAAGGUUGCUUCGUUAAUCAUCAAGAGAGAUGAUCAACUGCUUGUGUAUGUUCCCGUGAAUUACAAUCGAAUACUUUUUGAUAAGUAUCAAAGGGCUUCUUUUAAAAGUGAUUCUUGGGUUGGUUUAAAAUUCCGUUACAUGUCAUCCUAAACAUAAGGUGAUAAAUUGUAACAGAAAUUACUUGUAUGACCAGUGUAGUCAGUGACAAGUUAGCUUUGAAAAUAUUUAUCAUGACUAGGACAUUCAAAUGAAACUCACACGGAAAUCAUAUUCAUGAAAAAAAAUAUGUACUGGAUCUUGUUGGGUAACAAACAUCGUGGGUUGCGAAUGUUUGAUCAAGACCACUCAUGCGAAGUGAAUAUGAUUUGGAGUUUCGAAUUUUGGUACUGAAACAAAAGUUUCGUCAAUAUCUAGAACAAUAUUCCCCGUUAAUUCCUUAAUGUUGGAAGAUGUUUGGGUUUCACCUUCAUCACAGACUCAUGAUGUCAGAUCAUAAACACAGAAUUUUUGUAUAUCUAAGUCUCGAUGGGUUUGAUCAGAGACCUCUCGGACAUAUGUCUUUGUGUGUGAAUUGUGUGAAGAAUUUUGUGAUGAAAAAGAUUGGUUCUAAGAUCGAAUGUACCUCUGUUAUUUGUGGACCAAACAGAAAACUCUUUACUCAUAUGAGAAGAGUAAGGUAGCUCUUUUGACAAAUGCGAAUAUAAGCCUAAUUGGGAAGAAAUUUUCAUGAGAUAACUUCAUUAAGGCUUUUGUUUCUCACACAUUGAGUCAUAUGAGGCUUGUGUCAACAUGCUGCAGCAUGCUUCUAGGGACAUCCUAACUAGUACAAAGUUGAAAGAAAUGAUACAUUCCCAUAGAAACAUAUAAGCAUGAUUUCUUCGCAUUAUGCUCUUGACUAAAACUAAAAACACACAAAACUUAAAGAACAAUGAAAAAAAAUAUUUUUGUGAUUUUUGAAUUUUUCGAAAAUGAAAAGCAUAACAAAAUAAAAUUUUUUUGGAUUUUUGGAUUUUCGAAAUUAAAAACAAAACAAAAGAAAAUAUUUUUUAUUUUUCAAGUUUUUCACAAAAAAAUAAAUUGAACCUUAGUUACCAGAUGCGCGUAUGCGUAGCAAUGCGAAGCCUCUUAAUGAACAGUAACUUCUGAAUGAUUUUGACUCAGAGCUGCUGAAUGGACCUUUCAUUCUUGAGUUAUUGAUUUUGAAACUGAAUUCACAUCGAUCAUCCCCAAACCUGCUAAAAUUCUUACAAAUGAUUUUUCAUCAAGAGGUUUAGUAAAAAUAUCAGCAAGUUGUUCAGUGGUUUUAACAAAAUGUACUUCAAUAUUCCCAUCUUCCACAUGAUCUUUGAUAAAAUGAUAUCGAAGAGCAAUGUGUUUUGUCUUUGAGUGUUGUACUGGAUUAUGACAAAUGCGAAUUGCACUUUGAGAAUCACAAUACAAGGGAAUCUUUUUCAUAUUUAUAGCAUAAUCACAAAGUUGACUCUGAAUCCAAAUGAUUUAUGAAGUGCAAGCAGCAGCUGAAAUAUAUUCAGCCUCAGCAGUGGAUAUAGCAACACAAGUUUGCUUCUUCGAGUGUCAACUCACCAAUUUCCCAUCCAAUAGUUGACACCCACCACUUGUACUUUUUCUAUCCAAAGUACAUCCUCCUAGAUCAGAAUCUGAAAAAGCCUGAAUGAAAAAUCCAGAUUUUGAAGGAUACCAAAGUCCUAACGAAAUUGUCCCCUUAAGAUAGCGAAAAAUAUUUUUCACUGCAGUUAAAUGAGGUUCUCUGGGAUUAGCUUGAUACCUAGCACAAUUACAUACCGAAAACAUAAUAUCAGGUCUGCUUGCAGUUAAGUACAAUAAAGACCCUAUCAUGCUUCGAUAAAGAGUUAAAUCAACUGCAGGAGUAUCUAAUGAAGGAGUUAGUCUUGUUCCCACAGCCAUAGGUACUCUCAGCUUCGUGCUGUAGGUCAUUCCAAACNCGUGCUGUUUGUCAUUCCAAACUUUUCGAGCAGAUUCUUUGUAUAUUUUUCUUGGUUGAUUAAAAUUCCAUCCCUGUUCUGUCUUAUAUUUAAACCAAGAAAAUUAUUAAUUUUUCCCAUCAUACUUAUUUCAAAUUGACUUUUCAUUAGAUUUUCAAAUUCAAUUGACAAUGCUGGAUCAGUUGAGCCAAAAAUAAUAUCAUCAACAUAAAUUUGAACAAGCUUGAGAUGACUCCCAACUUUCUUGCGAAACAGUGUGGCGUCAACCGAUCCUUGUUUAAAUUUACAUUGUUUCAAAAAAUUUGUAAGUGUUGCAUACCAGGCUCUUAGUGCUUGUUUUAACCCAUAAACUGCUUUGUCUAGGAUGUAGACAUGAUCAGGAUGUUCCUCAUUUACAAAUCCAGGUAGUUGUUCAACAUAAACUGUUUCUUCUAGUUCUCCAUUCAAGAAUGCACACUUAACAUCCAUUUGAAAAACAUCGAAGUCUUUGUGAGCUGCAUAAGCUAAAAAUAUGCGAACUGCUUCGAGUCUUGCGACAGGAGCAAAUGUUUCUUCAUAGUCUAUUCAUUCUUGUUGCGAAUAGACUUUAACAACUAGUCUAGCUUUAUUACGAAUGAUAUAGCCAUCUUUGUCGGUUUAUUUUUAAAAAUCCAUUUUAAUCCAACAAUUGAAACAUCAGAAGAUUUAGGAAUUAAUCUCCAAACCUUAUUUCGUUCAAAUUCAGCCAGUUCAGAUUGCAUAGCAACAACCCAAUCUGAGUGUUCCAUAGCAUUCUUUACUGUCUUUGGCUCUAUUUUUGAAAUAAAAACAUUCAACAUACACAAUUAUUGGUUCGCAUUCAGUACCUCAUUUUUCGCAUGAAUUUGAGCUCUUGUCAACACACCAUCUUGUGGAUUCCCAAUUACCUGUUCUUUGGGAUGAUUCCUUGUCCAUUUCUCAAGUGGUGGAAAAUCAAGAUUAAAUUCCAAUGGUGCAUCUUCGUACACAUCUUCAUUUUCAGAUUCUGCAACAUAAAAAUUAUCAUUUAAUUCAUGAAAUUCAUCAUUUUCAUCAAGAUUAAUUGUCUCUGUUGUAUCAUGCUCCUCCUCAACAAGAUGUUCAUCGUGAUGCUCCCCCUUAAAAUGAUGUUCCUGUUGAAAUUGCGAAUGCUCCCCCUCAGCUUGAUGUUCCUGUUGAAAUUGCGAAUGCUCCACCUCAACUUGAUGAUUCAUAUUUUCAUUCUCCCCCUCGAAAGUUUGGUCUAUUUCUACAUUGGUGAUCGUAUGCUCCCCCUCCAUGCGAACUCCAGGCAUACUUUCGCAAGAUAUUGACUCUAUAGUUAUUGUUGAAUCAUCAGUAUGUUUUGAGGAUUCUGAUGUUUGAUUAUCAGGAGCAUGAACUUCCGCAUCAAUUGCCCUGUUAGGAAUUCCGAAAAUUAAGUCAUAAUCAAAAUCAUUUACUUCAGAAUUAUCAAUUUGAGUAUCUGAAUCAACAAGAAUUGAUUUAUUUUCAUAUUUACUAUCCGUUUGUUUAAGAUAGUAAUCAUCAAAGGUUAAGUUGAACGUUUCUUCAACUUUUCUUGUUUGCUUGUUUAACACUCUGUAGGCUACUGAAUUUUGCGAAUAUCCUAAGAAUAUGCCUUCAUCAGCUUUAGCUUGGAACUUGGUCAAAUUAUUUUGUAGAUUCAUUAAAAAACACAUGCAACCAAAAACAUGGAAAAAUUUUACAUUAGGUUUUCGAUUGUUGAGUAUUUGAUAUGGAGUGACAUUGAAUCUUCGAUGAAUGAAUGAUCGAUUCUGGGUAAAACAUGCAGUUGAUACUGCUUCAGCCUAAAGAUACUAAGGUAAGUUCGCAUAUGUUAACAUGGUUCUAGCUACUUCGCAUAGAGACCUAUUUCUUCUUUCAACAACACCAUUUUAUUGUNUUCUUUCAACAACACCAUUUUGUUGUGGAGUAUAUGGUGAUGAGAAAUUAUGCGAAAUGCCUUUGCCUGUGAGAAAGCAAUCCAGUGUUUGAUUUUUAAACUCAGAACCAUUGUCACUUUUAAUUUUGCGAACACUCUUUUUAAGACUAAUCUCAAUCUUUUUUAUAAAAUCAAUCAUCGUCUGAGCAACUUCAAAUUUUAACCUGAGAAAAAAUAUCCAUGUGAAUCAAGAAAAAUCAUCAACCAUAACUAAAAUGUACCGCUUUUAUUGAUUGUAGCAACAGUCGACAGUCUACAUAAGUCAAUGUGAAAAAGUUCCAAUGGUUCCACGAUCUUUGAAUCUAUCACAAUUGGAUGACCUUUUCUAUGUUGUUUUCCUUGUUCGCAAGCUGUACACAAAGUAUCAUUGUCAAAUUUUAGUAUACGUAAACCUCGAACCGAAUCUUCAGUGACAAGUUUAUUAAUAUUGCGAAAAUUCAAAUGCGACAAUCUUCUAUGCCAGAGCCAGCUAACAUCAUUAGAGAACUUUGANCACAAUUGGUUUGAUGUCUAGUGUAAACAUGUCGCCAUAUCUUUUGGAUUUGAGAAGUACUUCAUUUGUCUUUGUGUUUGAAAUGAUACUUCCUUCUUCAUUAAACACAACCUGAUUUCCAGUACCCACAACAAGUUGCGAAACACUAAUCAAGUUAUGUUGAAGACCUUCAACAUAAGCAACCCUGUUAACUGUGAAUUGUCCAUUUGUGACUUUUCCAUAGACUUUCACUUGACACUUGUGAUUAUUUCCAAAUUUGACUACUCCAGCAUUUUCCAAGCUUCUAUAAUCUCGUAAGUUUUCCUUUCUUCCAGUCAUGUGACGAGAGCAACCACUAUCAAUAUACCAUUUCGCAUCAUAUUUCUCAUCACAUAUCACAUGCAUUUAUUGAAAAAUUUUAGGAACCCAAGACUUAUUGGGUCCUUCAUUAGUAGUUUUGAACAAAUUCUUUGAAUUUAAAAACCAUGUUUUCACUUUGUCUGAGACACUAUCCAUUAAAUCAACAUCAUCAGAUCUAGAUAUUGAAAUAUAGUUGUUCAAUAGUUUUGGAUUUCCAUUGACUUUCAUCUCAUCCUUCACAACAUUCGCAACUUUCAUAACUGGUUUCCAUUUUUGUACCGGGUCUUGCGAAUCAUGAGAUGAUGAACUACUAGUAGUAGACUUAUUCACAAACUUGUCAAAUGUAGUCUUUAUCUGUUGCUCUGAAACUUCCCAUUUUGAUAUUGUUUUCCUUGCCCUUCAAGCCAAUUGUUGAUCGUACAUACAUCAGAUUUUCCUUUUGUAUACGAAACUUUGGUCGGUUUUGAAAUCGAAGGAUUUGGAAAAUUUGGUUGUUUAGGUGAAAAUUUUGGUUUUGCUUGAGUUUUGACAUUCAAAGUUGAUGAAUUAUUCGUUAAUUUGCCAACAUUGUGAAACUUAUGAUCAUUCACAAAUUUUUGCGAAGUCUCAAAUUUUCUAAUGUUGUCAUAUUUCUGAUCAAAUUUAUCGUUAUUUUUCAUUGGAAUUUUGUCAACUGAAUAUAUUGGUUUGUGAAAACGUGUAUCCUUUUGGUGAUUUAUUCUCUGAAAUUUUGAUGAUUUUGUCUUUGAAAUUUGUGCUUUUUCAACUUUUGGUUUAUCAUUAAACAUAACUUGCCAAAAGAUUGCUUUUCUUGCUUUUCUUUUUGAAACAUUAUUUUCCGUUGAAUAAUUUCCAACCAUUAAUUUAAAUUCAUGAGAAUUGAAUUUCACUUCCAUCUUUGGUUUUUCAUCUUUUUCAAAAACUUUGUUUUCUUUUUCACCUUUAACCACCCAUUUUUGUGAUGAUUUUUGACCUUGAAAAACAUAAGAAUUUUGAGUUAAAUUGUUUUCUACUGUAUUUUGAUUUGCAAAGAAACCUUCAGUAGUUAACCUUUGAUUAUCAUUUUCAACCAUUUUGUUGAAUUCGGGUUUAAUUUUCUCAACAUUUCCAGUUGUGACAAAAACCUGAUUUGGAAAAAUGGUGUUAUCUGUGCAUGUAAAAUUUGGAUAAACCACAGUGUUAGUUUCCAAAUAAUGUUCACCUUUGUCAUUAAGAAUUUUAUCGAAUUCUUUUGUAUCACCAAACACUUGAUUAAAAACAACUCGUUGAGGUGUUUCAUGUGAAUCCUUCACUUCUUCUUUGUCUUCAUCAGUGUCAUCAGACUUCCAGCUUUUAACUUCCACAUUAUCAAAGUCACAAUGUUUCGAAGUAGAGGGUUUAUCAUUUUCAUCCUUUACUAUCGAAUCAACUAUAAUUUCUUUACCUUUGACCUUAGAUGUGAUAUUAAUGAUUGACAAUUAAGAACAAUCGACCUCUUCUUCCUCUUCGAUCUCACUGAUUUCACUCACAUUAUCUGAAUUGUCAUCGACAUCAGCAUAAUUGAGUUGAGAAUCAAGAGUUGAAGUUUCAGUUUUCUUUAAGAUUUUCACUUGUUCAUUCUUUGUCAAACUUUCAUUGACAAUACUAACCAACUCAUCAGCAUUCAAGAAUUCAUCAAUUUUGACAAUACCAUAUGCGAAUCUAUCAUCAGGUAUUUUGUCAAAUUGAGCAAUUGUGUUUUCACAAUCAUAAGAAACAACAUCAACUUUUUCGCGUUCAUAUUCAAGAAAAGGUAAAAGUUUCCUAUGUUGUUCUUUGCCUAUUUCAGAUGAAUGAUGUAAAUCUGUUAACUUCGCAUACAAACGUUUAGCAGAGUUACAAUAAAUGUUUCUUUGUGCUAGUAACAACCUAACAUCUUUAUCUAGAUUGUUCCUAUCACAAUUUACAUUUUUCAAUUGUAAUUCAAGUUUAUCUACUCUGCUUCGUUUUAUUUCUAAUUCUCUUCUUGUCUCAACUAGUUGCAAAUUUAGUUUUUGAGCUUCAGUACUAGCAGACACAAUAACAGAAUCAAAAUAAGCAACAAUAUCAUCAAAUGAAGUUAUUUCAGCAUCAUAAACAGAUAAAGGAAUAUUAAAUGAUUCAAGAAUAGCACGUACCUUGGUGGUCAUUGGAUAUUUAUCAGUGGACUUGGACACAAAGCAUCGUCCAGAAACAUUCUCUUCGCAAUUAUCUUCAUAGCUUGCGAACAUUGCUCCAUGAGUUGGAUGCCUCAUUUCUUCAUCAUCAGAUCCUGAAGACCAGAUCUAAUAAUUUCCACUCUCUUCUUCAUUUGCUUCUCCUUUCGCCACUAAUUACAAUCCUUUCGCCUUCGCACGUACCUCUUCAAGCUUUUCUGAGUAGUAAGCUUCAUCUUUGAUUUUGCUUUUCUUCUCCUCUUUCUUUCUCAGCAUGCAAUCAGCUACGAAGUGAUUUGCACCAUUGCAGUAAUGACAAUAAAUUCCUUAAUCACCUAUUAGUUUCUUCUCUUCCUUCGCAUCUUUCUGCUUUUCUUCAACCUUUUCCAAUUUCUUCUUUUCCUCACCUCCAACUUUUAUGAAACCACUCUUCGCAUCAUUUGGCUUUCCUUUUGGAUUGAAAGGCUUUUUGAAAAUUUUAUUAACUCUGUUGUUUGAAUAGAAUGCAACUGCUUCAUCAUCAGAAUUCAUUAAGAAUCCUUCAUUGUCUGAUCCUUCCAUUUCACCAGUAUCAAUUUCUGAAAUCUUUGAAACCAAAGCCAAAGGACCUCCUAGACUCUGUUUCGAUUCUUCAAACAUUUCUGUAACUUCGCUUUCAUGAGUUUUCAACUGAUUGUAGAGAUCAUUUAAUGUGGAAGUAUCAAAACUUUUUUGGUUCUUUAUCAUCAUACUCACACUACGCCAUUCCUUGUGAAGGCCCAUUAUGAAUGUAAUAUUGUAUUCCAUGGGAGAUCUUGUGAUUCCAUACCUGCUGCAACGAUAUAGAAGCUCAUUCAAACGAUCAUAGUAGUUUUCAAGAGUUUCAGCAUCCUUUUGUCUAAAUUCCUUAAGUUCAACAAGACAUUGCUUAACAGAAUUUAUCUUCGUCUUUUCGCUACCUUGAUACUUCUCUUUCAGCGUGAUCCAAAUGUCCUUGGCUGUUUUACAACUAUGAAUGUAAUUGUAAACCACAUGAGGCAAAGCACCUCUUAGUUCUCUCAUACAUCUUUUCUCAUUUUGCUUCAUGCGAUUCUAUUGAUCAACAACUUCACCUGAUGAAGCAGAUUGUCCAAUUGGUUUAACAUUAUCAGGAAGUUGACCUUUUCCACUGAUACAAUUCCAGAGCUCUUCAUCAAUUCCAUUUAAGUAAUCCUCCAUUCUAUCAGCCCACUGAUCAUAGUAUUCAGGGAUUAACAUUGGAAUUUUGGUUGAAGAACCAAGUAAGUGAGAGAAAGAAGUCAUGGUAUUCAUAUUGAAGUUCGCCAUUGAUGAACACGAGAAUUUUUAGAAAGCUUGAAAACUUGAUGAAUUUGUGAAUUGAUCAACUGAAUUGAUCACCGAUUGCUAAUCAAUCACUUGACUAAACAAUUCAAACGCAGAAUCGAUUCAAAUCUAAAGAUCAAGAGAGAUUUUCAAAACCAAAAUGCACGGAAAAUUUUGAGUAAAAUUACUACUCAAAAAGCAAAUCAUUCUAAAAUGAAAAUCAGAUCAAUGCAGUUUGAAAUCCUGCUCUGAUACCAAUUGAUGAGAAUUGAUAUCGAGAUUUAGAAAACAACCAUGAUUGUUUGAAUGAAAAGUAAGAACACAGAAAGUAAAUAUUAAUCAGAUAUUAUAUUGAUGAAGAACUGAUUACAAAAUUAAGCAGAGAAAACUUGCGAAUGAUGAAUCACUCGUUCAUCUGAUUACUCUACUUCUAACCUCAGUCCCUAUUUAUAGGAAACCUGAGUGUACAAAAAAUAUACUAAGUCCUUAACUAUACGCUUCGCAUAAAAGAAGACUUAGUAAAAUAACUAACAUGCAAAACUAAAGAAACAAACACUUCGACUUUUACAACAUUUAGUCUCUACACAGAUGGUUUCCCCGAGGAAUUGUCGGAUGUGCCUCCUGAGAGGCAGGUGGAGUUUUGGAUCGAUUUGAUUCUGGGUGCGACGCCUAUUGCCAAGGAAACUUAUCGCCUUGCAUAGCCCGAGAUGUAGGAGUUAUCCUCGCAGCUCCAGGAGUUGUUGGGGAAGGGUUUUAUUAGGCCGAGUCGCUCGCGGUGGGUAGCACCGAUCCUAUUUGUCAAGAAAAAUGAUGGCUCAUACUGGAUGUGCAUCGACUACCAGGAGUUGAACAAGUUGACGGUCAAGAACCAUUAUCCACUACCGAGGAUCAACGAUUUAUUUGAUUAAUUACAGGGGCGUCUUGGUUUUUAAAAAAUUGAUUUAAGAUUUGGUUAUCAUUAGAUGAGAGUUUCUAGGAGGAUAUCAAGAAGACGGCCUUUAGGACUCGUUACGGGCACUACAAGUUUGUGGUGAUGCCUUUCGGGCUCAACAACGCACUGAAAGCGUUCAUGGACCUCAUGAACCGGGUGUGUAGCCCCAUACUGGACAGGUCGGUGAUCGUGUUAAUCGAAGACAUUUUGGUGUACUCGAGGUCUAGAGAAUAGCACGAGGAGCAUCUUUAGGAGAUUCUUGGAGUAUUGAGGAUGGAGAACCUUUAUGCUAAACUUUCCAAGUGUGAUUUCUGGUUGCGAGAGCUCCAGUUCGGGACACCUCGUUAAACAUAAUGGGAUUUUGGUCGACUUGGACAAGAUUGAGGCAGUUAUACGAUGGGAGGUGUCGAGAUCCUCAUCCGAGAUCAGGAGUUUUCUGGGCCUGAUAGGCUACUAUCGGAGGUUUAUCAAAGAUUUCACCGAAAUUUCCGUUCAUCUUACCAGAGUGACUAGGAAGGGUGUUACUUUUCUUUAGGGGCCCGAGCAGUAGGCUUCAUUCGAGACUCUUUGCCAGAGAUUGUAUGAAGCUCCAGUGUUAUCCCUUCCUAAGGGAUUAGAGGACUUCGUAGUCUACUGUGAUACACCUAUAUCAGGGAUGGGUGUCGUGUUGAUGCAGAGGGGACACGUAAUAGCAUAUGCGUCGAGGCAGCUGAAGCGUCACGAGAUGACGUAUCCUACCCACAAUUUGGAGCUGGGGGUGGUGGUGUUCGCCCUCAAGAUCUGGCGCAACUAUCUUUAUGGUGUCAGGUGUACCAUAUACACAGACCAUAAGAGCCUAAAUUACCUUAUGGAUCAUCCCUACAUGAAUAUGAUGUUGGAUAAGGUGUCUAAGUCCAUAACUUAUUUGGUAUAUACUUGACCCGACCCGGCAUGGUCCAUUUGGGUUGCAUUUCAUCCAAACUAUUUAUGGAUAAUUUUAUGAGAGUUAUACACAUAUGUUUAUUAAUAUAUUGUAAGUUAUAAUAUAUUAAUAUGAAGUUAUUUAAUUAGUCUUAGUCUUAAAUUAAUUAUGAAUUAAUUUAGAGAUUAAAAGGAAGACUAAUUAAAUUGUGGGCUAUUGUUUUAUAUGGUGUGGGCUAAUACUCAUUAGUUAAUGGGCUAGGCUUAUAUGGAAGUCCAUGGAUGAUCCAUGGAGCUUUUAACCCAUGGAGCCUUGGAAAGGAAAAGACAUGGGUUAUUAGGGUUUCACCNUACACUAUAUAAGCAUGUUUAUGUUGCAUGAAAUAGACACUAGUGUAACUAGAAAGUAUGUGUGUUUGUGUGUGACCGAUUUUAUAAGUGUGUAUACACUCUCUCAAAGUUUUCCAAGAGUUUGUGGUGAUUUGUGAUUCCAUUUGAGGCAUUCACACUAUUGGUGCUUGGCCCUCAAACUCCUUAGGAAUCAAACUCAUCAUCAAAAGGUAUGUAAUCUCAUCUAAUUCUUUUAUGUUUAAAAGUACCCCAUGCCAUGUUAGAUAGGUUAUGAACCUUGGAAAAAUUAUUAUUUUGC